GGUUUGAAGAUCAGUACCUAAACCCGAACGAAGGAAUCCUGAGAUCUAAGAUAAAGCUAAUGUUUACAUGUAUGUAUUAUGAUAAGAAAUUAAUCAUAACAGGUGUGUCUGGAGGAGGUAUCUAUUGAUGCUUAGGGAUGAGAUAUAAAAUUUAUCACCAUUCAUGCUUUAUAGCUACUAAUAGGCAAAGCUGGGUUGAAGAGCUCAAAAGAAAAAUUGAUUGCAAAUUAAUGCUUUGUGAUUGAAUGCACAAGCAUGUUUUCCAGGCAAUCUACUGACUGUUUGCAUAUUACUUUCAUUUGUUUUUAUUUUCAUUCAUGCAUUUAGAAGCGUAUAUAUUGCUUUCAUUCAUUAUUUCCUAUGAUGAAAAAAAAAUCCAAAGGCUUUGGAAAGAUCGUGUUUGAAGAAAAUGAUCAAAAUGAUGGUUGGUUUUCCGAGUCUAGCAGAUCGGGUUCACAUUUUUACCCUUCUGAUAGCAUCUUUGAUCAAGUAUUGUAAACUUUGUUUACCGAUCUCUAAAAGAAUAUGUUUUUUGCUCAUAGACACGAGUUUCCUUUUAAGUUGAGUGUGGUGUGAUGUUGUGUACGUGUUAGUUUUUCUUUCAAUUUUAUCAAAUUUUGGUUGGUGAUAUGAGGUCUAUUGCUCUCAAUAGAUCCUCUACUGUUUCUAAUGGACCUUCUCUUGCCCUUAAUAGACCCCCUACUACCCUUAAUAGACUUUAAGACAGACCCCCUAUUGCCCUAGUAGACCCUCCUACUACCUCCAACAGAUCCCCGGACAGACUCAUGCAUAUGGCCUCCAAAUUAAAGACCCCCUAUUGGCCCCAGUAUACCCCCCGACAUAUCCCCCCCUGCCCCCAAUAGACCCCCUACUGCCCCUAGUAGACACCGGUUGCCGGAAUCCAGUCAACGGUCGCCAGAGUCUAGUCAACGGUCGUCGGAGAUUGGUCAACAGUCGUCAGCCUUGGGAAUCCGGUCAUAAAGUCUUUAUUUCAUACUAGACUUUUAUAAUGGUCUAUUGUAGUUUAUUUAGUUUAUUAAGGAUAUACUUGUUUUUUAGUUGUGUAAGUUGGCUCAUGGGAAUUUAAAAAUCUGAUUUUGUUAGUGGGAAGAAAAAUCUUAAAUUUAGGGCUAGUGGGCAUUAUCCUAAAUUUUAAUGAUCUUAGUGGUUAGAGUAUCCUAAACCCUAUCAAAAUGCUAACGGAACGAUACCUGGAUAAAAAUGCAAGUUUUUUAAUAAUUAGGUAUGAAAAUAAAAAAAGCAUCAUUGUUCGAGUGGUACUGUGUAAUUAAUCCUUAAUGAAAGAAUGAAACCUUAUAAACCUUUUUCUCUAGCUUUGCCAAACCUACCAGCAAUGAAGUUCACAACACAUCUAGGGCAUUUUCACUGGCUUCAUGCACCUUGUUAUACAUUUACUUAUGCAAGUCUUUCCCUCUACUUAAUUUGCUAUUGCUUUUUUUAUUUCUUAGGGUUGUCGCUUUAGAUGAUUUUGCUCAUUUUUUUGGGUUUUGGUUUUGAUGAGAAAUUGUGGUACGCUCUUGGUAUCAAAGGAGAUUUGAGUUUCUGUUUUGAGUUGCUUUGAUCUCCUAGUUCUUGUCGGCCCCUUGUUUUUGGUUGUCCUCCGUCCUCUGAGGAAGUCUGUAGAUAGUUAUCAAAUAAAAAACUCAAAUAUGUAUUUCAAAUAUGACUUUUUUCUCUCAAAUCAAAUAAAAUACUCAUUGGCACCAAGCGUGAGGGAAUGCUAGACGAUUGGUAAUUUCUCCUCCGACAAGAAUAAAUGAUCUGGUUGCCGGUUGGGCUGGUUUAUAGUUAUCAAAUAAAAAACUCAAAUAUGUAUUUCAAAUAUGACUUUUUUCUCUCAAAUCAAAUAAAAUACUCAUUGACGCCAAGCGUGAGGGAAUGCUAGACGAUUGGUAAUUUCUCCUCCGACAAGAAUAAAUGAUAUGGUUGCCGGUUGGGCUGGUUCAAUGGCUUUAUAUGGAUUUGCCGUUUGUUUUUGAUCCAAUGUGGAGACAAUGGCGAACGCACGUUGAUGUUUCUGGGGGCUAUUGCCCCACUUGAUUACAGUGUUUUCAAUUUCUCAUAGCCAAAACAAACUUAAGUACCACUUUAUGAGGAAGUUGAACUAAUUUACCCCCAUAGAAUUCUCAGUGAACUAAUGCAAUGAGAAUAGCCCCCAUUAACGAAAAUUCAUGCGUCCGCCACUGUCAGUGGAGAGACAGGGUAUGUUCGUUAUACGUCUUCUGGUAGGUGCUUUUAGGGUGCUAGAUAACUGAGUUGUUUUUUAUCUUCUUUGCUCUACGGUGGUUGGUGGUGCACGCACCCUGAUGAGUUCUCUACAUUGUGUGAGUUUAGGCAUAGUCAUGGGCUUAUAAACUAUGGGUUUGGGAUCAGGCCUGCAGGUAUGGGCCUAGUCCUAGGAGGCCUGGAAUGGUUUUGUUUGUUAGAAAGCAAAGAGCAAAAUAUUUGGCUGCCCACUCUAUUAGAUCACUCCAUUAAUGACCCUUAAUUAUUUACGUUAGACUUGUGCAUUCCCAUCUCAACCAUACAAGGCUGCUGGUUUGCCAUACAUCCUCUCUAUCGCAUACGGUUUGUUUUAUAUUCAAUUUUCAUUAUUGUCAACAUCUGCACCCCACAGUUCAGCAUCUAGCAGCAGUUAGCUGUGGUUAUCCUGUUAGCUAGAUUUCUGAUCAAGGAAAAACCAAUAGAAAACCCCAAGUAUGCUUGACCACUUGCCACGAUCCACAAAGUUGUAUUAUUAACAACCAGCAGGUUUUGUUGAGAAAACUAUACUCAUGGUCCACGAUCAACAUGUUCCACAUGACUUUUUGGCGUCAUUCAUGGAAGGAGAAGACUUAACUAUGGAGCUGUAGGUCCCAAGACACCUAAUUCUUGAGUUGCAGCAUCUUUUCUCGAUCUGUGGCUUGAAAACUGAAACCUCUUCAGCUCUCCAAGGUUGAUCUGGGAACACUGAAAACUUCAAGUUCAAACCCCAGUUCUUUUCUGUUUGUCCUGAGACAACUAGCUUUCAUGGAUGGAGCUGUGUCAUGGAAACUACUUAAGGAUAUGCACGCCCUCAGUUAACUUCAUGUUCAACUUGGACGGCAAGAGCUCGUCGGCUAGUAUGGCCAUAUAUCUAUCCGGUCCUCCUGUCGAUGAUCAUGUACGUAUGGCUAUGUUGUUGUUUUGCAGAUGUGCUUCUUUGGUAAAAACAUAUAUUUACAGCCAUCUCUAUGUUUUUGAAUGACACUGUUAUGCAUCUCUUAUUUUGAGUGACUUUGUCGUGGAAUUUGCAAAAUCAUCACUCUGUACGUCCAAAUUGCAGUUCCAAAGCUCUACAGUGGGACUUGUAUCAUAAGUUCAUAACUAGAAGUAACUCCAUUUACACACACACAUAAGCAACUCCAUUACAUGAUAGCUCCACCAUUCAAUAUCUGAUUUUAUUCAUGAAUUACGAGUAUAUCGAUCACUUGUACAAACUUUCAGCAAAGUACUUUUUUUUUUUUUUUUUCAAUUACAAGUUGCAUUGAUCUUUAGGAUUUUUCUACUAUACAUAUGUGCAUAGUAUACAUCAAGCCGUGAGCCAUCCGAUCGUCUUGAAUUUUGAAUUACUAAACGAUCGGAUGGCUCACGGCUUGAUGUAUGUCAUACAAAUGUGUAUAGCAGCCGAACCUAGAUCUUUAUACACCGCUCAGCUGAAAAUGCAUGGUUGAAAAGAGAACCACAUAUAGCGUAGCCAAUUAUUGAUGAUCUUGCUAUGCUUAAUAGUUUUGAACCAAAAGUCCUCGACCUGAUAAGAGAUCGAAAAUUCCAUUGAUAAUCCAGUGCAUAGCCGGAAUACGUAAAACCGAUCCAUGUAUAUCCCACAGCUUUUGAAGCAAUUGCAAGAAUCAAAGUAAUAUUUCCCCACUCAUCAACCGACCAUGUUACUCUUGUUAGAGACUAUGGAGCUUAUUGAUGGUUUUCUCUAGUUUGGUACUUUGUUUACUGCGUAUGCUUUUGUUUACAUAUUUCAGCUUUACGGGUUGACAUUAUCAUUUAAAAGUUAUAUUUACAGAUGGAUGUUUCAGCUCAGACUUCAGUAUAUAAGUUAUGAACCGAUCGAUACUCCGUUAAUCCAUCGUUUGGUAUAAAAUAAAAAAAUAAAAAAAGAACAGUGUGUGUGUGUGUUUGAGAGAGAGAGAGAGAGAGAGAGAGAGAGAGAGAGAGAGAGAGAGAGUAGAGNNNNNNNNNNNNNNNNNNNNGAGAGAGAGAGAGAGCAUAGCCGCUCAGAUUAAAAAGGUUUCAUAUAUGCAACAAUUUUUUUUUGGCGGAAUACAUGCAACUACUAUAUAUGAGGUCUCUCUUGAUUGGCAUGAUUAUGAAUAUAUGAUUGUUAUACUCAGCAUGACUUCAUUUCCAUGCUCAUCCGUUAUUAAUUUCUCGAUCCACUUUUACAGAUUUACAGAAGUUGGGCUCGGUUUAGGGAUUUGGGGUUUAAUACUCGGAAAAGUUGAUUUGAAUGCCGAGUACGUAAUUGGAACUAGUGGCGAGAAGUGACAGUUAUCUGGUAAGGUUUAAGAUCAUGUUAUAACAAAUCAAGUCCAAUAACAACCUCGACUCCUCGAGUACGUAAUUCAUGAUAGUGUUUCCAAUUAAGUGAUUAACGAUAGAUUUGGUUGAGCUUUGCAGAUGUAUGUCCACUGGAGAUCAUCUAAUCGUAUUGUACGUAGCUGCCAACCACGUAAACUCAUAAUGUGGGUCUUUAGCUGGAAACUAAAUCCGACAGUUGAAGUCAGAGACAUUCUUCAUAGGGUACGUAAUGACCUCAAUUGGUAAUGAGGAAGUACAAUGGAAAGCAUCGGUACUAUGGAGACCACAACAGAUUCAAGUCAUUCAACUACUGAAGAGAUCCAAGAGGUACAGCUGAAUUAUCUAUCUCAAAGAACCAUUGUCGGUACCUUUAGAUGAGAAGUACGUAGCAGCUCCCUAGCUAAGAGGCACUCAAGGAGCUAGGACUCCAACAAAGCGCAAAACGCUUUUAACAUAGUCCCAGAGAUUGCAUGCAGCCUGCUAGAUCGAUGUAGAUCGAUCUAUAAUGAAGUUGUAUCCAAGAGGUCGUUGAAGUUCUACUAUAAGGUGCCUCAACAAUGAACCCAAGACGUUUAUGAAGUUAAUUAUAUGGAAUCUAGAGGUCACUAAAAUUGGACCUAAGAGGUCUCAUGCAUAACACUCACUCAAGAACAAGUUCCACCCCAGAAAUGCCUAAAGAGCCUUGGACGCAGGAGUCUCUGAAGUUCCAACGUGCCGGAAGUGCCUGAAAAGCUUGGACUCAAGGGGUGCAAAGGCUGCAUCCGAGAGUCCAAAUUUGCACCCAUGAGGUCAGCAAAAUGAACCUACAGAAGUGAGAACCAAAGAUCCUUUGAGUUGGAUCGAUCCAAGAGGUCAAGCUCUAUGAAAGCUGGGUGCAAGAAGAUCAAAUAAGCUGAAUAGGCAAACUUUAGAUGAACAACAAUUGACCGAAGUACCAAACUUUGUUGUGGUAUUUCUUCUUUAAGACAUUGGCCUCAAGGCAUGAGAAGAUUGGUUAGGCGCGCUCUUGAAGUCCCGGAGAGGAUCUCGAUCAACUUCACUUGGAAGAGGUAUCUAUUUCUCCAUACUCCAAGGGGUGCUACUAUUCAAAAGGAAAUUUACUCCUCAAUUCCUCAAAGCAUAAGAAAUGUGUCUACGUACUUCUCUCGAUCUUCAUGACAAGGUAUACAUAUAUAAUUCUAUACGCUAGAACUAUCAAAAAGCAACCAUAUACUUUAACAUCAGUAUCUUCAUCGAUACCACAUAUAUCGAUCGGUAUCCGGUUUCCCAUGCUAGGUUUCCAUGUUUCUUGCAAGUUUUGGUAGAUAAUUAGGGAUGUCACAGUCCCAAACUUUGAACGAAAUUAUCAAUAAGCAACCUCUGAAAUGGCAUUUCAGAAGUAAUUUUAAACAUGUCGAUCUUUAAUUUGGUAAACUUAUUUCCGUUUUGGUCUUAUAUGUUGGCUAUUUGGUAGGCACUUUUCUUGCAACUUGUGGGAAAGAUCAUUGACAAACUUUCUAGAUCUGCCUCGCUUCAUACAGAAAAGGUAUGUCUCAAAUGCUUACUAGCUUCCUCAGUCCAAGCAUAACCAUCCUAGCUAGCUAUAUCCUGUACAUUAUGGUGCGUGCCAAUAGCAAAAACAGGUGUGUAUCAUAUAAUUUUAAGUCACUUGGUUUGUUCUUAACAUCUGAUAGAAAGGAAAACAAUUAGAGAAAAGAAGAAUAUGGUCAAAUGGAUUUGGUAUUUGGUGUAAGCUGCAUCACUAGUAGGUUUUGGGUUUUUAUAUCCAAUUGAAGACAAUAGAGAGAGAAUGUGAAAAAAAAAAAAAAAACAAAUUGCAGAGUUGCGGCAUCUACCUGUCAUGGGUCUAUGAAUUGUAAAAUGUAUUGUAACAAUAAGAAGCCCACGCACAAAAUUCAACCAAAGAAACACCACACCACAUAUAUAUAUAUAACUACUUGGCGGACAAUCAAGAAAAACAUUAUAUUAUAGAUGGACAAUGUAGUCUAUAUAUAGAGGAGUUAGUGACCAUUGGACAGGCUAGAGUAGUCUCUUAGAAUAGAAGUGUAUAGCGGUGUUCACGCAUGGUCACUUAGCGACCAAGAAAAUUAUGAUUAAUUACUGUUAGAUGUAAAUCUAAAGAUGAAAAACAAAACAAUUUAACUUUAAAAUAAUACUUUAUUUUCUUAGAUAUAAUAUACAUCUAAUAUUAAUUGAUCAUAAUUUUUUUGGCUACGUACGUGAACACUUCCGAAGAAUUGAACAAGCAAAUACAAACAUAGAUAUUAAAGAACAAGGGUUGCUCUAGGAUACAACUAGCUAGACUAACUUUAUUUAUUGGUUAAAUAUGUCUUUCCACUAAAUAUCCCCAUUCAUCUCCUUCUAUGAAAAUGUAGCUAGUAUUUUGCAAUAGCAAAACAAAAAAUAAUCCAACUAGUCAACGGAAUAAAUUUUCUUCGUAAAGUAUAGCCGCCGAGUUUGACCCAAAUCCUUUUUGGAAAGACCCAACGCUUUCAACUACCUUUCCUGAACUCAACUACUUCAACGAACUCUGUUUCCUGGAAUCACUCUCACAUGCACGGAUACGGAAUCAAAUUUGUCAAUCAGCACCGGUUUUGGUCAUGCCAUGUAUGAUCAGCCCAGUUUUGCUCCACGUAUGACCAGCCAAUCAACUCUCACUCUCUCUCUCUCUCUCUUUUAAUUGGCUGGUCAUACAUGACCAACACUAAUGCUGGUUAACAAAUUUGAUUCUCACGGACACACUAAUCCUUUCCAUUUUUACUCUUGUAAAAUUUUAAUUAUAAAAUUAAAAAACUAAAAAAACACAGCUAGCGCACCUUUUCACACUUUUCCGACCACGUCAACCGCCACCACAAGUCGCUAUCUGCCUAUCUCCAUCAAACGGCAGCUACUCGCUAUUUCUUCUGUUUAAGUCUUGUCGCCAUCGCACUACUGGUGUUUUCCUCGGCGGCUAUCUUCAACAGCUAGGAGAUUGCAUCCGUACAUCAGUCCUAGUUCUCCGGUGGUCUGUGGUGGCCGGAAAUUGGAGUGGACAGUUAGCACCGGAUAUUUUUACGACUAAACCUUAACUUUCUAAUAAUUAAUCAUUAUUGGUGGAAAGGACAGAGGAUCGUCGUGAUCAUUAAUCUUUUAUAGUCAAUCAUGGAUGGAAGACAAGGAAUAACUGUCGCUGUCGCUGUCGCCACGUAGUUAGCUAGGCGUGUUUGAUCGAUGUUGUAGUUUUGGAUUUAGGUUUUACCAAACUCAGAUAUAUUUAACUGGAUAAUUAAACGCGGCAUGACGUAAAACCCUACUACCAUCGAUCGAGAAAAGUAAAGUCCGUGUAUAAAGCAGUGCAUUGGCACCAAGGAUUUCUUCUCAUUUUCAAUUUUCUGGGUCGGAAAAGAAGAGAACAUCGAUCAGUUGGGUUCGCAUCGGUGUUCUUCAUCUGGAGAAGACGUACUACAACACCCAGUAAGUAGUGUAAAUUCUGAACGGCUAAAUCUCAGUGAUUCUCAGAGUGGAUUUAUGUGCUAGAUUUAGGGCACAGAUCUAUAUAUUCUACAAAACCCUAACUUGUUGUUUUCACGAUCUUAAUUUCUUGUAGCAGCUGCUCACCAAGGAUGAGCCACUCAAGUGGGUUGCCUUAUAAAACAAGCAAUGAUGAUUUGGAGAUCGGUCUGAAGGAGGUUACUCCUGUUGAGCGCAUAAGCCGUUGGGUGGUAAUUAAUAGACAUCUCUUUCAUCACUUAAUGAUUUUUUUUUUUUCAGGUUUUGAGUAUAAUUAGUAGUUAUGAUUGGUAUAAUUACAUCCUAUUUUUUUGCAAAUUUAAUUAUUUUGUGGGUGAAAUUGAUUCAUAUUUCUCAUGUGCAAAGUGUUCAUUUUGCAUUUCAAUCUGGGUGGCCAACUAAUUAAUUGGAAUCUUUAUCUAUGUUUUACUUCAGGGUUUCUAAAUGUCUAUUUAAUUUUGUCCAUUUAAAGACUAGCUGGUUUAAUCGUUUUUUCUGGGUGUUGUAUUCUUCAUCACUUGAUAAGUGCUUUAUAGUUUAUACCUUUAAUGGUCAGCUUGCUAUUGUAAAACCUUUUAUCAAACAGUGGAUUUGGUAUUAGGUCAAUUUUUAAACUUGUAUAUGUAACCCUAUAACCAUGUAAUAUAUGUGUGCGCUGGGUGGCAUAUAAAUCAUUUGGGAGAAAUGGAAUAUUGGCAAAAGAAAUAUUUUUCUUGUACUUAAUUUCCAUGCCAGUUUUCGUUUUCUGCAUCAAUGAAUACAUUUUCACCCUAUCUAUCAGUUUAAUUUAUUUGAACCAAACGUUCUUAGUUGCAAAACUAGGUCCAAGAAUUGUCUUUCUCAAAACUUGUUCUCAACUGAAUAUUGUUUUAUUUGUAGCAAGUGAAACUGUAUCUGAAAGCAUUGUAUCGAUUCCGCCACACACUAGUUCUGAAAAAGGCAGAAGAAAAGAAGAAGGCAGCAGGCGCAGCACGGAAACUUAGAGCAUAUACCCAAGCCCUACGAGUACGUUUUUCUAAUGUGAAACCAUAAUGUCUUACGGUCUAACCCACCUUGCUAUCUGCUGUACAUAUAAUAUAUAUGCAUGUGUCUUCUUUUGUAUCAGGCUGCGGCUGUGUUCAAAGAAAAAGUUGCAGAUCCAGUGAGAGGUAUUCCUAUCCUGAUUCCUGAAGUACGAUGGAAUCUAUUGAUAAUAUUGUUUUGUAAUCAACUUAAUUAUUGUUACUUCUGGUUGUCAGCAGGGACUGGUGAUUAUUUUCCAAUUGAACAAGUUGACCUUGCUCGUAUGAUGAUGAAUAGUGAUUUUGAUGCCCUGCAGCAAUAUGGAGGGGCAAGUGCAACAGAGAUCGAAUAUCAUGCUUUUGUUUAUGUUUAUAUAUGAGCUAGCUAGAUUAAAGAUAUUGUUGCUUAAUUGUAACAUAUUUUGUUGUUCCUUCACGUACAUCAGAAGGAAGGCUUGGCAGAUUUACUGAAAACAGAUUUAGACAAGGGAAUUGGUCAGGAUGAUUUAAUCAAGCGGAGAGAUAAAUUUGGUGCAAACAGAUAUCCUCCAAAAUCAGCAAUGAGCCACUGGGUAAGAUUGUAUGUUAUAGUUGUGCACUUUAGAGUUUCCCUACAUUUCGAAUUAUAGAAGAAAAAGAAGAAUCGCCAUCGGUGCUUUAUGCUGUUAUAAUUAAUCUAUUUCUUUUAACUGCUUCCUCCUGCUGCGUAUCUGAUCAUAUAGACAUGUCUUUGGGAAGCUCUGUACGAUUUUACUAGGAUCCUUUUGGUGAUAGCUUUUGCGGGUUCUGUUGUGAUGGGUGUUCUGGAAGAGGUGAGCUUGGAGUACGUCCCUAAAUGCUAGCUUAUGCAUGUUACAGUAGGUCUUUAGAAGUAGUGAAUUGUACAAUAUCAUGGCAGAUCUAUUAUCUUCCAUUUCCGGUCGGCUAUACUCGUCUCUUUUAUUUCCUGCCUGAAUCCUAGUCAUGCAUUGUUAUGCUAGCCAGCUAUCUACUUCUUUGAGUUUCGAAUAUCAACAAUUUGCUUUACAGUUCUUGUGUUUGUGUACAUGUUCUUCUCGAUCUUAAUUACCUGCAGACUAAAAUGCUGGGAUGGCACAAUGUAAUCAGCGUUGCUAUUGCAACUGCCAUGUUCAUUUUAAUCGCAGGUACAUUUUAAACUAUGUCGUAGUAUUCUUUUGAUGGUCAUAUACGUACUUAUAUACAUAUACAAGCAUGCAUGUACGUACCUAUAUGUCACAGAUCGAUAUUAUCUUACAUUUUCAUUUAUCAUUAACUAACCCAACAAGCAUUCAUGUAUAGUAACAUUUAUAAUUAUUAAUUCCCUAGCCGUCUGCUUCCAUCUUAUGUUUGCAGUCUUAUCUGACUAUACUCAAGCUCGUCUUCAGCAUAUGAUUAUCAGGAAGCAGGAAAUGAGAAACAAAAAGCUGACGGUAUAUUCNNNNNNNNNNNNNNNNNNNNNNNNNNNNNNNNNNNNNNNNNNNNNNNNNNNNNNNNNNNNNNNNNNNNNNNNNNNNNNNNNNNNNNNNNNNNNNNNNNNNNNNNNNNNNNNNNNNNNNNNNNNNNNNNNNNNNNNNNNNNNNNNNNNNNNNNNNNNNNNNNNNNNNNNNNNNNNNNNNNNNNNNNNNNNNNNNNNNNNNNNNNNNNNNNNNNNNNNNNNNNNNNNNNNNNNNNNNNNNNNNNNNNNNNNNNNNNNNNNNNNNNNNNNNNNNNNNNNNNNNNNNNNNNNNNNNNNNNNNNNNNNNNNNNNNNNNNNNNNNNNNNNNNNNNNNNNNNNNNNNNNNNNNNNNNNNNUGUAAACAAAAAUCGUUUACUCAACCGAUUGCUUGAAACAAAUGAACAGUUAGCAAUCUCAUGAUCAGCCGUCAAUUUAUUUCAUGCAAUCAACUGAGCAAACGAUUGUUAUUUACAUUGAUUUUUUGCAGAAGUGAUCAUCAUCGGUUAAUUCAACUUUUGAACGGUUAAGAUUAUGAUUUAUAUUAGCAAAUAUAUAUAAAAAAGAGAAAGUCCGAACGCACACGUACAUACUAGUCCGGACGCAAAUAUUUUUAGAGGAACAAAAGAAAAUGAGGUUAAAACUCUUAGAGUUGUCAUAGCAACUUAUUUCGUGUGUGCGUGUAAAAUUACUCAUCGUUUUCUCCUAAUUGUUGUUUGACAUACAUGUGUUUGCAAUACUAUACAAGUCUAGUCCAUGUAAAACUGUAAUUAGUAAUAUGUAACAAUGCAGUCACCUCAGUAAAAAAAAAUGUUCAAUCUCCUUUUCUUCGUCUCCUUCUUCCUUCGUUUUUAGAAUACUUUUAGAGUGUUGGUAAAUGUACCCAGCAAAGUUUUAUGUAGACCCAGCAAAUUUUACACCUAAAAUCUUUCCAACAAUAUCCUUUGUUGUUAAUUUUGUUGUUAAUUGAAACCCAGCAAACUCAUACCUAGCGAAUCAUGGUCUACACCCUUCACCCACUCUAAGCUCCAUCCAUGAUGCUCUUUUGCUAUAAUUAAUCUCUUAGCAGCUGAUUCAGUUUUAUUAAAAUCUCCCGUAUCUUUUUUCUCAAAAAGUUAAUUUCUUUUUACCCGCUAAUUCAAGAUAGGAACCUCUCACGAUUCAUAAAUAUUUAUAGAAGUAAAGUUGGGCCUUUACAAGAUGUCAGGUUGUGUUAUUAAGAUGCGCUUCGAAUCUUCUUCUUAGUUCCUAGGUUUAAUAGUUGAUUGCUUGAUCUAUAUCUAAUAAAGCUUUCAAUAUGUAGAGUCUCUGAAGAAUUCAUUAUUCAUACUUAAGGCUUGUAGUAAAUGAAUCUUAGCUAUUUGAUUAAUUUGAUUAAGUAGAACUAGUGGAAAUUUCAAUUACUAGGGAAGUGUCCAGCGGUAGCCACAACACAAAGGACCUCCCUACUCUUGCAUAUCCAUCAACAUCCUUCCCCGACGUACUGCCAACAAAAAUCACUUUUUCGUUUUUGGUAUUGCAAUUAGAGUGAGGCUAUUGAAACCUCCAAAUUUGCUCUUUUGACCUCCCUUUAUUAUGAGUUAUUGAAUGACAAUUAUCUCCUCUUACGUAAUGACUAUUAAGAACAAUAAUCAUACAAAAACAAGUAUAUCUUUUCUCUCUAGACUUUCCAAUUCGAUAAUUAAUUAAUUGUAUUCUUUAUUAUUUUCGGAAAAUUCUACAAUGAGUCAAUGCAUGUCAUGCAUCAACUCUGUCAUAAAGUUGUAACACGAGUCCUCAUAGUAGUAAUAUUAGUCCUCAAAUUUGUAAUAUAAGUCUUUAAAGUUGUAAAAAACUUAAUUACAACAUUAGUCCUCAUGUGUCGUUAAAGUGGUAAAAUGUGUGCGUAAAGUGAUAAUUGAGUCUUCAAGAUGAUAAAAGAAAAGUUGUUACAACUUUAAGGACUCAAUUACUACUUUAACGACACAUGAGGAAUAAUGUUGUAACUAAAAUUUUACAACUUUAAGGACUCACAUUACAACUUUGAGGACUAAUUUUACAACUUUUGGGACUCAUUUUACAACAUUNNNNNNNNNNNNNNNNNNNNCUUCAACCGGAAGAACAAGAUAUAGGUUUUGCUGGGUUUAGCAAAAAUGGUAUAAUUGGAAAAGUGGUCGGGUGUAACUAGAAUUUUAAUUUUUUUACUGGGUGUAAAUAGUUUGUUGGGUGUAUGUAGUAAUUUAUGCAUUUAAAAGCACUUUUAUCGUACGUUCUCGUACGGUUUUUUUUUUUGGGAGACUGUCGGGUUUCGGGACUCGUCACUCCGCUGAAUGAUCCGAAUUCUCAGUCUAGAAAGUGAUGAACUUUGUUCAUCUGAAUCUUCCAGGUGCAUCAGCAUCCAAGUCUCAGUUGAGGGCUACGAUUUCAAUUCUCUUUAGUCCAAGUCUUCCUGCUCUUGUCUGGAGAGCUAGAGAAUUUUUGAUAAAUUUGCGUGGGAUUGAUUGAUGGGCAUGGCAAUAUUUGGGAGAUCUGUUUGUGGGUGUGAAUCUUUAGGAUGGUCUAUUUAGUUUUGGAUUGUUUGAUUGAUUUCCAAUCGUUUGAAGAGUGGUUACGAUGUUGUUGCUGCUAGGGAGCACAUUCUGGAGUAGUUACAGUUGGUUAAAAUGAGGAAUUCCCUGCAAACUUGAUAUCCUAAUUUGCACUAACAUGCAGUGUUUUUUGAAUCAAGUAAGGGUUUAGAGGCCACUUCCUUGACAGGUAUUGAAAUGACAUCUUUGUCUAUGCAGCUCAUGAGUUAAUCUUACCCUGAGCAGAGGGGUAGAUAUUCUCAAAUUCAUCAGCACUUUUUCUUUAGUGAUAUGCUUUAUUCGUUAGGUUACAUUCUUGGAAAGCCAAAAUCUUGAUGACCUGGGUGUUGUGGAAAACCAUGGGAAAUAAACCUUUCAGCCUCACUUGGUGGGAUACUAUAUCAACCUCAUGCAAAAUCGACUACCCAGUUAUUAGAGAGUGAAAGGAGCUAUGGGAUUAUCAAAUAUUGGCUGCUGCUUCUAUGAUGUUCAGGAAGGUUAUAAAACAGGAAGGCUGAGGUCAUGUACUAGUCAAUGUUUCUUGCUUGAGGAUCAUAGUGUUUAAGCUUAUAGAAUAGCAAUUUGAGUAUUUUAGUACUUCAUUACUCCAGAUAUCUAUAAUCCAUUUUUGUAAUUCCGAAUCAAUUUUAUAAAAUGUAUACAUUCUGUACUGUUUUUCCCUCACUUGAAAUACUUUUAUUGCAUCUGCAUAUUGCUAAUGUGACAGUAUACCUGUGUAUUAUGAUAUAUAUCUAACCUUUCACCUAAAUGUUAACUUUUGGGCUCAUUCUGUAAUUCUGCAGGUUAUUAGAGCUGGUCGACAAGUUGAGGUUUCUAUUUGUGAUAUUGUUGUUGGUGAUGUUGUACCCCUUAAUAUUGGCGAUGAGGUUUGUAGAUUCAUUAAGAAUUAAUCCUGAGACACACCUUAACUGAUCUGUUAUUUAUUUAGUAUGCUCCUUUCAUCUCUCUAAAAUAUUGCCACAUCAUCUCACAUCAUCUUUGGACUAUAAUACGGUUAACACUUCACAUGGCUCCUGUAUCUUGGACUAUCAUCUCCUAUAUAUUUCUGAAUGUCAUUUUAAUUGCAAAAUUUGUUGGUUCUUGAUUGUAUCUCUAGGUCCCUGCUGAUGGUAUUUUUAUCCAUGGUCACUCACUUGCAAUUGAUAAGUUCAGAGUCACUGGAGAGAGCAAGAUAGUGAGCCUUCCUGCUUGUUCUGGAUCCCUUUUUUAAUUUGAACUUGUUCUUCUUGUUUUCCUCUGUUGUUUUUUUUUGUGUGAGUGCAAUAAAUUUUUUCUGCAGUUCCCUAAGGAUUCAAGGAAACCAUUUCUAAGGUCUGGCUGGAAAGUAGCACAUGGUAGUGCUACUAUGCUGGUAAAGAUUUCAGAUUUUUCUUCUGUGUACAACACACUGUUUUGAAAGAUUCAUAAAGCUCACUAAAGUGAAAUGUUAAAAAACGUAGAAAUUUCUGCAAGUGCCUUUAAUAUAAAGUUCAUGCACUUUUGGCUUACUAAUUACAAUGUUAAUCAGAAUCUGAUCACCUACAAUUUGGAAAUAAACUGAGGGAUCCAACUAAAAGGAUACAAUGACAAUAUAAAGCAUCCAUCAUGAACUUUAUAAGUUUCUGCAAGUGCCUUUAAUAUAAUCCUCCAUUCUUAGUGGAGUCAAUAGUUUGAUUACUGGAAUUAAUAAGCUGAUAGUUGGUAUAAAGAUUAAUAAAAUGUUAUAAAGCUCACUACAUGGUGGCCUGAAACAUAGAAAUUUCUGCCAUAACACGUAGCAGAAAUGUUACACAUCUAUUUGUGGUUUAUUUUGUAAUUAAGCCCUAAUGUGAACACAAACAAUACCAUAAACCUAUGCACACAAGCAUCACAUAAAAAUUCUGCCAAUAGGCAGGGGAUGUGACCCAAACUACAGGGGAAAGAUUAUACUUUUGUGUUUUAUGGAUUAGAAUCAAAUUUCACUUGAGAGUGUGAUCUGGUGAUUGUAUCUUUGGGUGUAGUACAUUAAUACAUGGUGAUAUGUAUGGUCAUGAGCUUCUUGAGGGUCCAAAGAGCACUCCAAAACUAAAUUUCUCUAACUGAGAGAAAUGUGUGGUUGAGCUCCUUCAGGGUCCAAGAGCACUCUUAAACUUAAUUUCACUGACAGGGAAAUCAUCAAUGGGCAUAGGUCAGUGUCUUUAUUAUGGAGAACAUAAUCCUUCAGAAACUCAUACAGACCUGAUUUUCUGUGUAGUGUAGAAUGUGAAGUAGAAUGUACUUAAAUAGAAAAGUGAUCAUUUUGGGUCUUUUGGAGUUUUAAUUUGUAGGAGCUUCAUAGGGCCAAUGUCCUCCACGAGUAACAUAUUUGUGUGAUCGUUGCUUCAUUGUUUUUAAGAGCUUUAGUUACCUUUACCUCUUCAUUACAGAUAACUCCAUAAUUUCUCCCGAGCCAUUCAAAAUAUUACUUCAGACAUUGCAUGCUUGUUUUGACAGGCUUGUACUUUUCCUUUUGCACUAAAGGUUGCUUUUAUCAGGUAAUUGUAGUAGGGAAAUCUACUGAAUCAGGAAUUCUCAGGGCUAGUACUGACUCAAAAAACACCGAGAAUAAAACCCACUUGCAGGUCAGUUCACUCAACUAUUAUUGUAAGGAAUUUGUUCUCUUUAUUGCACGAUGUAUUAAACCAUUAAGGACUCUUCGUAGGUGCUUUUAAAGGUGGUUGCUACCUUCAUGGGUGCUGCUGGAUUCAUGGUUGCUGCCAUUGUUGCAAAUGUUGUUUUGUUUAGGUAAAUAACGUUUGGCUAACUCCCCUGUCUUUCUUUUGAAUGUACUAUGAUCACAUAUAUACAAUUUUUGCAGAGACUUCUUUAAUGGUGAGAAUUCAAAUGGAAGUCCUAAACCUGGAAGCACACUUGAAGAAGUCAUUCGAAUUAGUAUCAUUGCAGUAUGUCUAUCUAUAUGCUUCAUUUUGUUAUAUGUGUACAUGUAUCUAUAUUCAUAUAUAUAUUCACAGGUUCGCUGUUUGAUAAGCUGACAUUUCAGGUCGCCAUUUUUGUCGUUGCAUUACCUCAAGUGCUUCCUUUAGCUUUCAACAUAAGGUAAGUCUGCCUGACAAGUUCAUGUUAAAGAAGGUCCGAAUUUUAUUUACUUCAAAUCUGUUUGCAACUGAUGCACUGACCUGAUUCAGUAAUGCCUUAUCGAUCACCAGGCUGGUUCUGAGAGGGAAUUUCCAAUUGUGUGGAUGUGCGAAAUUAACACAUUCCAAUCGAUCUCUGCAUGUUUAUGCCAGUUGAUCCACAUGUGUUAAUGUGCACAGACACACAGUAUCCAAGUAUUUAAAUACGCAGCAUGGCACUUUUGGCAGUACCACUUAGUACUGAUGUUAAAUAUUUUUGUUUAGUGGAUAGAUUUUAAAAUACUUCGUUUCCAAUUAUCUCAUUCUGUUUUAUAUCCACAUUAACUGCGAUUAUGUGACAUUUGAUUUAUUUAUGAAGAAUUUCCAUUUAUUUUAAAACGAUAAGUAUAUGUCAAUAACCAUAUUUUGGUCGGCUAAUACUUGUUUAGAAUGCCAUCACCCGGUGUGCAAGGGUCUAGCGGGCACAGGGUGGAUGGGAUUAGAGCGAAGAUUGACUUCUUUAUAGUACAAGGAAAACAUGAAAGCAUUUUAUUAUCCUUAUACCAAGGAAUAAAAAUUGGCUGUUGAGUUUCUGUCAUAUGUAUUCUAAAUUUGAUUUUUCUUUCACUUUAAUUGUCUUUCACUGUGACACAGCCGGCUCAGCUCAAUGAUAAAGAUGAAGGCAGACAAUGCCUUGGUAGGUUUACUUAUUUGUUUGUGAUUCUUCAUAACUAUACUUUCAUUUCCCAACUACAUAUACUCCCUUCAGUUUUUCUCUGGCCAGUAUUCUUUGCAUUCAGUUCAUAUGUUUGGUUGAACUUGAAAUGUAGGUGCGGAGGCCAGCUGUAUGUGAAACCAUGGCCUUAUGCAAUGAUGUAGUCUGUGACAAGACUGUAAUAACUUUGAACCAGGUGGGCGAUUUUUUUAAUUAUAGCUUGAAAGUUCUAUAGGCGAGUAAUCACAACAAGUGAUAUAAACUUAAUAGUAAUCAAGAAGUUAAAACCAUGAGGAUAGUUCUCACAAAGAAGUGAAUAGUAUGCUAAAGGAAAUAAGUUUCCUCAAUAGGCAACUAAAGAAAUAGUCAGAGCAAUAAAAUAGUGGGAAAGAAUUGACUAGAUCUAAUCAUGGCCAUUGGUUGCGUUAAAAGUUACUUCUAGCAGUUUAGAGAGGAGGGGGCCCUGACUGAAGGUCUAACACAAGGGUUUAGGCAAGGCCUUCUAUUUUCUUUUGCUCUUUUUUUUUUGCCCCUUUUUUUUCAUCUCUGAAUGAACACAAAUGAGUGCUUUAGGUGAUUUGUAAUAGGUGGUCGCUUUUAAGUGUGAGCGUAGUUCAGAUAUCAAUUCUUCCGUUCAUUUUAGCUUCUGUAUGCUUCUCACUGUAUAACGUUUAUAGCAUCAUCAGUAUUCUAAAAUAUAUGGCUUGUUGUUUUACAUUUUCAUGUACUGUCUUUGUGUGGCGGGGGUGGGAUUUUAUUUCUUCUUUUCUAAAUUAUAAUACUGUAUUAGUUUAUUAGCUUAUGUAGACCAACAAAUUUCAGGACAAUUGUCAACCGGAGAUCAAGGAAUCAGUGGUAGUAUUGCAAAGAGCUGGCAUUAAGGUACUACUUGAUACUUAGUAGACACUAUUGUUUAUGAUAUCAACUUAUUACAGAAUACAUGUAGGCUUCUACUGAUCAUUUUGUAUGGAUGACGUUUGGUUCUCAUUAAAAUGUUUGGGAAGCCAGGUAUUCACUGAGGUUAAGAAGCAAUGGCUGCAAUACAUUGUAGAAACUACAAAGCCAAAAUACUGAUGUUUUCCCACCUAAACUCCAGUCUGCAUUUAGUGCAAUUGCCUGUUUAUUGAGCAUGUAAUAGUGGAUUUUCUUUUGUUUAUUUAUUUAUUUAUUUUUUUAAAUAUGACUGAUUGGAAUUUUAUGAUUUGGGUCUUUCUCUAUUGGGUUCUUCCAUUUUCUAUUUAGUUGUUUUUCGUUUUUAUUUUUCCCAAUCAAGUACCUGAAAUCAGAGACAAUCCGCCCGUUUUCUAGCAGACUCCAAAAUUUGAUCAUCAUUAGAUUUCAUUCAAUUUUCUUUGCUGUGAAAAAGCUAGUUUCUCUAUUAUUUACCACUUCUUUUUGUCCCUAACAGACAGUUCCUCAAGGUCACUACUUUGUUGUUUGUGCAGCAACUAUUGGUAUUUAUGAAGCUUCAUUUGAAUUUUAUCUCUUUCUCUCUAUUAAAAAAUGAAAGUUAAAUGAUUUUCCCUGUUAUCUGAAAAUGAAGUCGUUUUGGAACCAUUGUAUAAUUCCUUCUGGCUUUUCUUCUUUCCUCAACAUGAGUAGUUUUCAUUUAACUAUGUUUAAGCUUCCUGAUAAUCUGAUAUGGUUAAAAAUAAUUAAUUAUGAUUACUAUAUAGCUGUAAAAAGACAAGUAACAGUUUGUGUUUAAUAAGUUUCUAUCCAAUAUGACUUGCAUCUGAAAAAAAUUCCCACAUCAUGGGCCAUAUAUAGGUACGCCUUGUUACGCAUGACAAUCUUCAAACUGCAAAAGCAAUUGCUAUGGAAUGUGGGAUACUUGCUUCUGAUGGGUCAGAUGCUAGUGAGAUAAACUUUAUUGAAGGGGAAGUGUUCCGACAACUUUCUGAUAGUCAGAGAGAACAAUUAGCAGAAAAGAUUUUGGUAGGUUGAGAAUCUACAUAUCUGUAUAUUCUUCAUAACUAUAUUAUUCAUGGUAUUAAGGUUUAAAUUAUUAUGAAAUUUUUGGUGAAUAUAUCAUUCAAUAUAUAAAUGUGUAGGUAAUGGCACGGUCUUCCCCCAAUGACAAACUUUUGCUUGUGCGAGCACUGCGCAAAAGAGAAAAGAUUGUUGCUGUCACUGGAUAUGUCAGUAAUGAUGCUCAUGCACUACAUGAGGUUCGAGAGCAUUUUCUUAUAUGCCAUUUCUUCUUUUGCCUUAAUUCUGAAAAUGAUAUGGAGGUUUUGACGUUCGUUCGAUUAAGGCCCUGAUGUUUUCAUGUUGUCAAGUGGUCAUGUAGCUGUCCAACUGUUGCAAUUCGAGCACAGGGUGUAUUUGGCCUUUUUGUUUUGCUUUUUUUCUUAUUAAUUACUUUAGCAGCUAUAGCCAUUCUUGCAAUCAAGCUUGUCACCAUGAUACAGUUUGUUGAUUUACUACCGUUUCUAAAAAGUUAGGAUGUGAGCCAACAUGCAGUGGGCUUAUUCUGACAUGUGAUGCUUGAUGGUGUUUCUUAAAUGUUAAAUCUAUUUCUUUCAUUCAGGCCGACAUUGGUAUUGCUAUGAGUGUCCAAGGGACUGAAGUGGUUAAAGAGAGUUCAGACAUCAUAAUCUUGGAUGACAAUUUCACUACUAUAGCCAAGGUUUGUUUCUUUGUAGAGAGUAAUUCAAUGUUGUUGCUUUUUAUCUUCCUUUACUUCACUAUAUGUGCUCAUAUGAAUCUCCACAUGCAAAAUUUGUGAGGGAAUAAUUGAAUUGAAAUUUGUUCGGUGGGAGAUUGUAACACCAAUGGUAUUGGAAGUUGACCAAUUUUGUGAAACCAAAAAGAUAAUUAGCCAAUAUUGGUUUUGUUUGUUUGGUGUCUGGACACACUAAAGACCAUGAUAUCAAAGUUUUGACAUUACAAGAUGACAAGAUGUAACUUUUUAAACUGUGCGAGGCAUGCGAUUCAAUAUAAAUUUAGUGUUGUGAAUCCUACUAUUAAACAUGUUUAUUAUAUCUCUGGAUGUUGGAUCUCUUUUUAGUACUUUGAAUUGCUGAUUCAUCAAUGACAUUAAAAUUCUUCAGAGUUUCAAAUGGGGACGAUCUAUGCAUGAAAGGGUUCUGAGAGUUAUGCAGCAGCAACUUACAGCCAAUAUUGUAGCAGCAACAGUAAACUGCUUGGCGGCAGUUUACUAUCGUCAGAUUCCGCUCAAUGCUGUGCAGGUUUUCUCUUUGUUUCUUGCACUUUCUGUUUAUUUCUCUCCAUUGGUGCACCUAAGGAUGUGGAUGUAUUAAUUUUUUCUGCUUGUCCUUUGCACAGUUUGUGUGGGUGAAUGUUGUCAUAUUUUGCCUUGGACCACUAGUAUUGGCUAAUGAAUCUCCGGCUGAUCACCUGAUGAACGUACCCCCUAUUGACCAAGGGUAAGAUUGCUUUGAUGGUAAAGUAGAAUCAGUUGGUUCUCAUUGAGGAUCCCCAUAUAAGAAUACGCACGCAGUGUGUGUGUGUGUGUGUGUCAUGGUUUGCCACUCUACGUACUUCAUCGAUCCAAGUCCAACUGUCUAUCAUUAGAACUUCACUAUUAUCCAUUCCCUUGCCAAAAAUCAGUGAAGUAUAAUGGUAGGAAGCUCCAGAAAGAAUUAGCUGUAACAUAAUCUGCCCCAUGCUUGAAGAACGAAGAAACAAAUUAGUUUCAAUGAUUAUCUUUUAGUCUCUUCAUCCUUUCUUUUUGCUGGUAUAAUUAUAUUCUCUUCUUGCUAUACGGUUGUUAAAACUGAACCCAUAUCUCGUGAAAUUUGAGUUCACUAAUCAACAAAACCAAAUUCUGUGAUGUUUAUAGUAAUGUUCUUCUGGUACAUUUUUCACAGACAACCUCUUCGAAAAUAUAUUCGGUGGAAGAGACUGUUGAUACAGGUAGAUAAUCUUUUCUUGAACUAAAGCAAUCAAAAGUAUUACCAUUGUCUUUGAUAAAUUUUUACUGUAAUGUGGCUUGGAACUUUCAGGUUGUGUACCAAAUUAUUGCCCUGCUUGUCAUCAAUUUUCAGGGAGGGAGUUUACUGAAAAAUUAUACUAGAGACCAUGCCACCAAAGUGAAGAAUACAAUGAUAUUUAACACAUUUGUUGUUUGUCAGGUAAUUUAGUAAUCACUAGCUAGUUAAGUACAAAGUAAUUCCCCUUUUCUUUGUUUCUAAUCAAGAGACUUCCUGGGUUGAUUUAGGGUGUUAUAAAGCAAAGUUAUUUGAAAUGGUUCUUUAUUCAUUCGUGGUUCUAAACAUCAGCGGUUCCUGAUGUGUUCUCUUCUUGAUGCUGCAUAUGUUUGUAUUUUUAUUUUUCUAGGUAUGUUUAUCUGAUUGAUUUUUUCAAAAAGGUGCCUUACUAGGCCAUCAACAAUAUGAGGAAUAUGACAAGCUUCCCAUUUUGAUUUCGGAUGUUAUAAAGCACAAUGAUUUGAGUUUUUCUGUUAUUCAAAACAUUUGAAACAUUAGCACUUCCAUUGAAUUUCAUAUGCUGCAUGAUUAUCAUUUCAAUGAAUCUAAUUUCUUCACAUCUCAGAUUUCCAUUGAAUUUGGUGUUCGAAAGACUGGUAUAGUGGAUCAUCCUUUGAAAUGGAUUACUGCUAACUCCGUGUUUCUGGGAAUAGUGGGAAUAAUUCUUGUGAUUCAGGUGCGACGUUUUGUACUCUUUUUUCUUUUCUGUCGUGUGGCUUGAAGAACAUUCCCAUUUGUUUACACUUUAUCUUGCUGUUCUGUAGUUUAUCAUCAUUGAGUUUCUUGGGAAGGUGUUUUUCAUAGUCAGGCUUAACCGGAAAGAGUGGCAGUUUUCCCUUACUGUUGGUAUUGUCGAGUAAGUUGAUGAUUUCAUUAGUUCAUUAGAGUUCUAAGGGUGUAACCCAAAUGUCAUUUGUAGUUAAUGAUGAUUCUUUUCUAUUUAAGAUUCAUUUCUUUUAUUCUCACCCCACCCCACUGAUGCCAGUAAGAUUUGCGUUGUUAAUGAAGAUGAUUAUCACAUGUGAUUAUAUGUGCUCAAGUUCCCUGAAUUUCAUGUUUGGGGUGCAGGAUGGUAUUGGCUAUCCAGUCGAGAAAAGAAAAAUAUGGUUAUAUCAGUGUCACGCAAGUGACUUGUCUUCUUUUGUUUGCUGAAAACUUUCUCUUCCUCUCUCCCAGGUUGUUGUUUGCACUGCUUAUAUUCCUGAAGUACAUGACGCAAAGGAAUCAUCAUUAAGAUUCAACAUUGGUGAUGUUUAUGGUUUAAAAGGAUCCAUACAUGAUGAAUUUCUUGUGCAGAGGAAUUGCAGCAAGUGAACUUGAAAGUUGUCUUGUUUGGUGUAUAUAAGAAAUACACUAUGCAGUUGAUUUUUUUUUACAAUGCUGCCGUUUAUGCAAGUAUGACUGCUAAGAAACUCUACUGCAUAACCACCGAUUGGCUGAUGUUCGAUAGGUAGAUUAGAGCUGCAAUGGAACUUUUGGGACUUUUUCUUUCAUUCCUAGUUUAGCCUUUCCUAUUCUUGGGGUUUUUAUUUUUUUAUUUUUAUAUCAGCAAUGACAGUAUUUGGGCAAGUUUUUUGAUGAAACAGUACUUAGGCAAGUUGUACAUCAUAAUUGAACAUUACAUUUGAUCAGUUCAUUCUUGAACCCUGUUACUCUCUCUCGCACCUUCAUCUUCCUCAUUUUGUGAUUUAGUUUCUUGCGUAUGCUUUCAUCAAUUACAGAAACAUGUUUGAAUAACCAUUCUAAUUAUCAAUUGAACUUGAAUGGUAUCAUUUUGUAUAAAUAGGUUGUAUAGGAUUCCAGCUUCAGCAUAGAGGAAGGGCCUUAUGUAUACGAUUCAUGAGUCGUUCUGAACAACAAAACCCUGUCUAAUUAAGAGUAUAUGAAUUUUUGAGCUGAUGGCUUUAGCAAGACAAAGAAGUUAAUCACCUAAUCAUGUGUAAUAUGUCCCUUUUAAUCUUCAGUUCGAAGGCACGAUAUCUCGUAGGUACAUAAGUACUGACAAGUUAAAUAGGUACCUAUCCUAAUUCGUGAGGGCACCUAUCUUCACCAUUCCAACGCAAUCAACUUUACAAAGGGACUCCAUUUUAGUCCAUAUAUAUUAGCCAUGAACAAAGGGACUCCAUUUAUAAUUUCUCCUGUGGCAAACGUGCAUAGUACUCUCUUAUUUUCUUGGAAUGGAGGCUGUAGCAAACAUGCAUAGUACAACCGAAAUCUAAAAUUCAAUUAUCACAAUUUGAGUGUUUAUACCUUCAGAGAGUGAAAACAUCUCCAUUUGGCAUUUUGAUGUGACCGAACUCUUUGCACAUGUAGCAUUGUACACUCUUCCACAACGGAACUAAAUAUGGACCUGCUCCUUAUCAGACCUAUCAUUGGAUGUCCUUCCACGAUUUCCAUCCUGAGCAAUUAACACUCAUAUCCAACUCUUCUUGGACGACUAGGGUGCCUAAGGACUAAAGAGGCCAAAGCCGUGCUCUUUGAUCUUGUAAAGUGUAGACUGAGGUAGUUCCAAUGGGUUCCAAAUACAAGCGGUCUUUAUAACGAAGAUCACUAAAAUGAGUACUCAUUUAAUUGUUAGCUGAAAAUUUGUAAAAAUUAUCUCUACUUUUUUUAAAAAAAAAAAACGUUUUAUUAAUAACUCACACACCCUACAUAUGUCAGUGAGAUUUGAACCCAUAACCUCAAAGUUGUUAGUUAAACACUUUAACCUUAAAAUUAUCUCUACUUAUAUAGACUUAAAAACUAAAUAAUUAGAGAUGAAAAAAUAUGAUUGAAAACUGAGUAUAAUAAACCAUUAAUAAUAUAUAAGUCUUCGACUAAACGGUGAACCCUCAACCAAAUGGUCAACCGUCCUUCAAACUGGAUGAUUUUCAUUUCCAACGACCAGACCGUACUUGGCAGUUGCAGUUACCGGGGAAAAGGAGCAAAAAGUCAAAAACACCGAAACCAUGGAGGCGACGAUGACGAUGACGAUGACGUUGACUAUGAGUCUGGCAAGUCUCAAACCCAAACCGAUCCGACCCAAAAGCCCUUACCUUCCCCAAACACUGAACUCAAGUAGAAUCUUCAAGUCCUUGUCUCUCCCCAACCCUUCAGUCGGAGUCGGAGCCCCGACUCUGGUGGAUCAAUUCGACCCGACCAUCCCAAUAGAGCGGGCCGUCACUCCCCCCAGCUCAUGGUACACCGAUCCUUCCUUUUACGCUCAAGAACUCCACUCUGUUUUUUACCGUGGAUGGCAAGCUGUAGGUCAGCUCUUAUUUACUUCACACUCGUAUCUCUCUAAUGAUUACAACAAUCAAGUUUAUGAGCUUUUAGGUUAUUUUCGAGCUUUCAGGAUAUACUGAACAGAUAAAGAAUGCUGGGGACUUCUUCACCGGCAGGUCUGGUAUUGCAAGCUUUUUGAUGAAUGAUUAGUAGUUAAGUAGUGUUUGGAUAUCGAGUUCUAAUGACUUUUGUUGAAUUAGCAGAUUGGGGAAUGUGGAGUUUGUUGUGUGUCGAGAUGAUAAUGGCAAGCUUCAAGCUUUCCACAAUGUGUGUCGCCAUCACGCCUCAAUUCUUGCUUACGGAAGUGGCCGAAAGUCGUGCUUCGUGUGCCCUUAUCAUGUUAGUUUUACCUUGUUACAUUGAAAUUACUCCGUGUUGAUCUCUAGAAUCUACUUAGGUAACUUACAUUAUAAGAACCACUGUGUGUUGUUUGCUAAUUGAUAAAAUACAGAACGUUUACCUUGUAAGGAUACUUGUUGUGAUUAGGAGUUUGUAACGAAACAAGUUAACCUUUGUCCGCUUCUUUAUAGAAUAUUUCAGUAACAACAAAAGCUAGCCGUGCUGGUACAGCUAGUUUUCGCCUUGAAUAGAAUAUAAAGAAUUUUGUUGUUCUCAAAGGUUGCUGGUAUUUUUGUUAGGAACUUGUUUAUUAAUGAUUUCACAGAAUUUGAUUUGCAGGGGUGGACAUAUGGGUUAGACGGUGCACUUCGCAAGGCAACUAGGAUAACAGGAAUACAGAACUUCAAUAAGCAUGUAUGCUCUGACACUUUUUUAAUGCAAUCUCAUUCCGCUAUUGGAUAAUUACUGUCUAAAUGGGGGGAUAAUCUAGUUGAUUUGUCUGACCAUGAAAGGUAGGAGUUUGGGCUUACACCAGUAAAAGUAGCUACUUGGGGACCGUUUGUCCUUGCAAAUAUGGAGCCAGAGGUUGAUAGUGAUGUAGAAAUCGUGGAAAGCAAAUGGCUUGGGACCUCUUCAGACAUACUGAGUAAAAACGGGGUUGAUUCAUCAUUAACUUUUGUUUGUAGACGUGAAUAUAUGAUUGAAUGUAACUGGAAGGUACAUUUCUGUGCUUCUCUCAAUUGAAAUUUCCACCCUAUUUGAUCAUCUCUUUGAAACUGAAAUCAGAAUUUUUUCUAUUUUUAACUUCUUUCAGGUCUUUUGUGACAACUACUUAGAUGGGGGAUAUCAUGUGCCUUAUGCACAUAAAGAUCUAGCAUCUGGUCUCAACCUGAAUGGUUACUCUACCACAGUAAGCUUACUUUUGGAUGUGUACUCCAGUUGCUGUUUCUUGACCAAAAGUAUACAGUGGAAGUGUCGGUUGUCUCACAUCUUACUUGUUUCCGAUAAAAUUUAGGUAUAUGAAAAGGUCAGCAUUCAAAUGUGUGAAGGGGGUUCAACAGAGAAGAAAGAUGACCAUGAUCGGCUUGGAUCAAAAGCCCUUUAUGCUUUCAUUUAUCCCAAUUUCAUGAUUAAUAGGUAAGUAAGCAAUGACUAAAAUGGCAAAACAAGUGAAUCAGUAGAUGUGUCUAUGAUAAUUCUGCUUUACUGAACUGUCUGUGGUUUCCAAUAGGUAUGGACCAUGGAUGGACACCAAUCUGGUAAUCCCUCUUGGACCUAGGAAAUGUCAAGUGAUAUUUGAUUACUUUCUUGAAGCUUCUGUCAAGGUAAUACAUUUAGUUUCGUCAAUGAAUGGUUUGUUCUAGACUUCUAGUAUGUUUAUUGAUAGUCUAUGUAUAUAGUGGUGCCAGUUUGUCAAUCUAUGUAACUCAAAUUUCUUUUGCAAAUUAGUUUCAUUAGGAACAGACGGCUCAUACCCAGCAUCUGCUAUCCUGUUUAUAACAACCAGUCCAAUAAAUCUCUAUCGAAAAAAACAAACAGAUCCAAUAAAUCCGAAUAAAUAAGUGAAACCCACAACUUAAUAUACGUUAUUAUACAUUUGAAACCUUACUGUUUCCAUUGGUGUGUAUAAUUUCUCCUCGGGUUCUCAGGAUGACAGUGAUUACAUAGAGAGGAGCUUGAAUGAGAGUGAAAAAGUACAGGUAAUGCCAUUAUAACUGGGUUUAUUAUCUAUCAUCCAUAUUAUGGAGCGCAUUGCAAAUUUCAAUCUCCUUAUUAUAUGGACGCCCAAUUCAUAACUGGUUGGCUGAUGAUAUUCAGAUGGAAGAUAUCGUGCUGUGUGAAGGUGUUCAAAGAGGUCUUGAAUCACCCGCAUACAAUAUUGGUAGAUAUGCACCAACAGUUGAAAAUGCAAUGUACCAUUUUCACCGUCUGCUCCAUGAGAGCUUAAGAGAAUAAUCUGCCGAAUUUGCCCUCGUGUAUCCAUUUUCCAUGGUCUAAAACGGCUUGGAGAUUAAACAGAAAUGUAAAUCCAUUUGCCCCAACCAUUUGUAUCAUGAAUAUUUUGAAGUUUUUGGCUUUCGAAUGUGGCCGUCAUUUCACUUGCUAACCUGAUUGAUCCAAAUCAAUUACGAAGCAUGGAUUCAACUUUCAAUAGAGAUUGGUAGCGAACAGACAUCGACAUGGUCGCAACUGAUACAGUUGAACAUGAACUCCUUCAGGGUGUCUUAGGUUUCAACUUAAAGAAUGUAUUCUGAAACUAGUGGUUGGUCUUCUGUAUCACAAAACACAGCCCUCGACAAAGCAAGGAACCAGGAUCUUAUUAAGCAAAAGAUGUUAUCAGUGGGUAAAAUUAUAGAUCCGGAUUCUCUGUCUAGAUUUAAGUUGCUUGGAUGUCUUAUAAGUCACACACAUUGGUCUACAAAAAUACAAUAAUCAGACCAAGACAUAUGACUCAUAUAAUAUGAAUUGUAGUGUUGAAUAUGAUAAUCAUAUAUGCUUUUGGAGCAGCAGACUAUUUCCCCUAUAAGUGGAUAGAAAGGAUGAAUCCAACUGGAUGACUGAUCACUGACUUCCAUUCCUUGAUUAUAGUCAUAAACAUUAUAGUCAUAUUGAUUGUUGUCUUAUUGUGAUUCAUUUGAGGUCCCAGUCCCAUUAUAUAAACUGAUAGAAUCAAAACUUAGCGCAACAUCUUGAUCAUCAUUUGGACCUUUAAUCCUCCUCCCAUACAUGGUAUCCUCUUGCGCUCCAUACCUCCUCCUCUCAUACAUGGUAUCCUCUUGCGCUCCAUACCUAAUACUUCUAUAGCCAUGAUCAUGAGAGGCAUGAUCGUAAUUUUCAGUCAUUAUCUUUCUCACUAGUACACCUUAUCUUUCUUAAUUAUACUCAUUUAGUCAUUCUCUUUCUCAAGUGUAAAUAUUCCUCCACUCAUCUCCAAGUUUAAUAAUUAUGUAAUAAAUCGAUCUGCAUCUAGAUAUCUCUCAAAAGGAAUCAUGCUCUUCUUGAGACCACCACUCUUCAUUGGGAUACACUUCAAGGGAAUUACUUCUCUUUUGGAAAUCACUCAAGACCCUCGCUCUUCAUUGGGAUAUACCUCGAGGGAAUUACUUCUAUCCUAGAUAUCACUCGAGACCCACACUCUUCAUUGAGAUAUACCUCGAGAGAAUUACUUCUCUUCCGGAUAUCAUUUCAAUUUUUUUACAGAUAUUUUUUUAAUAUAUCGGUGAUAUAUCAAAAAUAUCAUAAAUAUCAACGAUAUUUGACGGUAUCAGAGAAAUAUCGGGAAAAUCGUAGAUACGAUGGAAGAUAAGAUAUUGACCCCUAUAGAUAUAUCGGUCAUUCGAAAAAAAGAGACAUCGGAAGAUAUAUCGGAUAUAUCACAGAUAUUUAAUCCUUGUUUAUAACCAUUAGAUGAAAUAAGAAUGACAUAAGGAUGACAUGGUGAUCCGAAAUUGUACUCAAUCCAAUGGUUAAAAAUCAUCCAAGUAAAUCCAAACAACAUAAUUCCAAACAGAGAAACCAAAUUAUAAAAAAAAUCGGGGUGAAAUUUCAUCACCAUGAUAAGGAACCAAGGCCCUGGAAUUAUCAUGGUGAUGAAAUUUCAAAUCAUUAUGGUGAAAGGGUUUUGGAAUUUAUGGUCAAAAAGUUUAAGGUAACUCGUAACAAUUAGGUCUGUUAGUGGCUUAUGCAAGCAAACCACAAUUUGUAACAAUAAAAACAACUGUUACCAUUCUUGUGCACAAAAAAACAUGGAUCCAAAUUUUAACUAUUCAGGUUUAUGUUACCAGCAUACUAUAAGACUGAUAGACUUGAAGGGUAUUUCAUCGCCAAUAUUAAGCAGAAGGUUAAACUUUGCAGUAAUCGGAAUAAAUGACCAUAUUAAAUGACCCAAAACAAAGCACAUUGACAUAUGUUUCAUAUUAACAAACCAUCAUUAACAAUUAUCAGUGUGAAAACCACAAACCAAACUACUACAUUUUUUAAAACUGCACAAAUGACCAAACUAACUAUUGACUUGUUUUGUUAGAAUGGGAGGCUUGCCCAUAUUAAAAAAAAUCCCAAAUACAAGCACCUCAUCAACAAAAGAUUUGACCACAGUUAAACUAUCCUCGCCUUGUUAGCCAAAAACAAAGGGAUGCAAACCCACAACCAUAUUACUUAAAACCCUCUCGCUUCCUCUACUGACUAACCUGAAAGACAAACAAGAGUAAAAGAAUAAUUAUCAGAAGCUGGUGGUAAACACAUGCAACAAUAAUUUAAAGCUCCAAGACAUGUACAUGGUUUAAUACACUUACCUCUGCUCUUGCUUUUCGCCUGCGGAAUAUUCUGGGGCAGGAGGUGCAGUACUUGAAGGCAGAAGUCCUAGUGAUAUACUUGUGGAAAGGAGUUUCAGGUACUGGAAUCAACUUUCCAACAACAGCAAGAGGCCAACUGCAAGAUAAGAAAAGAGUAAUGUUAACUUCACAAAUUAUCUAAAUAUAGAGCAAGACAACUAUCACAUUUGUGUUUCUUUUAUGAAAGCAUGAAUUAGUCCACAGUCAGUACCCAUUUUCGCUAUGAAAUUACCUGAUAACAGCAAUGACGACCGAAAUCAACCAAUACUUCCAGUUAAGGCGGACUGUAGUAGUAAACUUCCCCAGGAACUCGACAAUGAGAAUCUAUAUAAAAAAUAAAAAAAGCAAGAAAAUUGUAAACCACUGCCUGUACCAUUAUGGUACCAUAGCAAAAACAAGAUGAUAUAUGCCUCACCUGAAGCACAAGGGUCACUGCGAUUAUUCCCAUAAAGAGAUAAUUUUUAGUAAUUCCUUUGAAUAUGUUGAAUUCAUCUGGCUUCCUGGCAUUGAAUUCAUUGAAAAUCUGCAAUUUGCACAUUGAAAGUUUAAUCAUUUAGUAAAGAACCAAAACCCAAGUAUAACACCAAAACAACCCACAAGAUGUCCCGUUGUUGAAACAGAGAUAAAAUAUUAUUAUGGAUCUCUUGUGGUCAAUAAAAGAAAGAAUUCCACACUACACAGUAACUGGAAGGGACUUACUUGACAAAGGACAAAUGUGUUGAAUAUCAGUGUGUUCUUCACUUUGUCCGCAUGCUCAGUAGUAUCAUGUUCCAGAUUGAGAAUACUUUUCCCUCGGAAAUUCAAGAUAAGAAGGACAGUAAUUUGGUAGACAGCCUGAGUAAAAAAAAAACCAAAAAUAUAAAACACUAGAGCAUGUUCUGCAGAAAAACAAUCCAAGGACAGGAAGAACUUCUUUUGCUCAAGAAUCAAGAAAAGAACGUGUACCUGAAUCAAUAAGUUCCUCCACAUUAUAUUAGUUAUCAGCGGUUCCCUGUAAAACCGUAACGUUACAAUCAGAGAGGUCAAAACACCAGCCAUAUUUCUUUAAAUGACAUCAUUGUUUCAUACACGUGUCAAUCAUGGCCUUCAACCACUGUAAAUCUAGAAUGUGCAACACCAUCAAAGAAGUCUUACCUUCGACCAACAGGAGGUCUGUCCAUCAGAUGAUUCGUAGGAGGCUCAGUAGCCAAAGCAAGUGCUCCAAGAGUAUCCAUAAUAAGAUUCACCCACAGAAGCUACACAAACAAGAAACAAAGGCAAAUCAAUAGGUGCACACAUGGAGACAUAAAUGCAAGUGUGAGUGAGUGAGUGAGACCAGAAACAAAUGCAAAUCAAUAGGUGCACACAUGUAGACAUAAAUGCAAGUGUGUGUGUGUGAGAGAGAGAGAGAGAGAACCUGAACAGCAUUUAGUGGGACUUCACCAGAAGAAAUUGCUGCCACAACAUUGAUAACAAGUGCGGCAACAUUGACAGUGAGUUGAAAUUGGAUAAAUUUCUGAAUAUUUGCGUAAACAGAACGUCCCCAUCUAACAACCUACACCAGUCAAGCAAAUUGGAAUCGUAGAUGAAUCAGCGUUAGACAAUAAGAAUAAGAAUCACAAUAACAAUACAGCACCAAGAAAACGACACUUUUGAUAUCCAACUCUUCCAUACACCGGGAAAUUGAUAUCAAAUCUUCAUUUGGAAUUGCAGGCCUCACACAUCAAAUCUCAUGAUCACUACAUUGCUAAGUAGAAAGUUUUAACAUUUUAAGUAGAGAAGUUAUGACCACUGAAACUAAAGAAAAACAUCAACUUGAGAAACAGUUUUAUACUAACCUUCACAACUGAAGCAAAAUUGUCAUCCAAGAUAAUGAUAUCAGAACUCUCUUUGGCAACCUCUGUACCUUGAAUACCCAUAGCAAGACCAAUGUCGGCCUGGUCAAAGAUUCCAAGAUAAAGGACCAUUAUAAGCUACAACAUUUGGUAACAAGGAGAAUGUGACUUCAAAUACGAAAACAUAACUAUAAUAAAAGUCAAAAAAAGAAUCAAACCUCAUGUAGUGCUGGAGCAUCGUUAGUGCCAUCUCCAGUAACAGCAACAACAUGUCCCCUUCUCCUUAGAGCUUGAACAAGCAGAAGCUUAUCAUUGGGAGAGGAUCGCCCCAUUACCUAUACAUACAAUAAAUAAUAAAUAAAUAAUUUGUGUAAGUUAAUUCAAGAGAAUAAACUAGUAGAUAAUCCACUAAUCCAAUCUUACCGAGAUUUUCUCAGCAUAAUCUUCUCUCUGCUUAUCAGAAAGCUCACGGAAGACUUUGCCUUCAAUUAGAAUUGGCUCACAAAGCUCUGAAUCAGAAGUCAGUAUGCCACAUUCUAAUGCUAUUGCCUUCGCAGUCUGGACAUUGUCUCCGGUAACCAUGCGCACCUAUGGCACAAAUAUAUUGGAAGGGAAACUUAAAAUUCCAACCCAAUCUGCUUUCAUAGCAGCUCUAACUAAAAGAAAUUCAAGCACAUUGGUAAAUUGAUUGGUUCACAAAAGAAAAUGGCACAUUGGAUUUCAAGGACCAGGAAACCGCCACAAAAUAAUGCAGAGGAUGUAUAAGGAUAAGAGUUCAAUCAAUUUUGGGAGUGAGAGACGCUAAACAAAGCUGAGAAAAAUGGGUCCCCGAAUCCUAUCUUAAUUAGACGCAAUCAUCCCUAUUCAGUUGCAUUCUAAAAAAAUAAUAAUAAUAAUAUUCUUAGAACGAGUUGAAGUAUACCUUGACGCCAGCCUUUUGGCAUAGUCUCACUGCAUCUCCAACACCUGGUCGACAAGGAUCCUGCAUUUUAAAAUAUAUUUAGACAUGAGUUAAAAUAAUUGAAAUAGAUUCAGAAAGGGAAAGAAAAAUAUCAGUGGAAAGAGCAGCCAGAAGACAAUACUAGAUUGCCAACCACUAAAGGCAGAGAGGAGGUGUUUUCUAUUUUGUUUUAUAAGAGAUGUACAUGGUUCUAAAAAACGCCGCCUAGGCGCUGGGCGGCAGGGGACCGUUCCGAUUUUGCACAAAUCGUCGAAACUCGGCGCCAGCUCAAAAAACGGCCGCCUAGGCGGGCUAGGCGGCGCCUGGGCGGGCUGGGCGGUGCCUGGGCGGGCUGGGGUGGCCCAAUUAUGCUUUUUUCUUUUCUUUUUUUUUUGCUGGCCCAAUUAUGGGUUUUUUUUUUCCAUUUUUAACCUAUCGGAUGAAAAGGAAGAAGAUGAAAUAGACUUUGAGUUUGAGACCGACACAGAAGAAGUGCAAGAGGGAUAUGGAGAAGAAGAAUUUGAGGCAUAGGCUAGUAAGAAUCUAAUUUGUUUCUUUCAAAUUGUUUUUUUUAUAAUUUCUAAGAACCUUGUUGUUGAACAUUUUGUCUAUUUUUGAAGUAUUUUGCUAUUUUAGAACAUAAUAAUGAUUUUAUAAAUUUUAUUUAUAUAAUUAUUUGAAUUAAAUAAAUAAAAGUUAUAGAAAAUAAAAAACCGCCUAGGCGCCCGAUUAAUCCUCUGGGCGCUAGUCGGGCGGACAGCCAGCGCCUUGGAGAUGUAUCAGAUAAAAUCACGAGGAACAUCCAACCAGCACUAGACCUAAGAUAAAAGGGCAGCUGUCUCUCCACAACCCUCACCUGAACCCAUCAAUUUGCAAAAAGGUGGAAAACAAGCUAGGUACCCCAAUUACUUUCUGAAACUAGCUACGUAUCCAUGUGCAUGUAUAGAUGUGUGGAGCACUACCUUUAUACCAACAAUAGCAAGUAAAACAAGGUCAUCUGCAGGCAAUGCCCAAUCAGCUAAUUGCUCUUCACCAGUUGGAACAUUUCCCAAUUCAUAUGGUAAAUACGCCAUGGCAACACAACGCAAACUACCACUAGCCAUUUCCUCAAUUGAUUUCCUGAAAAACAUACGCUGCAAACAAAGGUGAUAUAUUAGAACGAGCACUUGACAAAUUUAUGAAGUAUGAACAAGUAAACAACCCCCCACUUAAGGUAAACAAAGAAUUUGUGGUGCUCUUUGAAAUGGUUUUGAGCCUGGGCAAGUUACAAUUUUCUUUAGCACAAGGAGAAGUUGAGAUAAAAUAAAAAAACAAAUAAAAAACAAAGUUAACGUGUAAAAAUCACCUCGCGGCAAGGGAAAAUUAAACAAAUAUACAUAAUGGUGUUAAUAAUAUAAAACUAACUUGAGAAAAACCAUUGCAAAACAACCAACUGUUUACUGUAAAGGCCAACCUUGUCAUCGUCCAUUGCUGCCACCUGAUCAUCGCUGUCAAUGUAUCUCGUGCACGAGGCUAAAAUUAUUUCAGCAGCCCCUUUCCAGUGUAUAUGAACUUCAGAGUUUGGCUGUACAUACAGAGAAAGACAAUCAUUGAGAAUAAUUAAAAUACCAUCAUUUUUCCAUCUACAGGAAUGAAAUUCUAAUAUACAAGGGUCUCACUUUCUGAGAUACCCAAAAGGUACAACAAUGAUUGGGUUGUGAAAUUAUUGUAAAACUGAAAAACUACGAUCGAAAGUGCAAGCACGACCUCAAGUAGCAUACGACAUGCAAUCCUUCAGAAAUCUGCUGCUAAAACUCAAAAGUGACUAAAUCUAAGAAAAAUCAGUCAACACAUACCAAUUUAACUGCUACACCGCCUCGUUUUUUCUCGGAGUUGAAGGGGAAAACAUGAAGAAUUGAAGAUUGAGACCUGGCAGCUACAAAAUUCAUCCCAAGCUGCAAAUAAGGUUGAAUAUCAAACAGUUAUGAAGUUACCAACAAGAAACUGAUAUGACUAGAUAUCGAAAAACUGAACAAGAAAAAACCUUGAGUGCCCACUGCAGAAUUGCCUUCUCCGUUGGCGAUCCAGUAACCUCAACAUCACCACCAGUCUACAAAAGAGUAACAGCCACAGAACGUUAAUUAUCUCACUACAAGUCGGAAAAGCUUAAUAUCCUACCAGAGACUAUUACACAGAGAAACAAGACAAAUACUUCUACUCUUUUAUGAAUACCUCAGGCACAUAAACAUUGCCAGUUGUAUUCUGAGCGAUUCCUUCAAUAAUCAAAGACGAUAUUGUUGGCGACAGGUCUGGCUUGCCAUCAUUGCUAUUGACUUUCCUCAAACAAGCACAAGACUCGACCACAGUCAUCUACAUUCAAACAAAUAAAACCAUUCAAUAUGGUUGAUAGCUAACUCAUCAUCUACAGUAAUCUAAUAAAUAAGGUCACAACCAUCCAAAAUUAUGAAUAAUAUAAGGAAAAGAAUCAGAGUCUAAUAUAGCCCACCUGGUUCAAAGUUAAGGUACCAGUCUUAUCACUGCAUAUAGUAGUGGCCGAGCCCAUUGUUUCACAUGCAGAAAGCCUACGUACCUACAUUUUAAAUUCCAUCUCAAUUACAUAAGAUCUACUUCAGAAUCAAUGAAGGUAAAGAUAUAAAAAGGACAACUAGACAUACCAAGGCCUUAUCUGCCAUCAUUUUUCUCAUUGAGUAGGCAAGUCUGUUAAUGGAGGGGGGGAAAGAAAGAUGAGGAAAGAUGAACAAAUAAUACAUACUACACACAAAAAAAUGGAGAUAAUGGAGUCCUACAACCCUUUUGAUCAGGUUCGACUACCCUCACACAUGGCUCAUAUAUAGAAUUGAAGACUCGCAACCAAAAGUACUUCAAUUUAGUUUAAGCAUAAUAGGAUGAGCUACUUACGUUAAGGUAACAGCUAAGGGGAGGCCUUCAGGAACAGCAACCACUACAAUGGUGACCUAUAAUAUUUUUCCAUUAGACAGGAACACGCACAAUAACAGUAUCGGUAAACAAUUACAAGGACAUAAUCAUUCAUAUAUAUUGACAUACUGCAAUAGUGACAAUUUUGAUGGCUCCAUCUAUGGCUUUCCCAAAUUUCGUCGUCCCGCUAACAAACUGAGGAGUUCCAUUUGCAUUUAGUGUAUGACCAGUAAAGUAUCUGCAGAGAAUUUACAAUAUGAUCAUAAAUCUUGUCAGUUCCUGCAGUGUAGAUUUAUGAAACGAUAAUACUGAUGCAACAAAUCGAAGUAACCAAAUCAACUCAAAAUUAAGCAUGAAUGAUCCAAAAUUUAUAAAAUAUUAUCCAGACUUGUACAGAAUUUGGCUUGGCUCCAUUCAGUAUCAGACCUAUCUGCGUCUGGAUCUGACCGGGACACAUCAUGACAAAUUUAUGCAAACUUAAAACGUAUCCAUUCCAAACAUUAAUAUAGGGAAGCGGUGGUUGGCAGAAUUCACCUGACCAAAAGGACGAUCAAGACCAAAAAGGCCACUGUGAGUCCCACAAUACCAAUGAAUGUAGCAACUCCGUUUAAGCGCACCUAAUAAGAGUCAAGUAUAGUUUAGUACAGCAUACUAUUCACAGAACACUAGUAAAAUAAUUUAUUACAACUGACCUGCAAGGGUGUUUCUUCACCGGUGUCUUCUGAGAUACUAGCCAUGAGUAAUCCCCAUUCAGUAUUAAUCCCAACACUAGUUACCUGAAUAUAGAUAACAAAUACUUAAAUAUUGAAAGUUCUUUUCAGUACUAAUAUGUUGUUAAACAAGGAAUUUCUAAUGCCCAUCUUGUAAAACCAAACAUAAAAAAUAAACAAAUAAUAGUUGACCCGAAACAACACAAAUUCUCGGCACAUUUCAAACUCAUCUUUCUUUGUUCAAACAAAUAUUAGUUGUAAAACCAAUCUUGGAAAACCUCAUUACUAAUUAAGAACUGGGAAACUAUCUUUAUAUACUAUUGAAACAGCAUAACCUUUUCAAACUCAUAUGUCAAGCAACCUUGCUAAACAACUACGGCACGUUUCUUAAUGAACUUCCCAUAAUUUAAUGUUUCUUUUUAUAUCUGUUGCUUUUAUCCAAAACCUGACUGUUCACCUUAUUUCCAAUCCCCCAAUGCUGAAAUUUUAUGCAUUAUUAAUCCAACCAGUAGAGAUGUUCCUUUCAUAACCUAGCUAGCCUAGUAAUUGGGAACUUUAGAUAAUAAACUAAACUAGAGGAAGAAGAAAUAGAAUGUUCACGUGCAAAAAAGGAAAUGAUAAUCAUCAGAAUCCUUACCAGCAUAAUACCAUUUCCAUCUGCUACUUUGCAGCCCGACAUUAAAAAUGGUUCCUUGGUGUCCUUGCGAACCUGCAAAAAUAAUAAAAUAGAACUUAAAGAAAGUGAAAAGGUUACUAAACAUGGGUAAAAGAGAACAGGUAUAAAAUCUCACAAUCUUUGACUCGCCAGUCAUGCUAGACUCAUCAAUUGAAAGUGAAUGACCAGUGAUUAAAACCCCAUCAGCAGGAACCUGAAAAGUAGAAUCAUGUAGAUAAUGAGUAUUGAACAAAAAUGGUCAUAUAUUUACGUACAACAAAAUAAAAGGCCUACUACAGAUACCUGAUCACCAAUGUUAAGGGGUAUAACAUCACCAACAACAAGAUCAUAAAUUGAAACCUCAACACGUCUACCACCUCUGAUAACCUGCACGUAACCAAAAAAAAUGAAAUGUACACAGAAACGAAAACAUUGAGGUGCUUAUGACAAAUGAUGACAAAAUGAAAACACACCUCAAUUUGUAUAUUUCUCUUUUCCUCAUUUAGAUUCUGGAACUGUAGAGAUUGUUUGUAAUCACUAAUGGCUGCGGGUAAAAGAACAAACAGUUGAGUUUGAUAAGACUGCCGUCCAUCACUUCAAAGACUCGAUCACCCAAUGUAUUAAAACAGGAUUCAAGUGAUAUUACUCCCAAAGAGAAUCCCAGUGAAAAGAAUUUCCCUGUGAUUCUCUCGGAACACUGUUAAUAUUUGAGAAACCUUAAAAAAUAUGCAACACAAAUUUCACCUACAACCAAAUAAAUAAGUUUGUUCUAAACGAACAAUGGUGUCAAGGUAAGACAGACUUUACACAUCUUUUGAGACAGAUGUCCAUUUAGUACCUGUCACGACAAUGACUAGGAGAACCGCAAAAGCAAUGCUGCCCCCAUCGUACCAACCCUUCUUUAUACCCUAUCAAACACAAAGAAACAAAAUCUAAACAUUCAUUGAUUUCCAAAACAUACUGUGAUUUACAAGUGUUCCUUAUCUUUUAUUUUUUAAUUUGUAGAUGGCCCAACCAAGCUCACCUCUGUUUUUAUACCCAGCGCUAAAGAAGCCACGGCAGCUACCAUCAGAAUGAUAAGAGUAAGAUCUUGGCAAGCUUCCCAGAGAAACCUCUAUCAGAGAGCACAAAGAAAGAAAAAUAAUAUAAAAAUAGUGUAUUAAAAAUGUACAUUAGACCAGCGUUAAAUACAAUUAGUGCACAAAUUCACAAUCUGUAACAAAAUGUACCCAGAAACUCCUUGGUUUUUUCCGGGGAUAUGUGUUGGAUCCAUAUGCAUUCUUUCGUUUUAGUAAAUCAUCAUCACUUCCAGGAAUUCCCUUUUCUAAACUUGUUUUCAAUAAAUCACAGAGGCCUUUGACCUGAUAUAAAGAAACAACUAUAAGAAAAACCAUAACAUUAAUAUAAAAGGUCAAAUAACAGAAGAGGUCCCUUGGUAGACUUGCCCCGCCAUAUUGCUGCAGAGUAGUAAAAUUAUGAUCCCUUGAAAUUGAAGCUAGUUCUUCUUGGUCAAUUGGAAAUUCACCAGCAGAACGUGGUUUUGGUGGCACAGUUCCUGAAAAUACGAAUUAGAAAUCAGUUAUAAAGGAAGAGUAUCACAUUCAUUUUUAGAGCCUUCACAAAAACAGAUGAAAAAAAAUGCAGAAGGGAAGUACCAUUUUCCAGGGGUACAGAAUCCUUGAAAAGAAAUGCGGCCUAAUACAGAGAAAAUCGAAUAUUAGAAUACGAAUAGAAAAUCACUAAAGUUAAAUGCUUUUCUUUAGAAAUAUAUUACUCGUAUGGCUUGUGCAUGUGCUCUAAUCUUCCUUAACGUCUGUUUUUUUUCUUCCUCCUUUUUCAAGUCCAAGGUGUAACGGAAUCGACGAGAAGCAUUUAGCACAAGUGCCGCUUGCUACAGAGAAAUAAAACUCAGUUUAGUCCACACCUUGAUUAAAUGAAAUAUUCACAAGCACGGUAAAUUAAGCAACUAACAGAAACUUUACAUAUUAGCUAAGCACAACACAGAGACUUGCAAUAAAAUAAGACUGAGAGCUGCAGACUCAUACAAUGAUGUGUAAACAACAAAAAACAGGACCAGACAUAUGCUUGCCAAUUCAAUAUUAAUUUCUACGACCAGACAAUGAUUUUCUCCGUAUUUUAUAUGAGAAAAGGAAAAAGAAAAGUACACCAUACUUAAAAUGAUGUACCUUUACUUUUUCUUUUAUGAUAAAUGAAAUUUUAUUGAGUUAAUAAAAGAAAAACUACAGAGUGGAGAAGAUACCAACUAUUAUUAAGACACAGAAUCAACAACACAAACAAAAGCACAAAGGUGAAUCCAUUAACUGUAGUAGUCCGAUCUGAAAACCAAAAAAAGGAGCUAUUCUUAAAUACUGAACUAUCCGAUGCCCAUAAAGCUGCCUAGAACACAAGAUGUCAAUGUCACUCUCACCGAAACUUGGAUAUAUCUUGCAGCUCAGGAAAAGAUGAAUUUCCACAAGCCCUUCUCCUUCCAUUGUUCUGUGUAAGGACCAGGUACGGGUUCCCACUUUGCAGCAUCAGCCUAGCAAGGUGGCUAGCUAUUUUUAUGCCUACCUAUUCAACUUCUUAAUAGGCAGUCAUUAAUGUAAGGAAGGAUAUAUGCCUCUUUCUUCUAGUGCACAUUUUACCGUCAUACCUCACUACCUUCUGAACCAGGUUAAUAGAAUUCAGAUAAUGAUGUACAUCAAACACUUCUUACCAAUAUGUUGCUCUUUAAUUAAAGAAAAUGGUAUGUAUAUGUUCUGGGAGCAAACUUAAGUCCAUAUCAUCAUACAACACAAUCUAUUUAUUUACUUAUUGAAGGCAUUGGUCAUCGAGAUGCAGGUUUAGUUCAAAACAACCGAAACCAACCGAAACCGAAAACACGAAUUAAUUGCCAUAAAUAAGACUGCAAAUCCAAAAGCAAAAACUGCCAGAAAUAGAAACGUAAACCAAUUGACGAACACACACAUGUACGGCAGAGAAUUAGAUGCACCACACCAAAUUGCAGCAAAAAAUUCAAAGCAACCGAACAAAAAAGCAAACACCGCAAACGGAAAGCAGAGAUAAUCAAAAACAAAACAGAAAAGCAAAGCAGUAAGAAAAUGCAUACCCUCCAGCGCCGGAGACGAUCGACGGACACGUGCUUGGUCCUGUGAAUCUCAAACACAUUGUUGGACUCCUCGUCGUCGCCGGAGCGGUUACUUCCGGCUUCCACGUCAUAGUUUUUCUGGUUCGGCGAGCCAAUAGAAUGACUCAUCCUUCACUAACCUGUCGCAGUAGAGAUGGCACCGUCAAAAUUUAUCAAACCACACCUUCCUCGCCCAUCAAAAUCCUUCACAGAAACCCUAAGCCUUCUGAAACUCCGAUUAUCAAACUCUCCGGAUUUCAAAUUUCAAAUCUGACCGACUCUUACUUCAAUCUAAGCAACUAUUCACACGCCGCUCCCCAAAAGUCUAACCCAUUCCACUCCUACUGUGCUUCACUGUAACCUCUCAAAAUUCAGAUUCCAAGUAGAGACAAUACUAAAAUAGGGUUUGCCAAACGAGAUAAGAAAAAUAUUGAUAAUAUAUACUCGCCUGCAGUAGUAGCCGCGUUUCAGCUCUGCUACGUUUUUUCUAUGGCGAGCGUUUGCAGUAAAAAAAAUAACCGAAAGCUUUCUACAUCGUAGAAUUUUGCUUACCUCUCCUUGGUCUUCUCCGAUGGAGAUGUAGCUGUAGUGAUUAAAAGCAAAUAAAAAUAGUAAAAAAACCCUAGCUAGGUAAUAUAUACACAAAGACUCCAGUAUUUUGAAAUCUUUGUAAAUUGACUAAAUUCUGAAAAAGUAAAAGUAAUUUCCACGAUCCACACAUGCAAUUUCGUGGAAAUUAGCUAUAUGCGAAUUACAUGGAGAACACGGGGAUUUUGCCGUUUCAGGGUAACAAACUUAAAACGCGUUACACUUUUUUACGCGGUUACAGGAUGGUGAAAGGGUCCCACGUGACCGUUGCUGUCGCCACGUUUUUAGGUUUCUACUUUCUAGUUAGGUGGAUCGUGGGUGCGGGGUCUGCUUUUCCUUUGCUUGCUCGAAUGAUUUUGCCUCUUUUUUUUUCUUUUUUUAAAUAUACUAUUUUCUUUUUAAAUUUUAUUAUUUUUAAAAAUGAAAUGAAGAAUUCACUAAAAGAACAUGAAACACAUAUUUUAAGACCAUAAUUUUCUUGUUUAUGAGUCUAAAAUUUUGAUUUAAAACAGACUAUCAGAUUUGAUAUACGUAUGACUAAAAAUAUUUAACAUACGAUAAUUUUUCACUAAAUUUAGUUAUAAGCAAGUGACAUAGACACAUGCUAUGAAAAGUGACAUCCUUUCACAAUACCAAACCUAUAAUAUUGAUUCAUUAUGACUAUUUGUCCAACGAAUUAUAUCUAUAUGACUUGCACAACGUUACAAAUACUUAUGAAAUAAUGCAAAACAUCUUUUAAGUCCCAAAACUUUAAGUUUACGCAAUCUAUUCCUUAUACGAUGUUGAUGAUCAUCACCAAGCUAUAAUUCUCUCCUAACUUGUUAGAUUCUAUAACCUAGCUACUAGAACUUUUGAUGUCAAAACUCAAAAGCAUGAGUAUACUAUCAUUUCUAGUGCUGUAUUGUGAUGGAAAUGAACCUAACGGUGCACCAAAACCCAUCAGAUUUUGGGUGGAUUUUGGUUCAAAUUUAGGCAAGAAAUUAAAACCUAAAAGUUCAACAAAUUAAACUUUGCCAGAAUGGGGAAGCUAUAUAUCUAAACUUGCAUCAUGAUCUGAUCAAAUUAAUGUCGUCUUUCUUGUAACUUCUUUUGUCAAAGAUUUGGUUUCAUACAUAUUGUCUGGGUAGCCGACUCAUCGCUGUAGAUCGAAUUUGUUUAUGGGAGGACGUGUCUCUAUAUGUGGCGAUAAGCUAGACGGCAAACUAUAGGAGUGCCUGGUGGCAGAAAACGUCGGUACCACAACUCUGAGUGACAUUUAGAAAUUCGUAAUCAUCAAAAAAAGAACCGAACAGCUCUCCUAUCUCGCUGGCUCUUAUCCUCUAAUAAUUCAACUCCCACGUCAGGAAAGCUUUCGACGAGUCAUUUGGCCGUUAAUGAAAAUAUCAUAAUAAUUAUUCUUUUUGGGAGUGAGCAAAGAAAAAUAUCCAAAUUUGGGUCAUGCUCGCUGUCCCUUAUGGUCUGUUUUUGGAAUUGUUUCGAGAGGGAGAUCGGAUUUAGAAACGGAAUCUGGUCCUUUUUUUCAAUAUUUGGCUAAAGUUUAAACAUAGAAAUGGGAAGUGUGUGUCAACAGGGUAAGGUAUCAUUUUCCAGGUUAAAGAGUAGGGUAGGCAAAGCCAGAAACGGAUGGAGUAUCAUUUUCAUUGGUGCUGAACGACCCCCUUCCGAUAAAGUUGGCAUUCUAAGAUUAGGGUUUAGAGGUGUUUCUGACGCAAAGAAUUGAUAACUCACAAAGCUAUUUAGAUGAUGAAAGAUAGCUAAAGUAUACAUGUUAGUAAAUGACUAAAUGGUGACUACUACUUGAUGAAGAUAUUAUGAUUUGGGAUCACUGGUGUAAGACUGCGUUUCUGGGUUAAUGGAUGAGUACGUUUGUGGUGGAUACCACUAUUCACUUUCACCUUUCCCUCUUCAGGUCCUAGUUUCUACUUUCCUUGCGAAUAUGAUCCUGGCAUGGCUUUUUCUUUGUUCUUUUUCUUUUCGUAGAGAUCGAAUAUAUUCAACAACGGUUUAUUAUAUAUUAUAAUUAAGAAUUAUAUGGCCCGGCUGCCAGAGGAAGGAUACCAGAGAUGCCUAGCUAGCUUCCAAAUGGAACAAGUCGGAGAUGGCCAACGAUCGACCACAGUAUCUAUUAUAACCAGUACGUUCGGAGAUGCUCUUUGCCGACAGUACGUUUUCCAUCGUAUUUGACGAAAAAACGCGGUCGACUAACAACGGUUUCUUUUUUGUCACCUAUUGUUUCUGACUGACUUGGCGCCUAGCUAGCUCUCAUGCAAAUAAAGAUAAUCAUGGAAGUGCUUCUAUCUAUCGUGGUUGAGUUUUGAGAAGGUGGUCGACAUAUUUUGGAUGAGUAACUAUGGAAGAACAUAAUCGGAUCAACAGAAUGAUAGAACUAACAGUAUGUACGUACUGAUAACUGAUGUACAGUAAUAAUUAAACGGCGAACAAUGAACAAUUACGGCCGGAAAGAAAGCUAAUAAGAAGCCAUGAGUGAAGGCUCAAAAUCCAGAUGAUAAGAAAGGUAUAUAUAUAUAUAUGAUUUGGAAAUUACGACGUCAGGAAAUGAAGAAAUGCUGUAAACAGUUCAGUGAAUUCAUACGUACCAGGAAAUGAGCAGAUAUAGAUCGAGAACAGCCGUGCUGUACGUACGUAGCUGUAUAAUAUCUCCAGAAAAUGACGCCGAUGGAGAACUACGUCCGAGAAGAUUGAAAUCUGCGUAUGUGCAACUUAUAUAUAAGCGUCUGAUCGAUAUAUGUUUUUCUCUGAAGAAAAAUUUCUAACCGAGAAUCACAAUGAUGCAGCAAAAAAACUUUAGCGACCGCGUUUAUGUUUUCAAUAUAUGUUAUCCUCUGAAGAAAAAAAUCUAUAUAAACGGUAUUCUUGAUGAGCUGUCUGGUGACCUGGAACAUUUCAAACACUACGAGUCUUUUUUUCUCUUUUGUUUUCUGGGCCUGCGUCGACAACAAGCGCUACUGAGAAAAAGAGUAUACAGUAUAUCUAAGGUAUAUCUAAGGUAUAUUGAAACGCAAAAGGGAGCCUCUUUUUUUUUCCUCAUGAGCGUACACUAUUUGCUAUCUAUAAUAGCUCAAACAAGCUACGCGAUGUUAUAUUAUAUCAAGCAUCGUCUUGUAUGAGCUAAGAAUUAUAGUCCGAGGGUAAUAUUACAUACACAUACAUUUUUUCUUUCUUUUUCAUUGUGUUUAAUCACGUAACAAUAUGGCCGCGUAGGAGUAAAUAAAAAUGUUGUUAUCAACUUGAAGCUAGAAACUUAAUUUGGGCCAAGUGAUAAUUAAGCAAGUUUUGUUCCAAAUGUUAAAUUUCUGUACGUAUGCUAUGUUCCAAAUAAGGACAACUAUGAAUUAGUAUGAACAGACAGGAAACGUCGACGGGGGUUGAUGCACAUCGUAGCUAAAUCAUAUUCAAGCAAAAGGUAGUGCAUGCCUUUCAUUCUAUACCUCUUUCACAAACAAGAAUGAUAUCAAACAUGGCUAACUGGCUUUCGGAUGCUUGCAUAGAAGGAUAUCCAAGACGUGAUGAUGCACAUUCGCAUAAUUCUAUGUGGACAAAGAGGCCGGGUGGAUCCUUGAUCAAGACACUCGUGAAUCAACUAGAAAAAGAAGUUUGACUUACAUGUAGAAACUAGAAAGUUAAAGGCGCACAAAGCAAACACAGAAGAAUUGAGGGAACUCAGAGUUCCGGCCUCUAGGUGAUUCCCAACGAAAAUUCGCCUAUCUCUGUAUUUUGGGUAAAGCUGUUCCAAUAUUAAUUUGGUAAAUGAUGUAUUAUUAUAUUUAGGGUAAGAUUAUGGUGUGUUAAUACAUAACAUAUAUCAACAUUGUAAUAAAAUGAAGGCCUAAAAUGAAACAUUAAUACGGUAAAUGGAGGAUUGGAGGAGGACUGGAAAGUUCAGACAGAAGUAAAUACGUACAAUAAUUUGAGAAAUAAUUUGUUUCUAACUCACUUUUAUUUCUUUUAAUUUUCGUGCUUCAAUUUUUUGUUGUUGUGCAAUAAUCACCCUUUUGGCUGGUGGUGCAUGUGUUUCAGUUUCAAUGAUAAAAUGUUGUAGACAUCUCAUAACUUUGUACAGACAAUAAACAGCUAGCUAUGACAUGAAAAGAUAGAGAGCUUAAUAUAUUAUAAUAUUCAUAAUUCGGUGUCUAAAUCGAACCCCAUGCCCCCAAAUAAAAGGAAAAAAGAAAGACACUUUAGUUCCAGAUAAUAAUGUGAAUUUCCUGAAAAUAUGAAUGCAGCAUUCCAAGCAAAGGUGUUAUAUCUGACGCAAAUGAUCAAUGAAAUCAAAAAGAAAGAAUAUAUAUACCCAGCAAACCCUAAGAAAUUUCAAAGAAAAAGAAGUACUUUUGGGUUUUGGAUGAGCAUAUGACUUGAUUGGAUCAUUUCUUAAUUUAGUGGCCGGGGACUACUGGGAUAUACCGGGGUGAGAACCAAAUUAAGCUACAAAUGGUCACUGAACUUAGACCUAUUAUUUUUUUAUGGUUAGACAAAUAUAUCCUCGAUGUUAAUGGUUACUAACGGUUGGUUUAACGACAAUGAGUUAAAUAAGAGAGAUAAUUAAAAGUGAGUAAGUUAAGUGACUUUUUUGAAAUGCGAGUGAGUAAACUGAUUAAUAGGUCAAAAGUCAGUAACCAUUUGUGAUAUUUUGCCAAUUCCUUAAUUUGAUUAGUGACCGAGAACUAGUGGGAUAUACCGGGGUAAAAACUAAAUUAAGCUUUAAUGGUACAUAUGCUAGCUUUUGAAGUUUUGAUCGAAUGAAGUUUGGACAAUUAACCACGAUCCAACAAGCCAGGCUUCAAACUCAGUCAAUAAAAUGAAAACAAGAGCAAGAAAAAUCCGUAGAAGAUGACUCCUCAAAAAGCCAUAACCUACGUACUGAUCUUUAGUCUAUAUACAAUGGCGUAGCUACACACGAACUGUAGCCCACCACAAAUUUUUUUUGUUUUAAAAAAAAAAAACAAACAUUCAUUUUUAGCUAAACUGGUUCAAAAGGCUUAAAAAUAAAAUAUAUCAUAUCCCAAAUUUCUAAAUUUUGCCCAUAUGUUAUUAAACUUGGUUUGUUUCUAACAUAAAUUAGUACGAGUUAAUUAAAAUAAAAAUUUAUAACCCAUUCCAUUAUAAAAUCCUGGCUCCGCCAUUAUAUAGAUAUAUAAUAGAUACUAAUGCUUAGUUUGGUACAGCUUCGUUUUUAAAAAAUCAGUUUCUAUCCAAACUUUUAGAUUUUGUAAUGUUUGGUAAAUAAAAGAAAAUCAGUUUUUUUUUAAAUUACAGGUCACUAGCAGUAGCUUUUAGAAGUAAUCUCAAUGUUACUUUUAAAAAACAGUUGUCACUAAAAACACUAGAAAUUAAUAAUUUUAUCUUUGCAACAUUUUUAAAACUAAUAUUUAGCAAACAAAAAACUGUUUUAAUUCACAGCUGAUUAUUUUCGCAGUACAUCAACAACAUUUUUUUUUUUUUAAGUUACAGCAAUACUAAACUAGCCCUAAAAAAAUGAACUAAUGCGCGCAUGCAUAUCAAACCAAGAAGAUUGAUGAAGCUAAGUUUUAUGAGAUCAUGACUGCACGUAGAUAUAUCCUUUCUCAUUUCAGAUUGAUACAAACUAAAUGCUAAUUAAUCCAGCUAGUGUGUGUAUAUAUAUAUACACAUGUGUGUGUACUCUUCGAUCUUUAUAUAUUAUAUUUAACAGUUGCUAGCGCCUACUGUACGAAGGAAUUAGUACUUGCUUCCAUAAACGAACCUCAGUCGAAUAAUAAUGCACAUUUGAUACGAUAUGCAAAAUAUUCCAUUAUUAGUCGGCCAUGGAAUAUUAUUGUAAAAGAACAGGGGGAGAUACAAAGAAUAACAUGCAUGCCUUUUUUGAUAUUUAUAAUUAAGAAUCAUAUAAUCAUAUUAGAGAUAUCAUGGACUGCUUAAUUAGUAUAAUUUGUGAGGGUGAAGGAAGGUAAAGAGCAUAAUUAAGAUCCAAAAUGUAAGCUAGCUAGCUGCAUGCAUGCUAUUUGUGGAAAUAAAGCUGUAGCGUCUAGCAUCUUUAUAUUGUCUUUUCGGUGCAACUAAUUAAGAAUAUAACUAAUUAACUUUAUACCCACUAAUCAACCACAUAGAUCUUUUUAUUGCGUAGUGUGGAAGAUAGCUUAAUCAUCUAGCUUUGGCCUUUGCUUGCCAUUUGGUUUUGGUACUAUAUGAUGGUACGUGAAUCAAUAAUUCAUAUAUAUUAUUAUGAAUUCCUGAAGUUAUUCCCGAUCGGGACAUUCAUAUCGUUUAGGCUGUCUUCUUAUAAAGCUUUCUUCGAUCUGGUUUCUUUUUCUCUUUUUUGAUCUGGUUUCUGUAUUCGUUAAUUUUGAUUAGCUUAAUUAGCCAGUCAUGAUAAGGUUGCAAAGCUUUUAGCUAGAUAUAUAUAAUAAAAAGUAGCUACUAUUUGAUUUCCCAAUAAAAAAUGAAAAGCAAGUACACCAUCAUUGACUAGUUGUAAAAGUAAAAAACAAAAAGGAUAAGAAACAAUGUUCUUAAUUAGGAAAUAUUCGAGAAUACGCCCCAGAAAAAUUUGCCCAAUAUGUCUUUCCACGUGGCUUGGCUUUAUUUCGUCUAUGGAAUACUAAUUCGAAUUCGAAUGACACAUUUGUUGAUGGGAAAUGAUUAUUGGCCUUAAUAAGAUUUAAAAUUUAUGGCAUCAAUUUUAGGUGGCAAGCUAUGUCACCUAGAUCCAUCACCAAUUAAAAAGAUUAUGUCAUGUCGUUCUUAAACAAAAAUACAAUAUUCUUAUCCUUCCAAAUUCAAUGACUCUAAAUUAUUUUGUCUUUUUAUUAAGAGAAAUUUUUUUUAUCUUUCUUUUAUAAUUAAAAAUAUAUAUUUUUAGUAUUUGCUUUCUCUUUUCCUUUUUAUCACUAUCAUGCUUAGAUUGAACGUAACAUAUAAUGUAAAAAUACAUAUAUUUAUGAGAAUAUACUUGUUCAAAAACAUGAAUUCUUAUGAAAAAAAUAUACACACACACAUAUAUAAUUGUCAAAAAAAACAAUUUCGUCCAAAUUUUUUAUACAUAUAUAUAUAUAAUUCGUCCAAAAUAAAGUAUAUAUAUACGUAAUCAUCCAAAAGAAAUCCGAGGGAUUUUUCUAUUUUUUUAUUUUAAAAAUUCGAUACAGAAUAUGACUUAUAUAUAGAUAUCAUAAUUUUAAACUGUGAAAAAAAUAAUAUUAAAAUAGAACUAAAUUUUGAUUCACAAAGAUAGAAAGAAAUUUUAAUAAAUCUACAAAAUUGAUUUAUGGUAUAAAAGCCUAAUUUGUUAAUUCUUCACUUAACUUUCGUAAACCGUUAACAGUAAAAGCAAUCUUUAUAGUUAACUUUCAAGGGCUUCUGUGUCAAAUCCUAUAAAAACUUAUCCCAGUCCGAAGGACAUAAUGGUUGUGUGGGUUGUUGAUGAGAAAAAUAAAAUUCAAUAACCAGAACCUAUGAUCCAAAUCCACAGUUAUCCUCUUACUUGUGUAGCGGUGUAGUUAAUCUCAAGGAAUCGAGAUUAACCUGAUGCCUUAAUCUGAACUUUAGAGGUUGAAGACGAAGAAGAUUUGGAGGUUGAAUAAUUAAGGAGAAGAAAAGACGAGGCUGGUGAUGAGUGAUUGGAAAAAGAUAUUGAACACUAUAUGGAAACCUAGGAAAGAUUAAGGAAACCCAGGUUAUGGAAUAUGGAGGUUGAAGCAUUGGUUCUUACCAUGAGAUUAAAACACAUGGCAAAGACGCUCAUACCCACCCCAACUUCUAUGUGGCCUCAACCCAACGUGGUGGCCCUUACAUAGCAAGUUCAUCUUGUAGACGUAAAAAAUUUAACGAGAAUAAAAAUUAUUAAAUUAUUUAGACGACACAUGGGCCCGAUAAAUUACAUACGUGGCUUGUGAGUUGACAAAGUUGAAAAGUCGUCAGAAAUUACACGUGGCGACGUGUGAAUGGUCGGUCGACAACAAAACCUUAAAUCCCGACUAAAAUCAAAUAUGACAUAUCGAUUGAUAAUCAAAUAUCAAUCAAACUAAAUUGAUUAUCGAAAAGAAAGUCAGAUAUUUAAUCAAAUUGGUGAAAUACAUUGUCAGUCAUAAUUAAAUCGAUUAAUUAAGACUGAUUGAUUUAAUUAUGGUAAAUUGAAUAAUUGAAUCAAUUAAUCAAAAGUGAUUGAUUUAAUUAUAUCAUUAAGAAAAUACAAUUAAAGUGGUGACUUCAAUGCAUUCCAUUUACGGAUGAGUGUCAACACUAUAAAUACCCCCCUCUCACAUCAAGAGGGAGACUUCCGACAACAGAGAGAAAAAUCACUCCCGGGAAUUCAGAAGUCUCAAAACACCUCGAAGAACUAUUAAACUCUCAAAUAGCCAGUUCUUCACCAAAUCCAAAUCCCAAACACUCGUCACGUGAUCAAUUCUCGUGACCCCUUACGUCUCAAAAACAAGUGUUUGUCACCCUUGAGUCAAAUCCAUAUUCGGAGAUAGAAUCAGAGGAGUUCAAAAAGAUUUGUAACCCGCAUUCAUGUAUAUCAAUAAAAUUAUAUUAUUCUUUGUACACGUGUUGCUCUGUAAUUUGUCGCAGAUUUUCCAUGUUUACACACCCGUUAGGUCACUUGGCUGAAGUGACCUAGGUCAUUCUGGGUUACUUUAAAAAAAAUAUAGAUUUAACUUUGCUAUCAUGUGGUAAUAACUGUUUAUUAAAUUCAAAAUAAUCAUUUUAAGUAUGAAUAAUGAUUUUAGUUGUAAAUAAAUAGUUGUAAACAUGAAAUUUACAUUAAUGAAUUUUUUUUGCAUAAAUAAUGAAAAUGAAAAUCUUUUUAUUAUUUUGAAAAUGCAAAUAAGGGUUUUGUUGUUACAAGAAAGUUUAAAUACUUAAAUUUUUGAAUAAUUUGUAUAAAUACUUAAAUUAAUCAUGAUUGAAGCAAUUAUAUAUAAGUACAACCCUAAACUAAAAAAUGACGUAAAUAUUAACUUNNNNNNNNNNNNNNNNNNNNAAAAAAACAAAACUGUACCAAACUAGGCCUAAAUGUACCAAGUCAAAUUAACCCAUUUUACUUUGAAAAAAAAAAAAAAAUAAUAUACUUAAAUUAUUACCCCAAGCAUUUAAUAAUUCCACGUGGUUGUAUAUGAAUGGUUGAAUGGCCUGUGGGUGGGCUUAGCUGAUGUGGAUAAAGUCAUUCUAGGUCAUUUCAUCAAGUGACCUGGGUCAGUUGGUUAACCUAGCCAAUGACCUGGGUCAUUCCAAGAGCCAACAUGGGUGGAAGCCUGAUUUUUUUUAGGUGGGUCACUUUGCCUAUAUGGCACGUGACCAGGGUUAACCAAAAUGCAACGGGUGAACUUGCUCUUACAAGAAGACGUGAUUGGCUCGAUGCGGUAACACUUGAUCAAUCAAACAAUUUCAACUCUUUCCUUCCUCCGAUCUCCAGCUCUAAGAGUACGGCGUACGACGAUUAUGAACCUUUGUCUUGCAACGAGAACAAGGAGUUCAUAGCUUCAUUUGGAGUUACAGGUCCGAUCAGAAUCGACAUAGUUCCUCCACCGCAUUUUGACAUGAUCAUCGUCUUCAUCGAUGAGCCAGUCUCCGACCUCCGGUGUCGACUUCACCAUCGGCAUUGACGUGCAUCGAGAGUAGUUUAUCGAUGAAGGAGAGUACAAUAGUUGGUUUGGUGGGAUACUGGGAUUUGACAUUAACGCCCUCACGUAUAACAUUAAAGUGUGAUUUUUACAGUUAACGAUGGUUAAAUUAGAUAUUUACUUAUGUGCCCUUCAGAUUUGAGUUUUGUGGACAAUACAAUGCCAUGUAUCAGAGCAUAUUGGGCGUACAAAGUUAAUGGGCGUGUUCCAGCCAUUUCCCUUAAUUAGUUAAAAUUCAAAUCUUAAUGACAAGAAAGAGGAAUGGCGUUCGUCUUCGUAAUCAUCAUUUAUUUUAUUUUUUAAUAAAGGGCUGGUAUGACUGUUUUCAAGCCUUGAUUAAUGAAACUAUCGAAUACAAUGGGGACAUUGAGCUUAAACCCCUGAUUAUAAAGAUUUAAAAUAAUAUCAGAAAAAUAUCUACAAUACACAAGUACUUAACUAGACACCAAUUAGCAAAUAGUACCGCUCUAAUGACAACUAUGUUUACUUUCACACAACGGUGACAUACUGGAAAGAUCAUUAGAUAUGUAACACGUUUAGACAUCAUAAUGUCUAAUAAUUCAACUUGCCAACUAUGUUACUGCAUGAAAUUAGAUCUAACGACACUAAACUUCAUCCGACCACUAGGCGGCAACGAUCAUUUGACGAAGCAAGGAACUCGCCGCCGGUUUAGAGCAAACAAGGCACAUAGAGUGCACUCACAAGCACGAAGCCCGACUAGCCCUACUAAACUAAUGUAGGGAUUUAUUACAAGCUUAAGGCGCAACAUUAUUUAAUAAGAUAAAUAAACUAAAACACAAAAGAAAACGUAUAAUACCAGCCCAGACCUAAGAAGAGGGUCCAAACCCAAGCCAUAGCCCAAGGACAAGAGGAAACCACAACCGCCAUCGUAGGCAAACCUACUCCACCUUGCCGAUGUCAACGAACUAUCAACAUCCCCGCUCGGCCAUCUCGAUUGUGUCUAAUCAAAUCCAAAUUGCAACAAGUUCUUCCUAAGGUCAGAUUCGUACCCAGAUCAUGUCCAAGAAACCUUAUCCAAAUCGAACCAUCACAUCCCCAAGCUUGCCACCAUCCAGAUCGAGUCAAACCUUGCCACAAAGCCGAGUCCAACCACACUAUGUCGAUCAACAACUGUCGUCAUCGCUCCCCCGAAGCAAGCUGCAUAUCAGCCCAGAGAAGUUCAAGCCCAACCUCAGUAGACGCCUAGAUUUCCCCUUGUAUUCCCUCACAAUUUGUUGACCGUAACUCCCUAAUCUGGACAGGAACCUGACUAACAAAGACCCAACACAGUCCACAUCCACAAGGGGCUGACACAGGCCCAUCUGACGACGGCAAAAAAGCUCGCUGUGGGACAUGGUGAAAAGAGCUCCUUUUCGCUCCCUAUCUCUAGGGCUUUUUGGGGUUCGUAAUCUCCAUUAUUUGAAUUACUGAGGUUUGUCACACGUGAAUAACAACAAUAAGACACAUCCCCCCGGCCUUGACAUAAUUCUCCAACAUGUGGAGUAUCAAUAACAACGAUGCCAAUUAACAAAGUCAUUCUUUUUUUUUUACCGAGUCCUAUGAUAUCUUACAACUUUAAACUAAUGACUAAUCCGUUCUUGUCCUAAUGUUUUUAGGAGGCCUCAAACAACAAUGUCACAGAUCAAACAAGAGUUAGGGGGGUUCCAAACCUUGACGCUCAACCACAAAAUCACAUGUUAUGGUUAAUUUAGCAACAAUGUCAUAACAACACUCUUAUCAAUUUUGCAAGUUUAUUUUCCUCCAUGGAUCCUUCUUUUUUCUUGCCUCGCCUAAAUUGUAAGGUUGCAUGCAUGUUUGGGUCGAUUCCAAGAUGGACCGUGUAAUACCCCGUACCUAAAAGGUUACUGUUUGGGGUCAUGAACUUCUGUGGAUUUUUUUUAUUCGCGCUUGGGGAUUUAAAUAGUGAUUGCUGGAGUUUGUUUUUGAGUUUUUCUGAAAACGGUAAAUAGUGUAUUUAAAACUCCGAAGUCGUGGUACACGUUUAUACGAGCUCCACAGGUAUGCCCGGAUUAUUUUCCGGAGCGACGAGUUAUAUUCUUUGAAUUUAUGAAGUCUACAGUAAAUCUUCAAUUAUUGUUUCUUGUAACUGUUUUACCGUAAAGGACCCAAAAAGUUGACUUUUCGUUAAGUCGAUAAUUUGGGAAAACUUCCUUCAUGGAAGUCGUAGAGGACGUUAAUACGAGCUCGUGGACACGUGGCACGUUUAAAUCAGAGUUCGUAUAAAGAAGUUAUGGUCUAAAAACGGAAAUGUACUAUUUUGGUAAAGGGUAUAAAAAGAGAGAGAGAGAGAGGGAGGUUCUAGAGGGGUCGGUUAAACCGACCUAAGCAACAAAUUAAAAGAGAGAAAGGAAGGUUCGGGAAGAGGGAGGAGAAAAACCAGUUCAGACCCAGACCGGGUCAUUCUCGACCCGAACAGAGUCAGCGGGUCAACCCGACUGGUUCUCCAUUUUUCGGCGACGGCGAGGAGAAAGAAUGGUAGCGGCAGCUUCCUCUCGUUCUCGUGGUCAUGCCCAUGCCCUUGAUUUUCAGAUAAGAAGUCUGGAGUGAGAGAUUCGAAGUGGAGAAGGAGAGGCUGGGUUGCCGGCGAGUCUUCGAUUCCGGCAGCGUCGACGCCUCUCACUGGUAUGGAUAGCUUCAUCUCGAUCUUAGGAACCUUUCCAUGUUCCUGGUUUUCGAAGAGAAGCUCGGAGGAGGGAGAAUCGAAGAGAAGAAGUUUUGGGAUUUUCCAGCGAGGGUUUGAUGCUUUCCGGCCACCGGUGAAGACAAGUGAGAUAUGAAACUUGAUCAUCUUGUUGAGCUCUACCUUUUUAUAUAAUUGGAAUUGAGAUUGGUUGAAGUUUGGAGGAAGUUGGGUUUUUGGCAGAGGAGGACCGCCGUGAGUGCCGCUGUGCACGACGGCGGCGGUGGUGAUUUUGGGCUGCCUUAGUUCAUAGGUUUUAUGGAACUACUUUCUGAAAUUUAAUUGAUGAUUAUGAUGUUUUUGGAAUUAGUCAAUUUGUGGAGAUGGCAGACAUCGUUUACUGCAGUAUUCUUGGCUUUUCUGUGUUUGAUUAUUUUCAGUAGUUAUGAAUCUGUGAGUAUGAUUAUGACUGCUAUAUAUGUUCGAGUUCCAUGAAUUUGAGAAUUUGGAAACAGUGGGAUUCCGGCAGUGAAGUAACUAUUCACGGCGGUGGCUAUGGUGUUGUUGUGUUUAACUUAAGCUGUUGUGAAUUGAAGAAUUGGGAUCAUUUGCAGGGUGUGUUGAUCAUAAUAGACGUGUUUUUGGAAUUAGAAUAGUUGGGUUGUGGAGGAAGUUUGAAAUUGCUGUACUGGAUUCAUUUAUUUUGUUCCCUGUUAAUUUGGUUAAGUUGUUGGUCAAUAAGAAGAAGACGGGGUUGUGACGGUGAGUUCAUUAUAUUGAUGAAAGCAUGGAGUUAAGGACUGUGUGAAAUUAGGAAGAGAGUAUUUGGUGUUCACAAUGGUGGUGGUAGUGAUUAUACUUAAAUUUGGAUUUAGUAUAAUGUUAGAAAAGUUGAUGAGUGGUGGUUAUGGGUGUCCAAUGUAAAAUCAAAGAUAGGUUAGUAAUUGAAGUGUUGAUAUGAGUAAGUCUAAAGGUGAAUUGGAAUGUGACGAUGAAUUUAUGAUGAGCGAGCAUGGUAUGUAAUUAGGAAACUAUCGGAGAAAGUGAGAGGAAGUGUGGGAUUGAGAACUUGGGUGUCCUUAUCAAUUUGAGGACUUACAUCCACAGAAAUUCCAGAUUCGAUAAAGUUGUUAUUGAAGGUGGAGAAUUAGUAUAAAAUGAUGAAUUACGAGUGGCUUGAUCCCUUUAAAAGGGUGCGUAGGCAGCCCGAUCAAGUUUUGGGUGCAGCCGUAAAUUAACAAAAUAAAAAUUUAGGUUCCAAACGCAGCAAAACUGCUUUGUUGUUUUGUUUGAUAAUGAGAUCCUAUCUCAUUUUCGAUUUAAGAUUUCCUUAUUUAUUUUAUUCGUUUUUUUCUAACACCUGGGUCAGGGUGUUACAGACCGAACCGAUUCGGUCUGAAUAAGGUGGUUCAGAUCAGAUCUUGGUCAUGAGAAAUGCAACUUUUUAUGGACACAUUCCGUUUAAGGAAGUUCGGGUUCAGGUCGAAUAUCUUGUUUUAAGAAAAUGCGAAAACCCGAAUAACCCUUGGAUUGUACUAAAUCGAUUCUAGGCCGUUAGAUUGUUAGGGUUAGAAAAAAUUAAAACACUAAGACUGCAACAUGACUUCUCUUCUCUUGUUCUCCUUCGACCCUUCCUAGUUCCUCUCUCGCCUCUCUUAGGCUCAUUGUCUCUCGGACUCUCUCCUUCAAUUUCGUUUGCAAUUUCGUUUGCAAUUUCGUUCUUCAAGUCUUCAAGAGGUAAGCAAAUGGACUCUCUCUCUCUCUCUCACAUUUGAUUUUGAAGUCUGCAGUUUUUUUGAUUUCGAGUCCAAUCGAAGUUCAGUUUCAUUCUUUGAUUUGAGACUUUGGGGUUUAUGUGACAUUUGCCUCAAAUUCAAUUGUUUGUAUUUCGGUUUGUUUGCCUUAAAUUCCAAGCUUUUUGGACCUGAAAAGAACCAAGAUCCAAACCGGUUCUUUUCAGGUUCAAUUCCAUUCAGGUCUUGUCUUUAAAAACGCAUAAACCGAACCAAAAAUUUUAUACAGUUCGGAUUGCGGAUCUUAUUUUUGAAAAAUGGAUCCGGCCUGAACACAACCCUACUAAAUUGUCCCCAUCUUGUUUUACAAGAAAUCAUUUUUGCAAAUGAUAAAGCCUCGAUCAUUUCACUUCAAAUCAGGGAUGAAUGUUAAAUCUUGCAUGUUUUACUACCUCAUGGUAACGUACCAAAUUUUACGUAAUUUAAAUAGAAUGUUAUCACUUUCUCUUUGCCUUGCAGCAACUUUUUGACCAUCUUUCCAACUUUGCCACUUCACGUAGGUCACCAAAGUACUCCAUUGUUCCAUCUUUUUAAUUCGCAUCAGCAUCCUCUCUUUGGCUAAGCUUUGUGUUUGGUUGUCCUUGACUUCUAAUCUCAUCCGCUGUUUAAAAUCCAAAGGCUGUUAUUUGUCCAACCCAUAAUUACUCAACAUCUGCAUUUUCAAGGCUAACGACACUCAUUUUCACGUUUAUCUCCGUCAAAACUGUUCCUCUUCCCCUGCACUUCAUUUCUCUGAAAAUCUGACUUUCUCGUUUUCUUUCCCAUUCCUCCUAAACAUCAAGAAUCAAACACAGUCCCUCAUCUUUUAGCCAUAGUUUUUCCUUUCGAAAAUGCAAGUUCAAGUGGUGUAGCUGCUGAUUUCAAAAUUGUUGUGAAGCCCAAUUAAAGAAGCUGAAUUGAUAAGUUAUCAACAAUCGAAUUGAGGAGCUAUCAUCAUUUGGAAUUAUAGAAAAAAUGAAAACCCAGCGAUGUUUCUUCUUUUACCGCCAUAUGGGUUUCAUAUUGCUUCCUAUCUAUUGAGACUAUCUUCUUCUGCCAUUCACAAAUUUUAUUGUGGUCUGGUAUCUUCCAGAAAUUUAUCUAUCAAGUAUCUUCCAGAAACUCAAUUCCUACUGGUUAUAUAGACUUAUAGGUAAUCAAUAACAUAGAUGCAUGAAAUUCCAGCAGAAAGAUAUCUAAUUUUAUAUAUUACAUCAAAGAUUAAAUCUAAACUGCAACUUGUUCAAAAUCCCUAAUAUCAGAAGGAGUGGAAUCAAAGAGAUGGGUGAGAGACUGAGAGUCUGAGGCCUGAGGGAAACCGGGCUCUUCGUCUCUAUGCCCAGAAUCACAAAAUCUCAAAUUGAAAUAGGUGAUUUUUAUAAAAUAAAUGGUUGUAUGGUGAUCAGAAAUCUGGGAUCCUCUCCCUGUUAAUGUCUUCCUUUGAUCUUUCUAAUUGAUCACCAUAAACAGCCAUCGACGCUGAUAUAAGAUCAACCAAAAAAAAAAAAAAAAAAUUUACAACUCUUUGUCCUUGCUACUCCUCACUUUUUCGUUCUCUUUGCAAAUACUACUAACAAGAACUGAAAAGAAUAAAAGAACACUAGCAGAGAGAUGAAGAAGACGAUGAAAAGGAGAAGAGACGGCUUUGUGCUCUUGAAGGAGGAAAGAGAGGACCAGCAAAAGCUGCUGGUCGGCAAAUCUGGAUCCGGAAAGAGACGAGAAAUAAACGUCUAAACAGACGUCGUUCGGCAUUAAAUACUUAUUUAAUGGGAUUUUAUUCUUGUCUGGUGAUGUGUCAAAUUAUAGGCCAUUAGAUAUCACAUGGACGAUUCAGAUUAGAAGUCAAGGACAGCCAAGCACAGAGCUUAGCCAAAGGAGAGGAUCCUCUUUUUAUUCAGCUUAAUUUGUUUUACUCGGAGUUCACUUCUCUAACUUUUGAACGAACCCGUUGAUGAUAUCUUGAGCUUUCUUAUCUAAAAGUUUUUCUUAACCAAGAAUUUUAGUUACCCUACAUCAAUCCCUAGCAGAAUGCGAAUAAAUAAAGGGUGGUCGAGAAGUCAGUACGGCAUUUUCUCAGCAAGUACCGACUGUACUACUGUAUCAGUUGACUAUAGAUAUAGAACAUCCCACUCUAGUUAUAGCUCUUUUGAAGCCAACUAGAAUCAAACGAAUACAAAGGUUCGGGACUUGGGACCUGGAAUAUAAAUCAGUUUUAUUCGUUUUUCCAGUAGAUUAGAUUACCGAGUAAUCAAGAAUCCAACGAGAGAGAUCGGAGCAUAUAUAAAUUGAAAUAUCAAGGAAGCUAGCAAAUAGCAAGAUGAUCCAUGAAAGCAAUCUUAUCAUCUAUAUCUGAUCUCGAUCACCUCGUUUAUGUAUAAAUUGUAAUAUGAAAGUUUAAAGGUGUAGAUGCUGCUUACCUUAUUGUGAAAGCUUUGAGCCAACUGAGGUCUGAAGAUACGUACUGAUGAGCUGAGGGGAGGAAGUUUCGAAGAAAGUUCGUAUUAUAGCCACGUCAGCUUCAGAUUUGACCUAGCUAGCUAGACAGUGACUCCAAAGAUAUCGAUGAAUAUUCUCCGAUCCGGCCGGCCAUGGAAACGUACUAUUGCAGCGAGCUAAGGGAUGAGCUAGCUUCGCACCAGAAAGCUAGAUUGAGCUGCUGGGAAUAAAGGUGGAGCAUCGAUUCUGAUGGCCAUAUCUAUGAUAUUCAAAUAAAGGAGGAGCAUCGAUUCAUAUAUAUAUAUAUACACUUGAGAGAAAUUAUUAGUUUGGAGUAGAUUUUGACAUCUGGAACCUAUUGAUCGAGCAACUCCAUUGGAGAAAUUGCGAGGAAAAUGUUGCUAGUACUGUCCACCACAAUACAUGGCCAUUUGCAUGACUUCUUCCAUCCACACAUCUUUCUUUGAGCAAGUUAACCCCACGGGACCUCUCUAAGACAAAGAAAUCAAUUCUAUCAUUACUCAACUACAUGUUUAUAUAUAUACUAACAAAUCGAACACCAUAUAUGUAUGUAUAAGAGAGAACUUAAACUGCUGACAAUGAUCAGGAAGCUAGGCAUAUAAAUCAAGGUAAAUCAAAUAUUAAUAUUUGGGUAUAUAUAUAUAUAUAUAUACGGUAUUUUCUCAGCUGCGGACGUCCGCACCUAAUUUUUUUGUGCGNNNNNNNNNNNNNNNNNNNNGGAGGCCUAACCCAUUUUCCUCCCUUUCUCUUCUUCUCUCUUUCUCUUCCUUCUCCCUCCCGUGCUCUCUCUCCGCCGGAAGCUCCCAGCCACCAGCUGCCGCCGUCCGGCCAGCCAUCGGCCGCCGCUCCACCCCAGUUCGGACCCCCAUCUCCUCCUCUCCCUCCCCGGCCUAGCCCCCGAGCCUCUAACCCGCCGGAAGAGAAGAAAACCCGCCGAAAACGCCGGGAAGCUUUUCGCCGGAACUCCCUCCUCCGGCCACCAAUCCGGGCAAGCUUGGUACGGUUUUGUAGCCCUCCAACCCAGCAGCCUUGCCCUAAAAGGACUCUCCCUCUCUUGAGCUAGGUAAGGAGAAAUGUGGAGUUGAAAUUUAUAGGGCUUUUAGGUGUUUGUGUUCGAUUGCCCUAGUUAGGCUUGGUUUUUGGGUUUGUGCUGGUCAGGAAAGUUGUAGAGCAUGAUGAAGAGAUUAUUCUGUCAAAGUUUCAUAGGUUUUGGAGGUCGCCGGAAUUGGCCUCUGGCCGCCGCUGCCGGCGGAGCUGCCGCCGGUUGGGAGAUUUUUAUGUUUUUAAAUGUGGAAUAUUAAGGGGAGUUUAUUGAAGUGAGUUAUGGAAUUUUUGGAUGAGUUUUGGAUAGAUUUGUGAAUUUCCGAAGUUUGGUAUUUUGGCGGUUAAUUAAUGUAGAAUCCGGCCAUAGGAUUUAAGUCGUAUUCUGUGGGAAGUUGUUUUUACGGCUGCCGGUAUGUUUGGGGAAGUUUGAGCCGUUUUGAGUUAAGAAUGACGAAUUUGGGCAACGAUGAGUGUGUGGGAGGCUCACGUUUAAUUUUGCCCAUUUUGUUUAAAUAUUGGUUUUUUGGUGGGAAAUUAAUUAUAUAUUUGGAACAGGACGAGAGGAGGCCCGAGCAGAGGAAGCCUCGGAGCGUCAUCAGGCUUAGGCCUAAUUUGUGAGUGGACCUUUAUUUUAAUUGAAAAGCAUGCGAUGAAUUAUCUGUUGAUCAUUUAAUUCUUUUCCUGAGAUUUAUUUAUUUCUCGGAUAUUUGGCAAUUUUCCUCCUUUGGAGAGAUCCCGAAAAUGAGAUUUUCGGUGGAUAUGUUUAUUGGAUGUUUAUGAUGAUAGUAUGUAUAUGUAAAUGCUAGCUAGCCAUACGUGCUGAUCCGCCAUAAUGAGGUAAAAUACCAUUAUGGUGUGACGUGAGUAUUAGACACAAGCGUAGUAGCCCUAUAUGAAAACUAUUUUUUUAUUUGGUUUAUUUAGGGUUUCAUAUAGGGAGUUCACACGUAUAUACACUCGUGCUUUUUCCGCCAUACUGAGGUACAAUUCCAUUAUGGUGUGACGUGAGCGUUAGACGCAAGCGUAGUAGCCUUGUAUGAAUUUCUAUUUUUCUAAUUUGUUCAUAGAAUUCAUACAAGGAGUCUGACGAGUGUAAAUACAUACACUUAUAUAUGUUUAUAUAUAUUUUAGCCUGAGAGGCUGUAUUUUAUUAAGUUUUGGAGACUAGCCGGUGCUGGUCGUGAAGUUGCCAUUUUUUGAGUUGAGCGCUUUUGAGCGAUUGCAUGCAGUAUUAUUUUAUUUGGAAAUUAAAUUGGGGAAGCAUAAAGAAAUAUUUUUAUUUAAUUUAUUUUUGUCCACUCACUCUAACUGUUCCACAUGUUUUCCCCUAGGCCCUUCGUUUUAAAUUGCCUAGUCUGCAGAGUUCAGGUUGGACCUAGUAGGAGACGAGGCAUAGUUACCCGCUUUUCCGCCAGUUUUCAUCAGUAGGUUACCUGUUUAACCUACUAGUGUUUUCUUACUUCCGCUAGUGUCUAGUAGCUCUGAAUACUUUGGGAUUAUUGUAUAUUAUUCCGGUGGUGUGCUCGGUCGGUUGACUUUAUGUUUAAAAUUGCUGAAGAAUAAUAUUUGCUUUUAUUUAGCUGGAUAAUUGUGUGAUAUUUUUGGAAGUGCUGUAGUAAGUGUGUGAAUUGGAGAUUUUUCGGGUUAGGGUUGUCCAUCUUCAAGGGAGGUUUUACCAAUCUUUUCGGUAAAUUUUCCUUGGAGGUGGUCCCUGCACGACUUACUUCGGGUUUCAGGGUGAAAUUUGGGGUGGGUCGUGUCAUAGACACACAUUUCCUUUCCAGAGCAGUGUCCCGUUUUGAAAUUAAAGUGUGGACCUCCUUAUUUCGCUCACUUUCAGGUUGCAUUUCCACAUCUCAACCGUACAAUGUCUAUAACACAGUGUGUAGAUCAUUUCUGUAAAGUUUUAUCUAGUUUGAAGAUCAUUUGAGCUUCGAUAAUCGUGAUUUACACGAACGGUUAUGUUUGGACAAUUUUUGUUCUGUUGAUUUAUUUAAUCUAAUUCGGUACCCAAAUGAUCUUCAAAUUAGGAGGUCCACACUUUAAUUUCAAAGUGGAACACUGCUCUGGAAGGAAACUAUAUAUAUAUAUAUAUAUAGAUGUAUAUACCACUAGUCCAUGUAGCAAUCAAUAAUAAUCAUUCUGACUCUAACAUAUAUAGUUGAUUAUUGAUAGAGAACAUUAAUAUAGUUAGUUAAUUAACAGAUGAUGAUAUAGUUAAACCGACCAACAACUCUAUCGAUACAUAUAUAUCCAGCCAUAUAUAGCUAGCUAAUUGUCAUCUGAUGAAGCAUGCAUGCGCAUGAAGGCCGGGUUAAUUUCAUUUUUAUUUAUUCCAGUUUGACAGCUCCAUCCUCGGUUCAUCACAAGAAAUUUUUUAAAUGCUUCCGAAAAAUCACAUGACAAUCUGAUGUAGUUCUUCCUGUCAAUUAAAUUUUGAUACGUGAAUUUGUUAUAACUAAAAUAUAAACUAAGGUUUUCUGUAUUUUAUGAAAUGACCGUUAUAGGUCUUUUGUGAGUUUGGACUACGGUUUAGGGUGUAGGGUUUAGGGAAUAAGAUUUAGGGGAUAGGGUAUAGGGUAUAUGGUUAGGUAUAGGGUUUAGGGUUUAGGAUAUCUAAAAAAUCAACAAGAAACCUAAAAUAGUCUUUGACAAAAUAUAUAACUAAAAUAGUUUUUCAUCAUCAAAAUCCACAUGUCAAAAUUUAAAUAAAAUGGAGGUCACGUCAGCAGGGCCGGCCCUGUGUCGAGAAAGGCUCUAGGCAAGAAAAUUUUGAGGCCCCAAAAUAAUUUAUUGAUAAAAAAAUUACUAUGUUUUUCAAAAAUCUUGACAUCAAUACGAAAUCAAAGAGUGUAUGUGUUUUUCAAACUCCAAACAUAGCAUACCUUCUGCAAACAAUUAAAAGAGGAUGAGAUUAUGUGAAAUCGACAAACAAAUCAAAUUUUCAAUUUCAGAAUCAUCAUAUAUUUAUAUUCAAUGUUCAACAAAUCAAAUCAAGAAACACUAAGGAAAAAUCACAAUUUCUUCAAAGUAGAAAAGACAUAUCUUCAAAGAAGAAAGAAUAAAAAAAUCAUAUACUUGUAGAUUGAUAUAAUUGAGUUGAGUUGUCUUCUUUUUUUCUUUUUUUUUUAAUAUAGGUUUACAUAAAAUAAAAAAUUUGGCCCCCAAAUUUUGAGGCCUAAGACCCUUGUCUAGUCUGUUUUGUCUUAGAACCGGGCCUUCACGUCAGACUGCUAGAUGGUCCUAGAAGUCUCUCAACUUGAGAAUACAAGGUCAACGCCUUAAUUAGCGACAAAGGAAGAAAGGCCGGUGCAUCGCGCGUGCAUGCAUAUGCUAUAUUGUUUAAGGAUUUUCUGUCUUUUAGCCACGGGGUAACUUUAGUUAUUUCCACACAAGAUGACUACACAUAAGGGAUCAUAGGACUACUACUUCAUUCUUUACGAUAAUUUUCUGUUUAUUGAUCUUCAAAAGUUGGGAAACACAACCCCCCCAAGGGUACGUUUCUUCCAAUCUACAAGAUGAAAGGAUCAACACAAAGAAUGAUUUGUUAAAUUAGAAAAACAAAUGAAAGAACAAGUCUCUCAUGCAUGAAUCGUCUAUUGAAAUUACUUCUUCAAGUUCAGUCGCUACUGACAGUUCUGGAUACAUAUGAAUGAUAUAAUGGAUGAAGGCUACGUUUUCUUGCGUAUGAGUUCCGCCAACCCCAGGACACGGCAUCCAGUUAAACUGCCUUCAGUUUUCUGCUAACUUUACCCUGUAAUAUAAUUAUGUAGGCCUUGAGGUGUACGUACGUACGUAACUGUGAUCAAUCUUCAAAUGGGGGUAAAUUAUUUCGUUGUUAACUAGAAGUUGUUAUGAUCUGUCAUGCAUGCCACGAGUACGUAGGUCCUGGUUGGUUUCUUCUUUUGAUAUCAUGACACCAAAACGGGUACAAUUAAAGCCAGCUAGCUGCAUGUGCAAACUAACUCGAUCGAUCAAGGUUAGGGCAUCCAUGUGUGUGCCAGCCCGAUUGGUCUGCCCUUGUCUAACCAGGCCAGCCAGUUCCUUCUUGAUUAAAGCUUGACGGAGAGACCGACAAAGACGUCGGGACGCCGACGACAAAAGCGCUUCCCCUUCGCUAGCAGCAACGUACGGCCCGCGCGCCAUGCAUGUUUGUCAUGCAUGGAUAGAUAUUAGCGCUCGUCGAUCAUCAUGCAUGGAUACCAAUUCGUAAUCAGUUCUCUUGUAACCAAAAGGAAACUAGUGAUGUCAUGCGGGUGAAGUGGCUGACCUAAUUAACUUUGUGGAAUCGAACGUGGAUCAGCUAUGUAAUAAGACUAGAAAGGCAUUACACAAGUGCUAUACUGACGUUGAUCGAGAAGAUACAUGAGUGUAGUUUUUAUGUGAAGAAAGAAGAUACAUGCAUGAAGUUUCUUGAAGAAUGAAGAUACAUGUAGUUGGAUCCAUUAAGCAUGCACGUUCAGGAAAUUGCGCUACGUUUUCCCUCUGCACUCGUAGAGCCAGUCGAACACAUGCACUGAUGCACCGAAUUAGGAUAAAACCAGUCAGCUACUGCAGUUAGUAAGGCAGGUGGGUCGGUUUUUGGACGACCAACCCUGCACAAAUGGAACUCUACUCCAGGUCGACCAGGACUAAAGGGUUUAGACUUCGAGGUCAAGGUCAAAGUCUACCACUAACGAUGCAAAUUUGAGAAAGGAUAUGCCCUGUUACAAAAAAAAAAAGAAAAAAGAAAGAAAGGAUAUGCAAUGUCACCUAGGACGUAUAGGACUGGCCCGCCAAAAUAAUAUACACACUUGAGUGUCAGACGUGGAGCGUAAGAGCAAAUCCAACUGUUGGGUCUUUGUUAGGAAUACUUGGGUCAUGAGCAUGACUUGGGUCACCACGUAACAGUGAAACUGGACUGCAGUUUCUAUCCACGAUUUUAGUUUCUGAGUUGCCACAUGACAGUGACUGUUUAAUAAAUUUUAUAUUUGGUAUUUUAUAUGUUCGGUUUAUUUUUGAGUUUUCUUGAAAUGUCGAGUCUUUGAUUUAAGGCUCAUAUGUGGACGUCGAUACGAGGUCACCGACGUAUUCGGAUUAUUUUUCAGUACGUCGAACCAUUUUCUAUGUUUUAUCAAAGUUUCGAUAAAACAAAAUUAUUUUUCAGAAAUUAGAAAUUCGUAAUUUAUUCUGAACCGUUUGAUCUCUUCAAUUUAAAUCUAGACUGUUCACUUCUUAUAUAAAAACCCAACUCAGGUCAACUGACCCAAAUCAGGUCAACUCCUUCUUCUUCCAAGACGACCAAGAGUUGUGUUGCUCUCCGACAGCCCAAGACGACGCUAUCGAUUAUGGCCACCCCACGGCACCAGACUUGGCCAAAACCUUCAUCUUUCUUCCCUAUCCUAAACCCCCAUCAUCAAUUUCACAUGCAUUCACUGUGGUGAUCGAAUCGACUCUGGGAAACUUUUGCUUUUCCGGCUAGGGUUUGAGUUUUUGGCGAUUAAAUCGUGUGCUAGAGGUAUGGUUGUGAUCACCUUUUCCUUCUCUAUAUUCUCUUGCCCUUAAUUUCACGAAUUGCUUAUAAUUUUUAAAUACAUCAUUUUCUCUGCGUUUUUGGGAUUCGCCGGUGAUCUUCCACCGACGGCGCCGUCCAAGCUUUCGGGCAUGCAUCUGUGGCACGCGUCUUGCUCUCUCUCUGAUUCGGUCGUGCUAGAGGCUCGAGAGCAACGCGUUGAGGCUUGGGCAUCACAGUGCCACAACGUGGCCGGCGUCAUGUGGAAGGGUGCAAGCGAGCUGAGGUGGCUCGGAAGGCCCCGGUUGUCAAAAUCCUUUGCCUGGGUCAUGGGUCUGACCCAGGUCUUACCCAGGUUAAAGAAAUUUCAUGGGUGGAGGGAGGCUUUUUCUAGCUGGGUCUUCGUUUGACAUGGUGAAGGCCUGGGUCUUGCUUUUGGGGUAAGGGUGGAAUUGCUCUAAAUAAUUUCCUUUGUUCUUGGUAAGGCUCAUGGGAAGGAAAAAAGAAGGAGAAUGACUCGAAUGAAAUUUCCCGAUAACUUUCCGUUCUGAUGUUUGGUAACACAAAGGAAAUUAUCGAGAAAGUUUUGGAAAAGUUGUUAAUUAAAAUAAUAAAAUAAAAUAUUAUGAGUAAUAAAUGCAAGGAACGUAGAUGAGAAAGUUGUUCUUAUGGAUUUUGGAACCUUCAUGAAAUUAUUUCCUUUCCUUCAGCGUCCCUAAAUGCAGGAAAUGAACAACUUUUCUUUCUUGAUGGUUACUUUUCACGAACCAAACGAGACCUAAUAGUAAUUGCAAGUCCAAGUAGGAUAUAUCCAACCAAACUAAAAUUAUUCUGUGAACACUGAGUAUAUAACAAGCACUACUUGAACUAGUCAUCAACGUGGCACAUACUAUCAUGUAUCAUGUAUAUAUACCGACGCCGUUAACAAAAUUGAAACAAAAAAUAAAAUAAAAAUUAGUCCAAGUGUUUUCAACACAUGAGGUGUAGACCUGAGGUCGAAGAAGAUGCUCUCUUAUUAUGGACGCUUAGUUAAUUUGAUCAAGUCAAAAAAAAGAAGAAAAAAACAUAGGAAGGAGGGUCUCCGGUCUUCAAUCUAUCUUCGCAAGUCCAAGGGUCGUGAUUUGCACAAUGACGGUGCAAGUGCACAUUGAUGUGUAAAAUCCGCUCCCAUUUUAGACAACCGUAAAUGACAUACGAUUCAUACCAUCCUUAAUAAACUGUGCAUUUACGUACAUUCCAUAGAAGUAUACAUUUGGCCAAGUCUUUUACUCUACAGCUCAAUUGCCAUAGCAUUUCGUAAUAUUAAUUCCUAGUUUAUUCCAAAGGCUAAUAAGAAAAUCAAAGCUAUCAAAUACAAUUUAAAAUGACUCGGGUAUUUUCAUUGCAAAAUCAAUUAAAUGUUUCAUAGUUUCAUGAUGAAACAAAACGAUAGUCAGACUAAACUCGGCCAUUAACACUCAUUCUCAUCUCAAAUGACUAGAAAAAUCGCAGAGCUCGUUUAAUCUAGGGAACACGUAUUAAUUAUAUUGGUUGUUGUAUGUGAACGGAUCGGAUGUUAAUCAUGUUCUUGUUCCGGCAAUUCAUUUGGUUGUUGCAGUUGAAGGAAAAAAAACUUGCUGUCAUAAAAACUGUGUGGCAAAGAUGUUGCAACAACUCCAGGUCGAAUUUUAUUGAAAACCCACGUAUAUAACAUGUUAGAAAAGAGUGGUUGAGUUUUUUUUUUCUAACAACCACGACAACCAGGCACAUCGUCUUCACUCAUUACGCACUGCAUGUUGAGCCUGCUUCCAGUAGUUCUUUAAGCUUGACCAUUGUAGGUGAAAAUGCUACGUACUUUCACAAAUCACCUCAUAUAGAUAAGAAAUUUUCAAUGAUUUCCUUAGGUCCAGUUUGUUAUUGAGUUUUGAGGAAUAAAAUCACGACAACCAUAAACAUGAGUUCUUUUAAUUAAGCAGGUAGGAUAUUAUAGAAACUCAACAACUGAAGGUUGAAAGACAAUAUUCCUGCCCUAAACUUAACCUAUCUCAAUUCACCGGCCAAGACAAAAAAAUCCCAUAUAUCACGUCGAGUUUUCGAGCACCAUCAUAAAGUGUUUCUAGCUACAGUAGCUAGCGGCUGGGUUUUAGUAUUUUGUAUUCCUUUCUUUACAAAUCUAAAGCCGACCUAAACUCUUGAUCAGUAUGUAUUCUUUGGUAUCGAGGCAAUUUCCAGUCAUGGUCCAGAAUUUCGAGCCGGCCUUUAAUUAGCUAGUUUGAGGCGCCGCUAAGGCUACAAAUUGUUACUGCAUGUCUGCAUCGACAGCACUACCGACAUUUGAUUCCUGCCUUCAAAUUCAGGCCAAGGCUUAAAGAGUUAUAGCGAUAGAUUUGACAAAUGCCCCUGGUUCCCGCAAACUUCGGAGCAGAUUUCUUGGAUUGGAAGCGAAGCCAGGAACUUUUUUCGGCUGUUGUUGACAAGUUGUCCUUAAAUCUUUUGACAAAACACAAAACAACACAAAAAAAAAAAAACAAAGAAUCCUUCUGUUAGCAUCAGUAGCAAUUGCUUGGUGCUUAAGGUACGUUCAUUGUCAAACAGAGUUUUUAAAGUCGAUAGAAGUGAUGCAGAAACAUAGACCAAAUAGGGAUUAAGAUGUAUUGAGAUGAAUGUAAGUUAUUCUUUUUUCUUCAUGACGCGUUGGAACGUAACAUCUUUACCAAGUCUUCAUUUCCAGUUCCUUAAACGAAGAUUCUCGCUUCCCUUGUAUUUCUAGUUUCUUCAUGAUGCUUGUAUUUUUGCAAGUUCCGAGCAUGAUGUACAGUUGCCUAAGAUGGAAUAGUAACGGGUAAAAGAGUAGACCGUACCCGACACUUUCAGUUGAAAUAAUCGAUCACAACAUGUUGUGCAAAUGUGCAGUAUAUAGAAUCAUAGAUGAAGGAAAAAGAAUUAGCCCAAGUAAAUUUCUGCUUUGUGAAUAAAAACCGAGCUUUACAGCCUUUACUAGUAAGUUGCUCUCUUUUAUCUCUGCUUUUUGAGUUUUGACGGUUGUUUUCAAUAUCUCAAUCUUGAGAAACUCCACUCAAGCCAUGUUUGGUUCAUGGAAUCAAGCCAUUAGGAAAUGAAAGUCAUUACUUUCCAUUGUUUGGAAACCUAAAAGAAAAGAGUGAGAAAGAAAAGUGGUUCCCAUAUGAAAGAAAAAUUAGGUGGAAUCCCCUCACCCCAAAGGAUUCGCCUUCAUUUCCUUGUCAAAGGAAAAUUCAAAGAUUUCCUUUGCUUUUCAUAGCACUGGAAGCAGGGAAGCAACAAUACUGGUGAUAUCUCAACAAUUACGGUAAACAGAACUGGAGGAUUUCGUAAGAAGAGAGAAACUAUGUGCGUUUGCUUUUUAAAAAGCAGCACUGAGAGUACAUCCAUUUUGGACAGUUAUUCCUAGCCUUGCAAGCUUGUAAAAAAGAAACCGAGGUAUUUGCACGAGAUAUAGAAAACCAUGAGCUAAACCAGAGGUAAAGGAUACCUUCACUGUUACAAGUGAUAGAGAUACCGAAGAAAUGUAGAAAACCAUGAGCUACAUGACGCACACGUACUUAUCAGAUUAUAACGCCAUUAAUGAGAAAAUAAUCAGUCAAUGACUCAAAGGUCACUAAUAUUACACAAAAAUGAUUGAUCAUGAACAGCUCAAACACAAUCAAUUGGAUAGUAUUGAUGAACAUCAAACUUGGCCAAAAUCUUGCCUCUACAAACCCUCAAUCUGAUCAUCGAUCCCACAGAAUUAGCUAGGAAGUCAUUGGAGAAUUAUAUCCUGCCAACAUCAAUGAUCUUUCCAAAAGAAGAUUACAAGGGCCUUCUUUUAGUCAAUCUGGGCCUGGAGCAGAAGACAAAAUAAAGGGGAGAAAAAAGCUCUUAAAUAUGUGUCCGUUCCUCUAGUUAACACAAAAUUCAGUCCAGGAUGAAAGAGGCAACGUUUCAGGCUAAAUGUUUCUCAAUAUGCAAGAUUCCGGUCAAUCUUCAUCAGAAUAAUUGAACUUGACAGAGUGCGAUUGCAGAUCAAUCUGUCCUCCUCUGUAUGUGCCACGCUUCUUCUUGGUCUUUUCAUGUCGAAAGUCCCUGCAUGAGUGAGAGAGAUUAGGCUCCACUAAUUGAAAACUAUUGAGUAACAAGUGUGUAAAGGGUGUAUAUCAUUCUACUGUCUGAUCAACCGACAUUAUCUCCUAGAUUUGAAAGGGAAAUGGUGAUUCUAAUUUCUCAGUCCCUCUAAGCUGUUGAUUCUAAUUUCUCAGUCCCUCUAAUAGUUAUACAACCAGGGACAUGAUGUUUACUCGGUAACAUUUAUUACUUCUGUUUUAUUCUCAGUGGAAGAGCCCAAAAGCGCCUUCAAACCUACUUUCUAAUGCUCUUCCCUUUAUGCUCAGUGCAUAUCCUUCAGUCUUCAGGUAUGUCUGCAAACCUACUUUCUGUGUUGUGUGAAAAGGUACAUAUCGAUUGCAUAGUAAUAUACUAUAGGUUCAGACAGUGACUUUAAGUGGGCCUUAUAUUAUGUCCCGUUUUCGUCUACCAUUGUUUCAACUACUAAACAACCAAUUGAUGCAAACGAUAUCUAAUAAGAGGGAUGCCAGCUCAGACAGUUUUCACCACAGCAGUAAGCUGCAAACUGAAUGGCUUGACGAAAAACAUUAAAUAAUUAUAUCUUCAAGUAACAUUUAACAAAACACAUACCUUCCUCUGACUUGACCAAGAAUCUCCUGUGCUUUUGCACCAUAGCCGAUCUCUGCACCAUCCUGUACAAAAUGGGAUAAAGAAUAAGUAAAGAAAACUUAGGACAGAAUAAAAGAAGAAACAAAUAAGCUAGUCAGUCUCACACCUUAGCCCAAUAAGAGUUAUCUUUAAGCUUAUCAUCUGUGAAUACCACUUCAUCAAUUUUUACCCUUUGAAAGGCAUUAAUCGUCUUUGGCUGCAAUAACAUCAAUAUGAUUUCAACCCGUAAGCAGUGUUGAGAGAAAAAUACAAACAAACAAACAAACAUUGAGCCCCAACAGCAUCAUCAUGAAAAAAUAAACACUGGGAGGCAUAGUUCAGUUUGAUAAAGUUUUCCAUGACUCAUGAAUUAACGAAUAUGAACAUGAAGAAGGAAAUGCAUUUAACAUGAACUGGAGCAUCUAAUACUCAAAAAGAGGCUUCAUUAAUUAGUCAAAAUAAAACUAUUUAGUAGUUUGCCCUUUAAAAAAAUAAACAUAAGGUUAAAGUUUUGUGUCCCUAAUCGUAUUACCUUAAACUUCAGGUCAAGUCAAAUCUAAAAAACCAUUAUAUCAGAAUCUCCAUUUCUCUAAUACACAUGAACAUGCAGCAGUGAGACAACUUAGAUGAAAGCAAGAAAGAGUGUUUAGGUCCAGGGAACCAAACAAAUGGGCCAGAAAACCCACUGUAAACUGUGAAAUCUGCACGUAUUACAUCAUCUAAGCCUUUGACAGUAUGAGUCCAUUCAUCACACUGAUGAUUGACAGGUAAUUCAUGUAGCAGUGAUUAGAUAACAGUUCAGAAGGGAUAUGGUAUCUAAACUAGACAUAUCUCACUAGAAUCCUUUUCUUACACAUGAAGAUUAAGAAAUUACCUCAGUUGAACCAUUGCGCUGCUUCUUUAUGCUCUUCUGCAUGUAAGACUUCUCAGCACUUUCAUCUUCUUUGCUCUUCCCAGGCUCUGAAUCAUUAUCUACAGAAUCCAAUCUUUUCCUUUUUUUGGAGCUUUUGUUCUCAUUAUCUGUAGCAUCCACAUCAGAUAUCUUGAAAUCUUCCUUUUUCAAAACAGUGUCACUUGCAUCUUCCAUGGCAACUACCUUCUUAUCCUCGCCACCAGAAGUUUCCUUCUUAUUCUUUUUAACUUUAGGUUUAACAUCCAAUAGGUUUUCAUCUGCAAUUGUUUCACCAGUUAGAUUUGCAUCAUUUGACUUGUUUUUCCUUUUCUUCUUAUCCUUAGUUUUUUUCUCUGUCUCAGAAUCACCGACAUCUUUUUCCUUCACAGAUGUAUGAUCUUUUAAACUUUCUUCAGUAGCCCCGGAAAGUGGCUCGGGUUUAUGUUGUUCUACACUAUCAGGAGUGUCAGAAACAAUCUUUCCCUUCUUUCUGUCUUUCUUCUUGUCUUUAGAUUUUGCAACUUUUUCAGGAGCUAGAACAUUUCCUAAACAGUUACAAAAAAUUAACUAAGUCCUGGUCACCCCCACACAACGAGAGAGAGAGAGAGAGAGAGAGAGAGAGAGAGAGAGAGAGAGAGAGAGAGAGAGAGAGAGAGAGAGAGUAGANNNNNNNNNNNNNNNNNNNNNNNNNNNNNNNNNNNNNNNNNNNNNNNNNNNNNNNNNNNNNNNNNNNNNNNNNNNNNNNNNNNNNNNNNNNNNNNNNNNNNNNNNNNNNNNNNNNNNNNNNNNNNNNNNNNNNNNNNNNNNGAGAGAGAGAGAGAUUUAUAGCAAUUCAAUACCAUUCUCCUUCUGACUGCUAACACUUGUAUUGUCUUUAUUACUGCAAAACAGAAAAGUACAUGAGUGUACAGUAUGAAACCAAACAUUUUACUCCACAGACUCAUCAUUGAAAUAAGAAUGGAUAAACCAAAUGGAUUAGUACUAUGAAAGUCAGCCAGACAGCACUUGGUUAUGUCCAUUAAAUUUCAUCUCAGAGACUGACACCAGAAGAAACUAUGAUUUUGAACCUAAAAUGUAGAUCAUUUCUAUGGUUUUAAGGGUAAAUGCUAUAUUUCUGAAAUACUUAAUAUAUCACCCAAAAAAAACAUCAUUGCACUUGAUGUGAUUCUAGAGACAUUUUAAUAUAAUCAACAGAUCUGAAAGAUGGACAAAAGGGUAUAAUUAGUGUCAUAGUAUUGUAGUUGCACCUCUAAAUGGUUGAGCUUGAAAAAAAAAUCAUAAAACAAAACAAUUAGUCAAUUAUGCACCACAUAAAAAAUGUGUGUGCAUUGAACUAACUUUAUACAAAAUCUAGAACGUCCAUACUUCAAUUAGGUCGAAAUACUCUAAGUCUUGUGCUUAUUAAGAAAAAAGUUAUCCACAACCAAAAGUGGUGAAAGUAAGAAGACUGCAGUUAUUUAAAACAACUACUUCCAAUGCAUUGGCAAAGAUGUUACAAUUGAUAAACUUAUCGGAAUGUAAUAUAAGGGAAGGUAAAGAAUUGAUAAACCUACCACAUUUCAGAAUAUUUGCAGUACAUCUCUUCCAAAUCCAGUGAAGACUCCUUCAUACCAAUUUUCUGCACAAGAUAAAUUCAGUUCAUACUCCAGAAACUACCAAUAAUGAAAACGGCUGUGACAUCAUAUAAGCCAACACUUGCGAUAUAUAAUAUAUAUAUAUAUAUAUAUAUAUAUAUAUAUAUAUAUAUAUAAAAACACACACACACUUCUAUCUAAAUACCAGUACAGAACUAUUUCCCAAUUUCAUCUUUAGGGAUAAAUUACAAUCUCUUCACAAUUUCUAUACGAAUACGUCGAAAACCAAAGCUAGCAGCCAAGCUAUACUAGAGUUCAACCAAACAUUUACCAUGGAAAUUAUUACAUAAAGAUAAAAAAGCAAUCUUUGAAGGUGAAAUGCGGCAAAUGAACAAGAGAAGAAGUUACCCACCUCGACUGGAGCUUCAGAGAGAAACUUUUUGAGGGUUUUGGAGAACCCAUUGGCCUCGAGGAACUUGGCGACGGUGUGGAGGAGAGGACCCUUCUGGUCGUUAUUGGGGUUGCUCUGCUUCAUGUGUAGGUUACGGUUUGCAAGUAGAAGGACUUGGCGAGGCUUGAAGGCUAGAAGGGAAGGGCUGAGAGUGUCCUGCGUCCUUGUGUGGGACUUGGGCAUGCGCGAGGCUUUGAGAGCUUUAUUUGGAGGGAGAGAGGGAGGGAGAGAGAUGAAGCAAGGGGUUUAGGAGGAAUUAGGGUUUUUGUGGUUGUGAAAUUACUAUUGCACACCAACCUCCUCUUCUGUUUUAAACUUUUAAAUAACAAAAUACAAAUACAAUAGGAAAAAAAAGUACAAAAUAAAAAAUACCGAAAAUCCUUCAAACAUCCUAAACUAAACCAUGAAAAUUAAAAUUGAAUACAGCGUACAAUACUUCCUCUUAGUUACAUAGUCAUGCAGUACAGUAAAUAGAGUUUAAUUAUGGUAAGUUGGUAACCAGUGAAACGUAAUUUUUUCUAUUUGAAUAGUACGGUGAUCUAGAAGAAUUAUCUGGAUUCUCUGCUUGGAUUUAAGUUACUUGAAUUUGUUUAGAUGUCUUAUAACCAUUAGAUAAAGUAAGAAUGAUAUAAAGAUAACAUAGUGGUCUCAGAUUGUACUCAAUCCAAUAGUUAGAAGAAAAGAUAUGCUCAACAUUUUUUCGUUGGAGAAAGGUAACACUUACUAUAAUAGAAUACAAAAUUACAACUGUGGAAGAUUGGUUGUGGUCACACGUAAGCUUUAAUCUUUUGUCUUCUAUUAGAUUUUUGAAGUUAAAUUUGCAUAUGGCAAAAAUAUUAUUAAGGACAAAUGACUGGUCACUUCUUAUAUUUUGAGUGUUUCGACAAUUUAGUUCUCAUAUUUUUAAUUUCAACCGAUCACUCUUUAUACUUCUCAAAUUUCGACCAAUUGGUCCAUUUCGUCAUAUUCCCUCCAAAAAGUCUAUUAACUUGCUGAUUUGAAUAGUGUAAAAAUGUUACUUGUCGAUUAUAACCCAAGCCAUCAUAUUUUUUUAUUUUUAUUUUAUUUUUUAUAGAAAUGAUCAUCUCAUCUCAUCUUUUACCAUGGAGUUGCAUGAGAUGUGGUUAAUGCUACAUUUUGCCUCUGUUUGUAAUUUUCUAGUAAAGACGAAAGAGGUAUGUUGUGAGUAUUUAGAUAUAUCUAUGCAGUAUAUAUUCUUGAACUUUUAGAAAAUGAAUUGAGGUAAAAGAGAGUAAACAGGCUUUUUCAUUUUUCAAAAUCUUAAUUUCAUUUUUUUGUUCAAAAAAUCUGAAAGGAGUUAGGGUUUUCAUUUUUUUUAUUUAGUAUGUAAUCUACAAUUGUUCUGGAUGUUGGAUUUUAUUUAGUAUGUAAAGAAAAAGAGAAAUGAGAAAAAAAAACACCUAAGGGCAUUUAAGGAAAUGAAAAGAUAGUUUAAAGGAAAUACUGUCCAUGUUAGCGUAUUAAUAGCCAUUUUGGACGAAAAUGAACGGAAUGGACCAAUUGAUCGAAAUUUGAGAAGUGAGAGGAGUGAUUGGUUGAAAUUAAAAACAUGAGGACUAAACUAUCGAAACCCUCAAAGUAUAAGGAGUGACCAGUAUUUUGUCUUAUUAUUAAUAUGAAAGACAUCGCCCAGUACCAUUUGAUCUAGAGGCAUCAGUCUCCUCUCUGUAAAUGAGAAUUCACGAUAGAUUCGUUGUAGCAUUUCAGUUAUUUGUUUGAUAAAAAAAAAAAUGGAUGACCACUUGCAAUGAUUUUUUAAACCUUUUUGUUUUUUAUCUAAUUUUAUUUGUUUAUUUAUUGUAGAUUUCCGAUAUUUAUAUUCAUAUACAAAAUAACAAAAUCAGUUUGGAAUCUUCAAACAUAUAGGAUUGAUGAAGACAUGAAGUCCCACAAAGUGUACAUAAUAGCAGUACGAUCAACGCUUCCACCUUGAAUUAUUGUCGAAAAAAACGCUUCCAUCUUGAACUAUUUAUAUUCCACAAAUCACAAAUUGUCCAUCAUAUGCAGCGGUAACUAUUUAUGCCGGGGAGGUGACGGAGAUGCCGGGAUGGUGAUCGUACGACCGGACCCACCCUUAAGUCCGCCAAUUUUGAAGCUUGUGGGCUGUCGUGACCAACUUGGUUUUUAUUUGUCUUCUGGCUCACUCAGUUUCUGACUUCAUGAGGGACCGUGGUCUUCAUCUUUCAUUCUAGGCUCUUGCAAGCUCUUGUGCUCGGUGGUUUGAUUGGCCGAUGAUGCUGUUUCCUAUUGUCCUUAACGAUGGAGAGGAACACCAUCUCCCGUAAAGUCAACUCCUCCUCACCACCAAGCUUCUCCUCCUCCGCCGCGGAAACCGUAGCCGAUAUCCAAGACCUCUUAACAGAAAUCCUUCUCCGUGUGCCAGCUCGAUCAGUUGUUCGUCUCAAAUGUAUCUCCAAGCAUUGGUACUGUCUCAUCUCCAAACCCGAGUUCCGUCGCCGCCACAUCCUCCAAAACCCCAACCCCAAAGUCUCUGCUUUCUUCUCCAACACCACUCAAGACUUCACCUUCAUUUCUCUCUAUAAAAACCCACCUCGUAUUUUCAUCCAUGACCUUUACCCUGGUAACCAUCGACACUCUAUCAACCCCUUCAAAACUCUCAACAUCUUUAAUAACUUCGUUCAAGGCAACUGGAAUGAUUUUGGGUUGAAGAUUCUUCAGUCCUGCAAUGGCCUCUUUCUCUGCGUUCCAUUCUCUACUCAUAGAAGAACAUAUCAAUAUUAUCACACCGUACAAUAUUAUUCUAUCUAUGUUGUGAAUCCCACCACCAACGAAUUCAUGGCUGUUUCACCUCCGAGGGUUGGGAAAGGAACUGUGUUCGAGCGAUAUGCUCUGGCUUUUGACCCUUUCAAAUCAACUCAUUGCAAGGUGAUCUGCAUUAGUACCAUUCACAAGCACAAUUGGCUGCACCAGGUGGACGUUUAUUCGUCGGAGACUCGAUCUUGGAGGCUUCUCAAGACGUCUUUCGCCUCCAGGGACAUUGAGAUGCAGUUUGAUGGCAGGAGCAGGGAAGGAGGUGUGUACUGCAAUGGCGCAGCUCAUUGGAUACGAGACGAGAAGGAGCUGCCGAUUAGUGUUGGUGAGGAUGGAAACAGUUUGGUAAGAGAGAAUGCGGAUUUGGUACAUUACUAUGACAUAUCUGAGGAACGUUUGGGACUUGCCAUUCCUAGUGCUCCUGUUGUUGUAAGUGGAUACUAUCCUUCUAAGUUUCCGAAAUUUGAUCAUAGGUAUUUUGGGGAGUCUGGUGGUCAUUUGUGUUUGAUUGAUGUAUACAAGGACCACUCAUCAGAAAAGUAUUUAUAUAAUGAUUGUAAUGCUGAAUUUGAUGUCAUGGAGAUGGGGAAGGACUACUCUGGAUGGUUUGUCAAGUAUCAUGUUGAUCUUAAUCCGGUUGUUGCUGCAUUCCGUGGCUAUUAUGAUCACUUCUCUCGUUUUUAUGUCUUGUUUCUUGAUGGAGAGGGAAAAGAGGAACAAGUUCAGCAGCAGCCCGAGGAGGUUUCUUCAUCUCUUUUGUUCCAUAUUCCUGGUAAGGUCAUAUCUUAUAAUCUUAGGAGUAAGACCUGUAAGACAUAUGUGGACUUGUCCAUUAAGGACUAUUUUCUAGUUGGGGGACAUAGUUAUAGUUACAUGGAGACUUUAGCUAGUCUCUGAUGCUCCAUGGAAUCUAUCUGGAAUGCUGCUAGGGGUGCUAGCUAUUGCUUGUACUUUGCGCUUGGAUCGGUUACAUGGAAAUAUUGCUUCCUUUCAGUUCAUUGUGAUUAAUAUAUGUGUGAACUUGCUGAACCAAUUAUUGGAUUUUGUCCCCUCAUGAUAGUUCAUGCAAGUUUACUUUGAUAUAGAUAUAUCAUAUAUCAAUGCCUCACUUUCUUUCACAGAUCAUGUCAGACUAUUUUGAAGCCUUAUAAUGUGAGAAAUUUGAAAAGUAUUCUUCUUAAUUAUUAAUCCAUUGCUAUAAAUUGUUUUCUACCUAAACAACUUCAAGAUUUUGCUAAUCAAUAAGUUUUAAGGUGGACUUGAUUAUGCCAGUUGAUAAACGACUUCUUUUUAUAGAUUAUAUGUGUUCUGCAAAGAGGCAGAGCCAUAGGAAACCAAAGUUGCAUAUAAAAUAAGCAAUAAAAACGAAGAGGGUUCAUCUUUGUUCCUUCAAAUUCCUGGUAAGCUUAUCUUCUAGAAUCUCAAGAGUAAGACCAUUUACAUACCUGUGGAGUUAAGUUUGUUUCCAAACUGCCAUACACAGAGAUUAUUGUGUGCAUUUUUAGCAUUAUUCUGUUGCUGAGUCAUUUGAUAACAAGCUUUUCCGCUGUAUGUUACUGCAUUAUGGUACAUCCUUGCGUUUAUGGAGGAAAAGAAGAGAAUUUAUUUAAUUGCCGAAACUUGCCUGGUCAUGUCAUUACAUAUUUUUGAGAGUUGGAUAGUCUCUGAUGGAAUUUUAUCUAUUUAUGAUUGAAAUGAAUUAUUGACUUUAUUUUUCAUGCCCCAUGAGGUGUGAUUGUUUAGUUAGGGGUUCACUGGUUGUCAUUCUAAUUUCUAAUCCUAGACUCUAGUUAUUAAGUUCUUUGGAUUCCUUCUUGGUGGAAGUUCUGAUAUUGUCUUCUGAGAUGUUGAUAUAUUAAGCAGUUACUGACUAACUGGAAUCCCCUAUAGUGUCCUGAACAUGUGAGAUGUUGCCAAAUAUAUUUUCUAGCGUCUAAGCCUGGAAUCUUUGGAGCCACAAAUUUGACUUGAAACAAUACUACACAAGUCCUGUUCUUUUGAUUCCAGAACUUGACUACGAUGAACAAUGUGAUAGAGCUAUUCAUUGGCAAGUGACAAAAGUUUACCGUUCUAUGAUGUGGAUGAAGAGUGUCAGUAUUGAUUUGUACUUUUGUAGUCUUUCCAGAGGGAAACAUAGAUAUUGUAGCGUGUGUGGUAGCCAUUUGCAUCCUAUUUUGAGCAUCAUCUUUACUAAGUUUGAUGUGUUGGAGAUGUGGAGGGACAAUCUGGUUUUUAAGAACAACUUUGAUCUUUACCCUAUAUGGACAACAAAGGCUGAUUGAGUUAAGUGCAGAGGAGAUGGUUCAGCUUUGUUCUACCUGUUCCAUUAUGCAUUUGUUCUCUUUCUUUGCUCAGACGAAAGCAGAGAGGAAGAGCUGCCUCUCUUGCUGCAAAUCUCCUGUAAGCCUGUAAGGUCAUAUUCUUAUAAACUUGAGAUUAACAGGACCUUUUGGAGAAAUUUGUUAAGCCAACUGCAAAAGGCAUUGAUUUACAAGCAUAAAAUUUGUAUUUGUUUUUCAUGCUUUACUUUCGAAUAAGCUACAAUGAGACCUAUGUAAUGGGAUCCCUUGAUUGUUUGUGAUCAGGGCUGUUCUUGGGGUUGGUUUACGGCCAUUUUUGAGAAAUGUUAACAAUCUGGUUCUUCCUGUAAAAUAUCAGACUAGGGCUGCCACUCGGUCGGUUCGAAUCGGUAAUGGGUGUUACCAACUUCAAAACCAAAGCUUUCAGUAAUGAAAUAUGACUUUCAAUUACCAAACCAAAAACUUCGGUAUGAGAUAAAUCUUACUAACUUCAGAUGUCGGUUUUUCGGUAUUACCAAACUUCAUAACAAAUAUAUUUUCAAAAUAUAACAAAACAAUACAAAACUAUAAAAUUUAAAUAUCCCUUGAGUUUCUAGAGUCUGAUAAUACAUAUACAAAAGAUAGUCAUUUUAGUACACAUUAUCGAGUAUGGUUUAAUUUUCUACCGAAAUAGUCAGGAUGUAAAUGUUUCCAAAUUUUUAUAUGAACAAGUUAUGUGUCAUCUAUGUGAAAGUAUGUGUGUGGAAGAGUCGACCAAAAUAAGUCACAUAAGGGCAGUAAAAGCUUUUUCGUGUAAUAAGUGACGUUAAAUUAUGGUUGACCGCUUUGAUCAAGACCCGAGCAUUAUUGAGUACAAUUGAAUUUUCUAUCAUAAUUGUAUUAUACUAUAAUGAUCACAUCAGACGGUCGAAUUUUAAUUUUGUGAAUUGUAAUCAUUGAAACCACAACAUGCCUGGUAAUGUGGUAUAACUUAUUUAGUAAGUUAUAUGCAUAUGUACAUCUUUGUGAACCAACUACAAAGAGGAAGCAAAAUUUUCAAAAACCUUGUGAACUAUGAUGUGAUCAAUAUAGUGAAAUACGACUAUGGUAGAAAAAUUAGGUAUNNNNNNNNNNNNNNNNNNNNNNNNNNNNNNNNNNNNNNNNNNNNNNNNNNNNNNNNNNNNNNNNNNNNNNNNNNNNNNNNNNNNNNNNNNNNNNNNNNNNCUGAUUCAUUGUGAGCUGUCCUGGAGAGUCCGUUGAAGUUGAGAGACGUGCACAGGAAUUCUCCCGAUUUCAUCAGGAUUUUCAAGGCUUGGAUAUUCUUGGAAUUCUGCCGAAUUUAGAUCUUCUUCUCCAUAUUGGACUUGGUUUGGACCUCUCCUUCAUGGACUAGGCUUUGUGGAUCAGCUGCUUUGCUUCCCUAGGUCCAUCAGGAACACUCCUCUUGGCACUCUUCUACAUGUCACCUAAGUAUCAGAGAAGUUAAAUCAAUUUGUGACAAUGCAAAAACUUUACAGAAUCAUAAGAACAUCUCUAAGACUCCACAAAUCGGCUUUUGACAAUUUUCUACAUCAUUCCUCUAUGUUUAACACGUUUUACGCAUAACUCUACCAAAAACUUUCGACUCUACAUUAUGACUCUAUUCUACGACAAUAAGAGAUAAUCAAAAUACAAAUGGAGGUAAUAACAUAUUAAGAAUGUCGCAUUUUAUGCUCCUAUCAUAAUGCCUCCAAAUCUUCAAGGCAAAUACUACCGCGGCUAGCUCUAGGUCAUGAGUGGGGUAAUUUUUCUCAUGAACCUUCAACUGUCUAGAGCCAUAUGCCACAACACCGCCAAGCUGCAUCAACACACAACCUAAACCCCGAUGAGAAGCGUCGCUAUAAACAACAUAGCCAGCACCACUAAUGGGAAUGACCAACACUGGGGCGGUAGUCAACCUAGUCUUCAACUCCUCAAAUGCCUUUUCAUACUCAUUGGUCCACUCAAACUUUGCAUUCUUCUUUGUCAACUUGGUCAAAGAAGAGGCAAUGCUAGAAAAUCUCUUAAUAAAUCUCCGGUAGUAUCUUGCCAACCUAAGAAAACUACGGAUCUCCAUAGGAGUAGGGGGGCGACUCCAAUUCAACACCGCCUCCACCUUAGAGGGAUCCACCGAAAUCCCCUCCUUUGAUACCACAUGACCAAGGAACUUGACCUCUUCCUUCCAAAACUCACACUUCCCAAACUUAGCAUACAACUUGGCCUCCCUAAGAACCUGUAGUACGAUCCAUAGGUGCCUAUCAUGAUCCUCCAAAGUCUUGGAGUAAAUCAAAAUAUCAUCCACAAAUACUACUACAAACACAUCCAGAUAAGGACAGAACAUGCGGUUCAUCAAAUCCAUAAAAACAGCAGGGGCAUUUGUUAGACCAAAUGGCAUAACAACAAACUCAUAAUGCCCAUAUCUAGACUUGAAAGCGGUCUUCGGAAUAUCCUCCUCCUUCACCCUCAACUGGUGAUAACCGGACCUCAGGUCAAUCUUAGAGAACACCGUAGCGCCUCUAAGCUGAUCAAACAAAUCACCAAUCCUAGGCAAAGGAUACCUAUUCUUGAUGGUUACCUUGUUCAACUCCCGAUAGUCCACACAACCGGAGUGUAUCAUCCUUCUUCUUCACAAACAACACUGGUGCACCCCAAGGCAAGGUGCUAGGUCUAAUGAAUCCCUGCUCGAGAAGACCCUCAAUUUGAACCUUCAACUCCUGAAGUUCAGUUCUCCCCAUUUGAUAAGGAGUCUUUGAUACCAGUGAAGUACCUGGUACCACAUCGAUAGCAAACUCCACUACCCUCUUAGGCGGUAACCCCGGAAUCUCCUGGAAUACAUCGCUAAACUCAGAGACUACUGCAAUAUCCGCAAUACCCAUGGUACUACCGGUAGCCUCAAUGUAUGCCAACACUCCUUCCCACAUGGCAGUGUCUGACCUAUGACAACGAUAGCGAAAGCUCGGCUGUCCAGGAAUGUGGAAUGACACCACCAUAUCGAAAUAGUAAAUCAUAGCACGGUUUGGCCUUAGCCAAUCCACUCCCAAAAUCACAUCAUAGGAGCGGUCUGGAAUCACAAUGAGAGAAGCAAGGAACUCUCUACCACUAAUCACUAUAGGACAUGCUUCACACAAAGUGCCAAGCUCAAUAGAAACACCGAGAGGCGAAGAAACACACAAAGAUCUAGUAAGCAGUGUCGGAGUCAAGCCUAAUGCCCUCACCACCGAGCUAGAUAUGAAAGAAUGGGUUGCCCCCGUAUCAAACAAAACUGAAGCAAGCAGAUCAUAAACAAGAAUGGUACCUUCCACUCCUGCACCACGCUGACCAAUGGCAUAUACUCUGGCUGGUGCUGGAAGUAAUGGUCUCUGCUGAAUACCCUGUCCUACAGCCUGAGGUCGGGUGCAAUCCCUGGCAAAAUGGCCGGCUUGCCCACAAGUGAAACAUCCCUGCCUCCUGGGCUUCGUGUAACAUCCCGGCCCCAAUUUUACCUAUUUACUAGGUAUUUCACGAGUUACUGAAGAAUUUAACCGUGCUCGGUAAUUUGGUAAUUUAACACUCGAGUUUAUUGUCGAGUUCUCAAAAUGUCAAGUUCUUCUUUUAUGGACCCGAAGUCCUAGUACGCGUCGAUACGAGUUCGUCGGUGUCUCCGGAUUAUUUUUUUUUUUUUUUNNNNNNNNNNNNNNNNNNNNNNNNNNNNNNNNNNNNNNNNNNNNNNNNNNNNNNNNNNNNNNNNNNNNNNNNNNNNNNNNNNNNNNNNNNNNNNNNNNNNNNNNNNNNNNNNNNNNNNNNNNNNNNNNNNNNNNNNNNNNNNNNNNNNNNNNNNNNNNNNNNNNNNNNNNNNNNNNNNNNNNNNNNNNNNNNNNNNNNNNNNNNNNNNNNNNNNNNNNNNNNNNNNNNNNNNNNNNNNNNNNNNNNNNNNNNNNNNNNNNNNNNNNNNNNNNNNNNNNNNNNNNNNNNNNNNNNNNNNNNNNNNNNNNNNNNNNNNNNNNNNNNNNNNNNNNNNNNNNNNNNNNNNNNNNNNNNNNNNNNNNNNNNNNNNNNNNNNNNNNNNNNNNNNNNNNNNNNNNNNNNNNNNNNNNNNNNNNNNNNNNNNNNNNNNNNNNNNNNNNNNNNNNNNNNNNNNNNNNNNNNNNNNNNNNNNNNNNNNNNNNNNNNNNNNNNNNNNNNNNNNNNNNNNNNNNNNNNNNNNNNNNNNNNNNNNNNNNNNNNNNNNNNNNNNNNNNNNNNNNNNNNNNNNNNNNNNNNNNNNNNNNNNNNNNNNNNNNNNNNNNNNNNNNNNNNNNNNNNNNNNNNNNNNNNNNNNNNNNNNNNNNNNNNNNNNNNNNNNNNNNNNNNNNNNNNNNNNNNNNNNNNNNNNNNNNNNNNNNNNNNNNNNNNNNNNNNNNNNNNNNNNNNNNNNNNNNNNNNNNNNNNNNNNNNNNNNNNNNNNNNNNNNNNNNNNNNNNNNNNNNNNNNNNNNNNNNNNNNNNNNNNNNNNNNNNNNNNNNNNNNNNNNNNNNNNNNNNNNNNNNNNNNNNNNNNNNNNNNNNNNNNNNNNNNNNNNAAUAUUUUAUUCGUAAAUUUAUUUUUGUCCACUCACUCUAACGUUUCGUUUUCAAAUGUUUUCCCCUGGGCUCUUCGUUUUAAAAAUGCCCAGUUUGCAGGAUUGCAUAGUUGUGGUCGGACGUAUUUGGAGAAGAGGCAUAGUCAAUAGUGUAGCUUCCGCUCAUUUUUAUAUUUCUAGUUUAUUUCCUUUCAAAUAGAGUUGCUCUGAACUGUGGCUGUUGGCUAUGAGAUUAUCUUGUUUAAAUUGGUAAUUAAAUUGGGAGAUGUUGUGAUAUGGGGAGCACGAAGGUUCCAGGAGUUUAAGGUUGGAUUUAAAUUUUCAGAAGUGUUUGCAGGUAUUAAUAGGAAGGGUUGUCCAUUUUCAAGGGAGGUUAUGCCGAUUUUUCGGUAAAUUUUCCUUGGAGGUGGUCCCCGCACGACUUACUCUGGGUUUUAGGGUGAAAUUUGGGGUGGGUCGUGUCACUUCGUGCAUGCCGAAGAGAAGUGGCCCGGCUCACCACAGUUGAAACACUUCAAUGGUGUUGCCUGCCUAAUAGGUGGAGCCCUAAUAGGUGCAGCUGCUGCUCUAGCUGGAGCCAGCUGAUGAGUCCAUCGCCUCUUCCCAUAACCACCUCUGUGGUCCCCUGAACUGCUACUCCCUGCCAGGGCCUUGCCAUUCCCCUGGGCAUCUCUCUGCCUCUCUAUCUCAUGCAUGGCCUCCUCCUGCUCAACUGUAAGGGCACUCUCAACCGCUUCUGCUAGAGUAGCAAACCGGUGGGAAGUCACCAACUUUUGGAGCUCAUGCCUCAAACCCCGAAUGAACUUCCGUGCCAAAUCUACUGUAUCCAUCUCUCUAGCAAAACGAUACAGCUGAGAAAAAUGGGCCUCAUAAUCCUUGACACUCAUCAGGCCCUGCACCAGAGCUAUGAACUCAAGCUCCAACUGCUCCCUCACUGUAUCAGAAAAAUACUUCUCCCGAAAGAGCUGAACAAACCCCUCCCAAGACAAGGCGGUCACAUCUUGAGAUCUCUCUACCCCACUCCACCAUACCUGUGCCUCAUCCUUGAGAAGAAACAUAGCAAUACGCAUCUUCUCAAUCUCCGUACACGUGAUCAUGGUGAAGUAUGUCUCGAUGCCCUCUAUCCAAUGAUCAGCUACGAGGUAGUCUGUACCUCCAAGAAAGGAAGGCGCUCUUAAUCUGAUAAUACCCUAGGCCAGCCUGGCCAAUCGUAGACCAUCAUCUACUGCAACUGGCACCGGCACCUCCAACACAACCUCCUCGUCAAAGAAAUCAUCCACAGGUGGAGCCCUACCUCUGCCUCUGGCCCCACCUGCCCCUUUGGCAUACCUGCCCCUCGGACCCUACCGGCCCCUCUAGCCCUACCUCGGCCUCUAGCUCUCCCUCGCAGAGGAUCCAUCACCUAAGAAGCAAGUAAACCUUGGUUAACUCAUGCAUAAAACUUAAACCAAGUAUAAGUCAAAUGCGACAUUUAUUAACCAAGGCACUAACACAAAAUGGAACACAAGAUUCAAAAAUCCCACUAACAGAGUACUCUCUACUCUGACAUCCUACUAACAGAGUACCCAUAAGUCCCAGAUAUUUAAUAAAAUACCCCUCAUGACCUACAACAACACUAUGUGUACCCAUGGGUCCCAGAUACCAUACAGUAUCUCCCCUGACCUACACUGACAGACGGACUAGAGCUCUAUUCCUAACCGCAACCAAUCACCCGGCCAAAGGCUUGGAACCUGGUUUGACUGUCUAAUAUCAAACACAAAAAUGAUAACCAAUCACCCAAUUAAGGGCUUGGAACCCGGUUUGGCUAUUUAUCCAACAAUCAUAAUAUCACAACAUUAUCCUCAACAACACAAUAUCACAUCAUUAUUCUCAACAACACAAUAUCACAUCAUAAAUUAUAUCCUACCACAUGGAUAUAUUUACAUGAACAAUUAUAGAUAUUCCACAAGAAUAAUCUAUCCAAAAAUCAAUAAAAUUAUGCUCACAUGAAUCUCAAAAUAGCAUUUAAAGAAAACUUGUUUUAUCUUACCUAGGGCUGCCACUCGGUCGGUUUGAAUUGGUAAUGGCCGUUACCAACUUCAAAACCAAAGCUUUCGGUAAUGAAAUAUGACUUUCAAUUACCAAACCAAAAACUUCGGUAUGAGAUAAAUCUUACCAACUUCGGAUGUCGGUUUUUCGGUAUUACCAAACUUCACAACAAAUAUAUUUUCAAAAUAUAACAAAACAAUACAAAACUAUAAAAUUUAAAUAUCACUUGAGUUUCUAGAGUCUGAUAAUACAUAUACAAAAGAAAGUCAUUUCAGUACACAUUAUCGAAUAUGGUUUAAUUUUCUACCGAAAUAGUCAGGAUGUAAAUGUUUCCAAAUUUUUAUAUGAACAAGUUAUGUGUCAUCUAUGUGAAAGUAUGUGUGUGGAAGAGUCGACCAAAAUAAGUCACAUAAGAGCAGUAAAAGCUUUUUCCUGUAAUAAGUGACGUUAAAUUAUGGUUGACCGCUUUGAUCAAGACCCGAGCAUUAUUGAGUACAAUUGAAUUUUCUAUCAUAAUUGUAUUAUACUAUAAUGAUCACAUCAGACGGUUGAAUUUUAAUUUUAUGAAUUGUAAUUAUUGGAACCACAACAUACCUGGUAAUGUGGUAUAACUUAUUUAAUAAGUUAUAUGCAUAUGUACAUCUUUGUGAACCAACUACAAAGAGGAAGCAAAAUUUUUAAAAACCUUGUAAACUAUGAUGUGAUCAAUAUAAUGAAAUACGACUAUGGUAGAAAAAUUAGGUAUUUUUGAUAAUGUUUUGGCCUUGAUCAAGGCGGCUAACCCUAUUUACGCUUGUGCUUCCUAUGGGGAGCCCUAUCAUCAAGAGAGGUAAAAACAUUCCUAAAUUUUUACAUGGGCGGUUACAUGUCAUCUAAGUGGGUUUGUCUAUGUGUGUGUGUGAUGAAUCGACUAAAACGGGUAGGUAAGAGCGUUUUUAUAUAACAAGUAACAUUGAAUUAAAGUUGAUCGCUUUAAUUGAGACCCGAAUGCUACCAAGUAUAGUUGAAUUUUUCUAUUCAUUGUCUUGUUUUUUACUAAAUGGUAUAUACAAUUGAAAACGUGAGAUAAGAUUAUUAGUCUGUGUGUUUUUAGAAAUAUAAGUCUUUAAAUAAUUAGAAUUUCGGUAAAUUCGGUAUUUACCAAAAACCAAACCAACUUUUUCGGUAAUUUCUCGGUUUCGGUUUUUUUUAUUUCGAUUACCAAAAUUCGGUUUACCAAAUCAUAAAUUUUCGGUCGGUUUUCGAUUGGUUUGGUAUUUACCAAACCAAGUGGCAGCCCUAAUCUUACAUAUGAGCCGUUGACGAUCAAACUCAUAUAUUUUUAAAAACAAUUAAAAGCAUGUUAUUAAAUCCAACAUUAUCAUCAUUAUCAUCAUCACAUGACCAUAAUAACAUUCGGUUCAAAAGUGAACCUUAGUGAGAUUUACUCACCUAGAUAUCCUGCUACGAAACCCCCAAUCUAACAAAGGCAAGCCAAUCACAAAAUCACAAUUCACCUAAAAUCACACAAUUAAAAACCUUAGAAACCAAAGUAGUAAUGGAUAACACAAUACCCUUAAACUAACUCUUAGCUCAAGGGAGGACAACUUCCCAAAGUCGUUGAACUCAACGACACAAAAGAGCUGCCUCAACUCUUCAAAACCUAAACUCUAACCCAACCAAGCCAACACCAACAAACUUAAGUCCUAGCAUGCCAACCUUGCUUAAAAUCUAGCCAUACUACCUCUCAACAAGCUCACAGCAGCAAGGACUAGCUAACCACAAGAAACUAAGGCUGCCACUCAGCCGGACGCGCAGCCACAGGAGGCGGCGAGUGGGCCUCACGCGCCACCCCAAACUUCCGAAUUAGGAGAAACUCACAACAGUAAAGUUGAAGCUUGAAGCAAGGGGAACAACUUUUAUACCUGAGACUUCGACCAAUUUUGGCCGGAACCGGCCCGAAACUGGCCCGAAACCCUAACCCGUAAUCACUCAUCAAACCUGCAAAACCGGCUUCAAAACCUCAAAAACUCACUUCAAUCUAUGCCUAGACACUACUAGGAGGAGGAGAGGAUCAAAACUCACCUAAGGAUGCCCUUUGUCGCCGCCGUAUACGGCGGUUUUGACCGGUGGCACAGCAGCCCUCUUUUCCGGCCGAAAGCAUUCUUUCCGGCGUCUCCCACCGAGCAGCAACUGCCCAGCCUUGAAGAGGGCACCUAUGGGAGUCGAACGAAACCGGCGGCGGUCCGAUUGGUGGCCGGAUGGCGGAGCUAGCUCCUGCGGAAGUUGGGUUCUCAGGAAACUCGGGAGAGGAAGAGGGAGAAGAGAGAGAAGAUAGAAAAGAGAGGGAAGAGAGAAGAAAAAAAAAAAGAAGUGGCUGAUUGUUUUUAGGGUUUCCAAAAACAUCCCACACACAUUUUUCUACUUAUAAUCUUUUCAAACCCGGAAACAAACUUCCUCUGACCAUAACUAACUCAUACGACAUCCGUUUCAGGCGUGCCGUAUGUCUACGAACUCGUAAUGACAAACUCUACAACUUUCAAGAAGGAAGUUUUCGAAGAUAACUUACAGAAAAUAAAGUCAACUUUUGGCCUCUUAAAAGUCAAAGCAUCUUAAAUUAAACUUCCGAAACUUCAACUUCGCAUAAACCAAAGAAUGUUCAUAAAUAAUCCUUCAUUAAAUAUGGGAAUAAUACAAAGAAAAUUGAUAUGAAAAUCUAGGGUAUUACAAAAACAUAUCAGACCCCUACAAUCGUAUAAAAAAAAAAUAGCCUCACAAUUGAUUUCAUCUGGAUCUAUAGUAUAUAAACAUAUAUACUCAUGUAUAUAAACAUAUUAGAACUAAAGAUCUUAGCUUUUGAGUGCUUAGCAAACACGUACAAAUAUGAAGAUAAUGCCGAAAAAUAGAGUAUUGACCGCUGCAAAUGAUGAGCAGAGCUAAGCUUGGAUCUUGAUAUAGAACAGCUUGCACAAACAUUUGAGACAGCUUAAUAGGAAGGCAAAGAAAACAAAGUCAAAGCAGCAACUUUGAAUCUGCAAAGCAGCAGCUUUGUUCCUCCAUAUUUUCUAUCAGCAUUAGAAUUAUUUACUUUCUAUGUUUUCAUUAGGAUUUAAGUUUUAUUUAGAAUAAAGGAUUCCUAGUUCUAGUAUGAUUAGGUUUAUUUCUAUGCCUAUAUAAGGCCCCUGCUAGAUUGUAUUUUCAUUCAAGUUAUCAAUAAGAAAACCCAAAAAAAUUAAGAAAUUAGAGUAGAAACUCUUGUGUUUUAGGCUUGUGCCUGUGUUUCGCUAGUGGAUUCUAGCUUAUACCCAUAAGGUUUCGACGCUUAACGAAACCUUGUUUUCUAUCGUGAUUACGCUUCCGUAUCAUUUGGUAUCAGAGCCGGGAUUCGCCCGCUCAAUGGGAGACGAUUCAGUGGAUGAAAUCACCAUCACCAACUUCUCCGACGCUGGUUGUGCGAUUAAAGACAUUUAGAAGUAUUUACGGGAUCAUUCGAAACUUGUAGCUGACCAAUUCGAAAUCUUCCGACAGCAGACACAAUAUUUUGUGAGAGAAUCUGUGCAAGAUGCAACAGAGGAAAUUUGACAAUCAAUUUUUCAGAUGAACUAAAUCAAAUAGGAGAUGCUCAUCUCACCAACGGAUUUGCUGAAGGUCGUGGACAUCGCCGAGAACAACGCCACAUGGGAAUUGAUGAUCAACGCGCUAUGGGAUUCGCCCGUAGACGUGGCCAUCAACAAGGAGGUCGACGUAUUGGAGGGUUUGAACGUGAUCAAGACUUUGAAGAAACCGCACAAUGAGAACUCAUUCAAUUUGCCAACUUCAAUGAAAGGGAACCUACUUAUCUACGACGUCAAGGAGGCGAAGACUUUAAGAUUAAAGCUGAUAUCCCUAACUUUACUGGAAAUUUAAAUGCUGACGAGUUCUUAGAUUGGCUUAUGGAAGUUGAGAGGUUCUUUGAGCUUAUGGGGAUCGCUGCAAACAAGCGUGUGAAAUAUGCAGCCUAUAAACUAAAAGGUAUUGCAGGGCAUUGGUGGUAGCAAAUACAAGAAGAGCGAUUCAAGUCAGGCUUGGCUCCAAUUGUUACCUGGGAUGUUAUGAAGAUGCUCUUGGAAGAAAGAUUUAUGCAUGAUGAUUAUGAGCAAACAUUAUUUGAGCAGUACCAAGAGGUUUCUUAAGAAAACAGAUCAGUCUAGGAUUUCACAACCGAUUUCUAUCAACUUGCAGAACGAAACAAAUUGAAAGAGACUAAAGCUCAACAAGUUGCAAGAUAUAUACAAGGAUUAAAUCCUCAAAUUCAGGACAAAAUUGGUUGCUUACGUUCAAGGAUGUUGGAGAAGCUCACAAGAUGGCCUUGAAAGCUGAAAAACUUGCAAAAAGUACCAUUGCAACAGCAAGUAAUCAACGGAGCUGGAAUGAUACAACAACUUUCAGCAAAACGAAAGAAAGCAUUACAACCAAGCCUCUUAGUAUUUCCAACAAACCCAUAAAGGGUGGCAGCAAGAUCAGCAGUCAGACCAAAAGGUCUUCUCAAAGCAGCACAAGUAACUCAAACCCGUACGCUAGGACUCGUUUGAAUACAUGCUUUAAAUGCAGCAAACCAGGGCACAUCUCCAGUCAAUGUCCUCUACGGCAAACUGAAAAGGCUGAAAGGACUGAAAAAAAGCCUUGUUAACUUCAUAGAAGGAGAUGAUGAACAACACGAAGAAAAAGAAGAAGACGAGAUGGUGGAGGAAGCAGAAGAAUAUUCUGGUGAUGACAUAGAGUACAAUUUAGUUACUCAACAGCUAUUGUGUUCAGCAAAACAAGAAAACCAGCGACAUAGUAUCAUCUGGAGCACAUGCAUUAUCAAAGAAAAGCCUAUGUCAUUGAUAAUAGACAGUGAAAGUUGUGAGAACUUCGUCUCAAAGAAAGUGGUGGAACACUUCAACCUUCUUACUACGAAACAUAGGACUCCUUAUGCGAUUGGAUGGAUCAAGAAAGGCCCAGAAGUUCGCAUCACCGAAACAUGUAAAGUGCUAAUUUCAAUUGGGAAAUUCUAUUAAGAUGAAGUUGAAUGUGAUGUGGUAGAAAUGGACGCCAGCCAGAUACUUCUAGGUAGACCGUGGCAGCAUGAUGUCAACACUAUCCACAAUGGAAGAGAAAACACAGUAUCAUUCAUAUGGGAAAAACACCACAUUACUUUGAAGCCUAAUUAAGACCAAGCCUACAAAUCUGGUUUCUCCGAAAGAUAACUUUCUUAUUGUUGCUGAACCUGGUGAAAAGGUGGAGAAGAAAAUUCCAAAAGAAGUCCAACAAUUACUGCAAGAUUUUGAAGAAUUAUUGGCUAAUGAUCUUCCAAAUGAACUACCUCCUAUGCGAGAUAUCCAACACCAAAUCGAUCUCGUCCCUGGAGCUAGUUUACCUAACCACCCUCAUUAUCGGAUGAGCCCUAAGGAGAACGAGAUACUUAAAGAGAAAACUGAAGAGUUGCUGCAAAAAUGACACAUUCGAGAAAGCAUGAGCCCUUGUGCAGUGCCUAUUUUGUUAGUACCAAAGAAGGAUGGGAGCUGGAGGAUGUGUGUGGACAGCCGUGCAAUCAACAAGAUCACAAUAAAAUAUCGGUUUCCGAUUCCUCGACUUGAAGAUAUGUUGGAUGUCUUAGGUGGCUCAGUAGUAUUCUCUAAAAUUGAUCAGAGAAGUGGAUAUCAUCAAAUUCGAACCAAACUAGGUGAUGAAUGGAAGACGGCAUUCAAAAGCAAAGAUGGGCUCUACGAAUGGUUAGUCAUGCCGUUUGGAUUAUCUAAUGCACCUAGUACUUUCAUGAGAGUGAUGAAUCAAGUCCUGAAGUCUUAUAUUGGGACAUGGGUGGUGGUAUACUUUGACGACAUACUAAUCUACAACAAGAGCAAGGAAGAACACUUGCAACAUCUGCGUAAAGUUCUUGAAGUUCUCCAAGAAAAUAAGUUGUACGUGAACUUGAAGAAGUGCAGUUUCAUGACCAAGCUUCUUUUUUUGGGUUAUGUGGUUAGCUCAGAAGGUAUGCAUGUUGACCAAGACAAGGUGAAAGCAAUUCAGGAAUGGCCUACACCUAAAACAGUUGGUGACGUACGAAGUUUUCAUGGAUUGGCAACCUUCUAUCGCCGCAUUGUGCCAAAUUUCAAUGCUAUCACUGCACCAAUAACUGAAUGUCUGAAGAAAGGCAGAUUUCAAUGGGGUGAAGAUUAGGAAAAGAGCUUUGUCAUGAUUAAGUACAAGUUAAGCACAGCACCGGUACUAGCUCUGCCUGAUUUUGAUAAGAUUUUUGAGGUGGAAACUGAUGCUUGUGGGGUAGGAAGAGGGGCUGUCUUAUCUCAAGAAAGGAAGCUAGUGGCGUAUUUUAGUGAGAAGCUUAAUGAAACCAGGCAAAAGUGGAGUACAUACGACCAAGAGUUCUAUGCGGUUGUUCGAGCCUUGAAACAGUGGGAACAUUAUCUUGUGCAGAGGGAAUUUGUGCUAUACACCGACCAUCAAGCCUUGAAAUAUAUCAACAGUCAAAGAAGUGUGAACAAAAUGCAUAUCCGGUGGGUUACUUUCCUACAAAAGUUCCCUUUUGCGAUCAAGCACAAGUCUGGAACACUUAACCGUGUUGCAGAUGCGUUAAGUCGAAGAAGCCAACUAUUGGUAACACUUUCUCAAGAGGUUAUUGGGUUUGAAUUUUUGAAAGAGCUUUAUGAGGAAGAUGAAGACUUUAAAGAAAUUUGGGCCAAGUGUGUGAAGCAAGAACCCUGCAACGACUUCUUCAUCAAAGAAGGGUAUCUUUUUCAAGGAAACAGAAUAUGCAUACCAAGAUCUUCACUUAAAGAGAUGUUGAUUCGAGAAUUACAUGGAGGAGGCUUAAGUGGACAUCUAGGCAGGGAUAAAACUAUAGCGAGUUUGGAGGAGAGAUAUUAUUGGCCUCAGCUGAAACGAGAAGUGGGAAACAUCGUCCGUAAGUGUUACAUCUGCCAAUCUUCUAAGGGACGAUCUGAAAAUAUAUGCCUCUACCAGUACCUAAGGGAAUUUGGGAAGACCUCACCAUGGAUUUCAUAUUAGGAUUACCUCGGACACAGCGAGGAGUGGACUCUAUAUUUGUGGUGGUGGAUAGGUUUUCAAAGAUGGCACACUUCAUACCAUGUAAGAAGACAUCUGACACUUCUCACAUUGCAAGAUUGUUCUUUAUAGAAGUGGUCUGUUUGCAUUGAGUGCCUCAGUCUAUUACUUCUGAUUGAGACACCAAGUUUCUAAGCCACUUUUGGAUUACUUUGUGGAAGAUAUUUGGGACUAUGCUCAACAGAAGCAGUACCGCUCAUCCAUAAACCGAUGGACAGACCGAAGUUACUAAUAGAACUUUGGGGAAUAUGAUUCGGAGUACUUGUGGAGAUAAGCCAAAGCAAUGGGAUGUUGUUUUGCCUCAGGUUGAGUUUUCCUAUAACAGUUUAGUUCACAGCUCCAUUGGAAGGACACCAUUUUCAGUGGUGUAUGUUUCUGUAAUACCCGUACCUAAAAGGUUACUAGUUGGGGUUAUGAAUUUCUGUGGAUUUUCUUUACUCGCACUCAGAGAUUUAAAUAGUGAUUGCUCGAGUUUGUUUUCGAGUUUUUCUGAAAACGGUAAAUAGUGGAUUUAAAACUCCGAAGUCGUUGUACACAUUUAUAUCAGCUCACCAGUAUGCCCGGAUUAUUUUCCGGAGCGACGAGCUAUGUUCUUUGAAUUUAUUAAGUUUAUAGUAAAUUUUUAAUUAUGGUUUCUUGUAACCAUUUUACCGUAAAGGACCCAAAAAAGUUGACUUUUUGUUAAGUCGAUAAUUUGGGAAAACUUCCUUCAUGGAAGUCGUAGCGGACGUUAAUAUGAGUUCGUGGACACAUGACACACUCAAAUCGGAGUUCGUAUGAGAAAGUUAUGGUCUAAAAUGGGAAAGUUACUGUUUCGGUCAAGGGUAUAAAAAAGAGAAACUUACCAAAGGUGGAAGGUAGAAAGUCAAAAACUUACCUCACCUCUCUCUCUCCUCCCGUGCGAUUUUCUCUCUCUCGCCACCGUUCUCCGCCUCGUGCGCCGCAGUCAGGCCGAAUUGGGCGGCGAUCCGGUUAUCAACAGGAAGCUAAGGAGGAGACCUAUCGAUCUAGAGUGGUGGCAGCGUCCCUCUCGCCGCCGUUUGGGAGAAAUCACGGCGAGAAGGUGCGACUGUGUUCGUCGCUAUUUUAGCCAGAUUUCUCCCUCCUCAGGCCACCAAUCGGUGAGUUCUUUAUAUGAUUAGGUUGGGUUUGAUUAGUACAACAUUCCCCUAGAAAUUGGUAGCUCGAUUCGUUGUGUGUGAAGAGAAUCGACGAAUUGAAUGUUUUUAGGGUUUGAAAUUGAGAAUUUUUUAUAUUUUGAUUAGAUUGACCUGGUUAGGCUUAGAAUUGGUCUUCGACUUCUUCUGAAAAGUUAUUCGAAAUGUUGAGAGGAAGGUUCUCUCAAAUUUUGGUGACGAUUGGAGGUGGCCGGACUUUGGCCGCCGCCGCUGGCGGACCGGCGGCGGCGGCCUUGCCACUUUUUACGAAGUUUUUCAUGCUUAUUAAAUUGCUAAAAAUGAGAGAAACCUAUUGGUGGAAAGUUAGCAAUUUUUGGAGUAAUGUUGGUUAGGUUUCGGAUUUUCCAAAGACUAACGAUAUUAAAGGUUAAAAUUGAUAACCGGGUAUAGGAAUAUUACUGUUAGACAGUUGUUGGAUUGUGCUUAUGCAUUGAAGUGGAUAUUGGAGUGUUAUGUAUGGAUUUGGGAUUGGUUUUAGUCGAAAUAGGUGUCCAUAGUAUAUCUAAUGGCACUACCAGAAGAAGGUCUUUAGCAAACGAAAAUCAAAAAACCAGGCCGACGAACGUUAGCCGACGAAAUUUUCCUUUGUCGGCUAAUUUAAAUUUUCAUCAGCUAUGGUCAACUGUAGCCGACGAAAAUUUAAUUUCGUCGCCUAAAGAAAUUUUUUCGUCGGCUAUAGUCUGUGAACUUUAGCCGACGUCUAUAUAAAAGUUUAGCCGACGAAUACCCAAAUAUUUCAUCGGCUAAACCCUAAACCCUAAACCUUAGCCGACGAAUACCCUAAUAUACGACUUGUUGCGUCUCAUCGAUUUGAAACUAUUUUCAGUUGAAGGUCUGGCCAAAAUACGUAAUUUAGACAAUCCAAUGACAUUUCUCGUGCGUUUAGGAGUUUGACUUACGGGAUUGACCGUCCGGAUCAAGCCCUUCACAUUGUCGGAUCAAGUUGAAUUUUUUCCCAUACAUGUAGUUUAUCAUGAUGGUCAGAUCUAACGGUCGGAUUUUCGUUUCUCAAGUUUGAUCAUCACAAUCACAACAUGCCUACUAAUGUUGUAUAACUUGUUUACCAAGUGUAAUACCCUAGAUUUUCAUAUCUUUUUUCCUUGUAUUAUUCCCUUAUUUAAUGAAGGAUUAUUCAUGAAAAUUCUUGGGUUUAUGCGAAGUUGAAGUUUCGGGAGUUUAUUUAAGUUGCCUUGACUUUUAAUAGGCCAAAGUUGACUUUAUUUUCCGUAAGUUAUCUUCGAAAACUUCCUUCGUGAAAGUUGUUCCCCUUGCUUCAAGCUUCAACUUUGCUGUUGGGAGUUUCUCCUAAUUCGGAAGUUUGGGGUGGCGUGUGGGGCCCACUCGCCGCCGCUUGUGGCGGCGUGUGGCGACGCGUCCGGCUGAGUUGCGGCCUUAGCUUCCUGUGGUUAGCUAGUCUUUGUUGCUGUGAGCUUGUUGAGUGGUAUUAUGGCUAGAUUUUAGGCAAGGUUGGUAUGUUAGGACUUAAGUUUAUUUGUGUAGGCUUGGUUGAGGUUUGGGGUAAGAUUUGAGGAUUAGAGGCAGCCUUUGUGGGUCUCUAAGUUCGACGACUUUGGAAAGUUGUCAUCUCGUUAACUAAGGGUUAGUUAAGGGUAGUGUGAUAACCUUUAGUGUUUUAGUUACUAAGAUUUUAUUUGUGCUAUUUUUUGGGUGAUUGGUUGCGGUUAAAUUGCUAUUUAUCAUUUUUGUAUUUGAUAUUAGACAGUCAAACCGGGUUCCAAGCCUUUGGCCGGGUGAUUGGUUACGGUUAGGAAUAGAGCUCUAGUUCGUCUGUCAGUGUAGGUCAUGGCAAAUACUGUAUGGUAUCUGGGACCCAUGGAUACACAUAGUGUUGUUGUAGGUCAUGAGGGGUAUUUAUUUAAAUAUCUGGGACUCAUGAGUACAUUUCUUGGGUAAUGUGUUAAAUGUAUGGUUUUUAAUUAUUGAUCCAAUCUCUCUUGUGAAUAUUGGAUGUGAUUAAAUGUUGUGUUGUUUUUGAGUUUACUCAUACGAGUUUUUUAGCUUACCGGGUUUGUUGUUUACAACCCGGUGCACCAUUUUUGGUGUAGGGGUUAGACCUGCAGGUGAGGAUCAGCAGGGUUGAGGUGGAGGCUUAGUGGCAGGGUUUUUUUGUCGGGUUUUGGAUGUUCAUUGUAUAUUCUUUUUAUAUACACUGGGAUAGGAUUUAUUAAACUCAUGUGAGAAUUUCUUUUUCUUGUUCUCAAGUUAUGUAAACAAGGAAUUGUAAUUUAACUCAAUUUGGUGUUGUGUGUAAAUUUACACAUUGAGUUAAUUUUCCUUGAUUUAUGUUGAAACAGGUUUUGGGAUAUUAAUAUUUUAGAUUAUAUCAUGCCAAAAUUUUUGAAUUUUAUCUUUCAAAAAUGGGGGCGUGAAACCAAGUGUUAAGUAAAUGUUCUGUUUCAAAAACAAACUAUACGUAGAACCAUCAAACGCAAAAAAGUCGUGAAAUAAGAUAUGAUCAGAAAGGUGAAAUACGUCUACGGUUGAAAAAUCACGGCAUUCCGGUGUCACACCCCAAUUUUUUUUUGAUAAUUUUUCAAAAAUUUGGGCAUGAUAAAACUUAAAAAUCUUAAAAUCCCAAAACCUGCUCACACACUUCCAAACUAAAAACAAUUACUGAAAGGUAAAUGUCAACAAACUCAUCAACCGAGUUAAACAUUUAUCUCCUUAAUUUCAUCAACUUCAAAAGUCUAGUAAUAAAAAGUCGCUCACAUGAGCUUAAAAACAAACCGCCAUAAUGUAAUAAAAUAAAGUGCAAAAAAAACUAAAAUCCUGCCACUAUGCCUCCGCCUCAAACUUACUGAUCAUCAACUGCAGGUCUAACCCCUACACCAUGAAUUGGUGCACCGGGUUGUAAACAACAAACUCGGUAAUGUAAAAAGCUCGUAUGAGUAACUCUCAAAAAUAACUCAACCCAACAUCACUUAAAUAAUACCGAAAAUUCCUGCUUUAGAAUUUAGUUCAGGAAUUUCCUCAAAACAAUAAAAUUCAAAAGAGAGUAAAUAAGAAAUCAUAUAAUUCACAAGAACAAACAAAAUCAUAAGUGAAUCCUGCAAAAAAAAAUGUAGUUCAGGAAUUCCAUUAAAAAUCACACAAAUAAAAUUAAAGAAUCUCCUGCAUUAAGCAUAGUUCAGGAGAUACUCAAACAAGGAAUUUUAAUGACAAAAAUUAAGAACAAUGUUAAAAACCACAUAACAAAUACUUUUACAAUAUACAUGUACCCAUGGGUCUCAGAUACUAAUAAGAUAUCUCUCAUGACCUACAACAAACACAUGUACACAUGAGUCCUAGUAGUUAUUAAUAAAUACCUCUCAUGACCUACAACAACAAUUUAUGUACCCAUGGGUCCCAGAUACCUUAAGGUACCCCCCAUGACCUAUAUCGACAGACGGACUAGAGCUCUAUUCCUAACCGUAACCUAUCACCCGGCCAAAGGCUUGGAACCUAGUUUGACUGUCCAACAUCACAUCACAAAUAAUAAUAGCGUCAUAACCGUAACCAAUCACCCGAUUAAAGGCUUGGAACCCAGUUUGACUAUCUACACAACAAUUCACAAAAGAGUAGAAUCAUCAUAACCGCAACCAAUCACCCGAUUAAAGGCUUGGAACCCAGUUUGACUAUCUAACUUGUUUUAUCUUACCUAUGAGCCGUUGGCGAUCAAGCUCAUUUAUUUUUAAAAACAAACAACAUAUUCUUUAAUUCAACAUCAUCAUCAACAUCAUCAUCAUCAUUAUCAUCAACAACAACACAAAGAGCACAUCAUAAAAUUAUAUCUUUCCACAUAGAUAUAAUCAUAUGAACAAACAUAGAUAUUCCCACAAGAAUAAUCUAUCAAUCACCAAUAAUAUUAUGAUCACAAGGACCUUAAAAUAAUCAUACAAGGAAAACUUGUUUUAUCUUACCUAUGAGCCGUUGACGAUCAAGCUCAUAUAUUUUUAAAACAAAUAAUAACAUAUUAUUAAAUUUAACAUCAUCCUCAAUGAUCAUAAUAAAUUCGGUCCAAAAAUGAACCUUAGUGAGAUUUACUCACCUAAAUAAAUCCAGCUGCGUCUUUCACAAAAACACAAGAGCCAAUCCCAAAUCACACUUCACAAGUCACCUAAAAUUACAAAAUUAAUAACCUUAGUAACUACUCGAAGAAUAGAUUAACAUCGCACCCUUAUACUAACCCUUGCAACGAAAAUUUUGCCCGAAGGAGGGCAACCUUUCUCCAAGACCUCCCAAGGUCAUUGGACACUCAAACAACCUAAUGUAAAAGUAAAACACACCGACUUCUACUCUCAAAACUUCCAAGCACAACAUCUCACACAAACUCAAAUGACUUGAACCUAAUAUGCCUUUCCAAAACAUAACAAAAACUUAAGGAAUCCCAACACGCUCACAAACCGUACCCAUGCUAACAUGACACUAACGCAACAGCACUGACAAUCGAGUUGCCACAGGCCGCCAUAGGCGACAGCGAGUGGCCUCACACAUCGCCUCCCAUCACUUUAAAAAAAAUAACAAUUCUCACUGCCCUCAACUAUGGAAAAAAAUACUAAACUAAGCAAACUGAGCAUCCAACUUACCAAAGACUGUCACCAAUUCAAACCGAAACUGCCCAAAACUCCGCUUAAAGCUCAACCGCCGAAUCUGCAAAUUGGAAGGUCAAGGUCUCAAAUCAAGAUCUGAUGCUAGCCUAGCAAUACCCAAAAGAGCAAGGACCCUUAAAACUUACCUAGAACAAUCCCGUUGAUGUCGUCGAACUAGUCGGAACCAGCCAAGACUACUCUGCUUGCCUUCCGCUGCUACAGUUCAAGACGAGGCCACCCACUAGCCUAGGAAGCUUCACACGGAGGAGACAAGCCUAACUAGGCUAGAUGCGUCGUCGAAGGUCGUCGAAGGUCACUGGAAUUUGGUCCGGCGAGAAGUCACUGUGGCAGUGGCUUUCGGGCCUUGCUGCGCCUUGUACGCCGGUCACCAGCGUCAAGGAUCGGCACAGCUGGAUUGGUGAGGACGAGACCGAGCUAACGGGGCCGGCAGCGAUAAAAAUGACGGCCGGACUUCCGACUUCUUCCCCUGCGAAAAUGGGGCAGCCCGUGCGUCUCAGGGAGAAGGAGAGAGAAAGAAAGUUGAGUUUCUGAAUUUUAGGGUUUCCACCCCAAAACUUUUCUAUUUAUCCUAAAAACUCUAGAAAAGCCACGACUUUCGCUGACCAUAACUUCCUCGUACGAAGUCCGUUUUACGUGUGCCACGUGUCUACGAACUUGUAUCGCCAUGCUUUACAACUUCCGUGAAGGAAGUUUCAUGAGAAACCCAAUGAAUAAAAAGUCAACUAAAAAGUCAACCAAAUAAAAAUAAUAGAAACUAGUAUCUAAUAUUCCGGGGUAUUACAUCCGGUAAAGUCUCGAUGCCGAUAGUUGUGGUCAAUGCAAUUUUCGAUUCUUUCUCCCUAUGGGUAGCCCUAUCUUCGGUGGUUAUUUUUCGUAAAAUUUUUAUACGACUUGUUGCGUCUCAUCGAUUUGAAACUAUUUUCAGUUGAAGGUCCGGCCAAAAUACGUAAUUUAGACGGUCCAAUGACAUCUUUCGUGCGUUUAGGGUUUGACUUACUGGAUUGACCGUCCGGAUCGAGCCCUUAACCUUGUCGGAUCAAGUUGAAUUUUUUCCCAUACAUGUAUUUAAUCAUGAUGGUCAGAUCUGAUGGUCGGAUUUUCGUUUUUCAAGUUUGAUCAUCACAAUCACAAUGUGUCGAAUGUAUAAAAAGUACUAUAGCCGACGACAUUAUUGACAAUUCGUCGGCUAUAGUUAAUAAAAUAAAAUAAAACAAAUAAAUUGAAAAUAUUAAAUAAAAAGUACUAUAGCUGACGAAUUUCAUUACUUUAGCCGACGAGAUUCACAGGUUUAGCCGACGAAAUUUUUAUUUUGUCGGCUAAAGGUAUAGGGUAUAUAAUUAAACCCAGCGCUCGAAAAGAAAUCGGCGGGAUCCCAAAUUCCCAAAUUUUCCCUCUUUGGGUUUUCGUCCAAAUUCAAACUGAAAUCUACAAUUUAAUUGAUGUUGUAUAUAAUGUAGUCUAGACUAGCUAUUAUUUCCAUACAUGCUAUUUCAGAAGAGAAGAGAAGACAAGAGAAAGCAAUAGGAAGCAAUGGGAGGUGGGUCAAUGAAAUCGAACCCAACAAGGUCAAGGAAGAGGGUGGAGGCCACAGCGGAGGACUCCUCCUCUAGAUCUUCUCUUGUUCGCAGCAAGGACGGUAGUGCCUUUGCCCGCUAGAAAUCUUUCGUCUUCAUUUACCUUAUGCUUUGCUUAUUAAACAUACACCCAGAUCUGUUAGACUAAUCAAAUUCGUUGCUAACAAAUUGCAGCGAGGGGUGCAAAAAGGAUGUCCCUGUGGCAACCAUAAGCUUUCACAGUUGUAGCCUUGAUGCCAAAAUCAGGAACAAUCUGGGUGAGUUCAUAUUAAUCUGUUGCAUGUUUCUAGGUUCAAUUUGCUUGUCACUAUUGCUUAUUAUAUUGUGUUUUUCAGAGGCUCAAGUUGUCGAAAAGCCCAGCCAAGUGACUAAGAAGCCUCCCACUGCCGGGUAUUCCUCAUCUUCUUUUUUUCUUUUGCUGGGGUGCAAUGUGAGUGUAUCUUCUGAUAUUUGUUUUGUGUGCAGGAAGAAGAAAUCGACUACAUCGGAACAAUGUCAAUAGAUGACACUAUGGCAAAAAAGUAAUUGAAGCUUACAAUUCAUAACAUAGAAGUUUGAGGUGAUUUUAGCUAGUAGAUAAGGUGAAAAUAACAUAUCACUAUUCUUCUUUUUCUAGUAGAACAGAAAUGGGAGACAUACUUCAAAAGAUGCUAAAUUAUUUAUAUUCAAGCUAAGGAUAGUGAAUGAGUUUUAUUGUCCUCACAUUAUCAACAGGGGAAUAUGAGGGGAAUGUUGAUUAGGGUGUUUUUAAUCUCUGGAAACAACUUCAAUUUUGUGUAGUUGAUCAAUUAUAUAGUUUUAUGUGCUUGUUGUUGGUUAUAUGGAAUUGUUUUGGUGUAUUUUGCAGGUUGCUUGGAAUGGUAAUUUAGAAAUUUCGGGUUUUUUUUUACUGGAAUGGACUUAUAGCCGACGAAACAUGUAAGAUAUUCAUCGGCUAUAGUAUUUUUAAUUUUUUUUAAUAAGGUUUAGCCGACGAAUUAUGACAUGUUUCGUCAGCUAAACCCUUCUAAAGCUGACGAAACAAACUAUAUUUCGUCGGCUAUAAUUAUUAUUAUUUUUUUUAUUACAUACCUUAGCCGAUGAAUAUCUUAAAUGUUUUGUCGGCUAAAGUCUCAGACUAUGGUCGACGAAAUAUUUAAGAUAUUCGUCGGCUAAAUUCUGGGACAAUAGCCGACGACGUCUUCUAGUGUCGUCGGCUAAAGUCAUCGCCGACGACUCUUUCCCGACGAAACCAUAGCUGACGAAGGCUCAUCGGCUAAGAUCUUAGCCGACGAAUUAAGCUAACAGGCCGACGAGACUUUUUCGUCGGCUAAAGUGCUUGUCCUGGUAGUGUGGGUGUCCAUAGUAAAUCUAAGUUAGAAUGUUUAGUAAAUUUGGGUUCAAAGUGAAAGAAUGCAUGUUUGAUGAUUGGCAUAAGUUGAGUUUUAUAUUAUUCUAACGAAAUUUUGAUUGGUUAUAUAUAAAUAUAUAUAUAUAUAUAUAUGUAUGUGUGCAUACAUAUACACACUCUUUGGCACUUGAGUAGGUUGUUUUGCGAGUUAAGUGUGGGGUUUGGUUAAGUUGAUGAGUUUAAUUAUUCUCUUAGAACUUUAUAUUGAAAUGAUAAUAAAUUAGUAUAGUUUUGUUGAUGCAUGAGGCUUUGUAUGGCCGGGUUGAUUUGAUUAAAUGGGUAUAGAAGAAAACAUUUUAAAAUGGUGUGUAUCAUGAAAUGGUUCUUAAGAGUCCGUAAGUAUGGUUUUGAUUUUGGACUUAUGGUGGUAAAUGAGAUGUUGUUAGUGAAGGUAGAGAAGUAGAAUAAAAUGUUGAACUACGAGUGGCUUGAUCCCUUUAAAAGGGUACGUAGGCAGCCCGAUCAAGUUUUGGGUGCAGCCGCAAAUAAACAAAACAAAAAAUUAGGAUUUCGUUAUUUAUUUUAUUCGGUUAUUCUUCUAACACCUGGGUCAGGGUGUUACAGUUUCACCUCCUAAGCUUGUGGUUGACUUGGCUUUUGUUCCAAAGGCUAAGGAUUUUAGUGAAGCAGCUGCGUCAAUGGCAAGAGAGGUGCAGGGAGUCCAAGAUGAGGUUAAGCAGAAACUGAAAGUUACUAACGUGAAGUACAAGGCUAUUGCAGAUUCUCAUCGACGUGAGAAGAUUUUUAACGAAGGAGACACUAUGAUGAUUUUCUUACAAAAAGAAAGGUUUCCUAUCGGCACCUACAGCAAGUUCAAGCCCAGGAAGUAUGGACCGUACAAAAUUAUCAAGAAAAUCAAUGACAAUGCAUAUGUCAUUGAUCUGCCAGAUACUAUGGGAAUAUCCAAGACCUUCAACGUUAGUGACAUACAUGCCUACCAAGCUGAUGAUGAUGACGCUUUCUAUCUUGACAUAAACUUGAGGUCGAGUUCUUCUAAAGUGGAGGAGACUGAUACAGAAUAGCUUGCACAGACAUUUGAGACAUAGCUUAAUAGGAAGGCAAAGAAAACAAAGUCAAAGCAGCAGCUUUGUUCCUGCAUAUUUUCUAUCAGCAUUAGGAUUAUUUACUUUCUAUGUUAUCAUCAGGAUUUAAGUUUUAUUUAGAAUAAAGGAUUCCUAGUUCUAGUAUGAUUAGGUUUAUUUCUAUGCCAAUAUAAGGCCCCUGCUAGAUUGUAUUUUCAUUCAAGUUAUCAAUAAGAAAACCCAAAAAAAUUAGAGUAGAAACUCUUGUAUUUUAAGCUUGUGCCUGUGUUUCGCUAGUGGAUUCUAGGUUAUCCCCAUAAGGUUUCGACACAUGACGAAACCUUGUUUUCUAUCGUGAUUACACUUCCGUAUCAGAUCUACAUGCAACAAUAGACUCGUCAGAGGAAAUGGGGGGAGGGAGAUGUAAACUAGAGAGAUCGAGGGGUUUGAGAUGAGACCUAACAACCUAGGAAUUGGGAAAUCCCUAGUUUUGUUUAAAUUCUCUCAAUUUUUCCCUCAUCCAAACACAUUGUUAACUUUUCAACCUAGCUCUAGCUUCAUAACAUUCAAACAUUUCUAGCACUCCACCAAUCCAUAUCGAUCAAUGAGAUUUCUUUAUAAUCUCACUAAAAAAGACUUCAACAAAUAAACAUCUUGUUGAACUUGAUUGCUGAUUAACCAGAAAUUUAUGUAGUACAAUCAAGACAACCUUUAACUUUUAUGCAACCAACUCUAAACCCUAAACCUUGCUUUCUUAUAAAUUCAAACCAAAAUAAUGUAAAAAUCACUGCAUCAAGUUUAAAUUCAAAAUACAACAUAGAACACCAAUACAGUUAAGAAUGUUUCUACUUGCUGUAAGAAAAUAGUUGGAUGAGCUUAAUGCACAAAAGAGGAAUGCGUAAGAAGAAGAAGGCUGGAUUCUGGACCGCCAAUACUGUUCAAGAUUAAAGAAACUGAGAACAAAGCCUUCAAUGGUCCACUUCUUCAGGAUAAUCUCAAAGCCAUGAUUGACUUUGAGAAAUUCAUUUCACAAUUUUCCAAGUUGUGGCUACUGUUCGAUUCAUUUGUGGUUACAUUCGUGUAAAAGAAAAUUAAAAAUUCAGUUCCAAAUGUCUCUGAAGUGUCUGCUAUGUCAACCUGAAAGUGCAAGAAAGUAUGUAUAUACAUUACGCCAACCUAAAAGUGAAAAAAAGUGAUGAAAAUAUAUACAUAUGACCUCAAGCUGAUUUGAUCACAAAAGAUCACAAAAAGGAACAUAAAAAGAAAAGCCCCCCACCACCAGCCCUCCCCCCCGCGUUGAUCAACAACUUUUUAGUAGCCUGCUCAGCGUAUUGAAAUGCCAGGCAACCUUUUCCCUUGUCACCACCUGAACCAUCACCUGAGCCUGUUACUAACCAGUGACAGUGACCAUUAGAACAAUGUUUUUUUUUUUUUUUUGAUAGGGACCAGUAGAACAAUGUGAUGAGUUGAAGGUAAACUGAAUGCCUUUGGUCAUCAAAUGGUUGAAUGACAUCAACAUCUUUCAAAAAUCCUGUACAGCUUUUCAAGUGAAGCAACCUACAAAACAGAAGGCAAGGAUAUCCUUGUAUCAUUCUCAGAAGUUGAAAUUAAGAAUUAAUUGUAUAUUCCUAGAUCAUUCUCAUAGUUAAAGAAGCAAAUCUGGUUAUACAUGCACCACAAAUCCCACCUGACUUGGGCAAGAAAAGAGAUAAAGAGAGGAAACCAGAGGGUCAUGUUCCUACAUAGAGGCAGCCAGCCAGUGGCAUGUGGCUAACAGUGACAUUUGAACAUUUGACAAAAGAGUCCUUGAUACUAACAUUAAUAGACAUCUGAGAUUUUCCGACUUGUUUCUUAAAUCUCAGUUGCAGCUUGAAACAUGAAGACCAAGUUGGAGAAAUAGUAAAUACUGUAAUCUGCCCCUAAACUUUAUGGACUUUUAUUUACGUGCACAUGGGAAUCACCAAGCUAGCACAUCAUACAUGAGUUUAUUGACUUAUUGUGUUAACUCAAAAAUCAUGCUUGAUCCCGAUAAAAUUAACUUACCCGAACAAAUGUUCCAUUGGUAGCCAUAGAAUUUGGUGGCUUAAAAAAGAGCCUCAUUGAUGGAAACAGUACAUGCUGGAUUGACCAUUCGCGUUGUGCCCAUGCAGUCUCUGCCUCUGCAACUAAUUCAUGCUCGAUUUCAUCCUCUGUCAUCAUAUCAUCCCCAUCUGCAAACAGCAAAACCCACUUCAAUGUACUUGGCAAUACUAUGGAUGUGUACAAAUGAGGAAGAUGCAGAAGAUGACAUCAUCAUCUACCACUGCAAUGUCAACUUAAAGAAGGCGGCUCACUGGUUCUUAAAUUGAUGGUUUCAGAUGUAUGGAUUCAGUUAGUUUUAGAAACAAGUGAUUCCCAUGAAAGGAAACGAAACGACAUCCUUCCCUUUCUGUCAUAAAAAAGAAAGGAUAUAAACUUAUCGUUCAUCCCCACUUUGUCACUGGAUUGUCUAAUCUUGUGUUUGUCAUAUAAACUGUCAAAAAUGAAAGAGAAAGCCAAAUUGAGUCAUAUGAAGCAAAAUUUAUUUAAAGCCAUGUUAUGCAACAAAAUUAAACUCUCAUAUUAUAAAUAAAAAUGUUGUCUCCUGCAGGAAUCUAUUACUGAAAUAAGGUUAUCAGGUGCCUCCAAGAUUGCAUGAUUUGCUUGGGUUUUCCAAAAUGACAAUGGGAACAGUUGUGCCUCCAUUGUUAGUAUACUCUUCCCAAAAACUUGGUUAGAGAUCUUAUGUAUUUCUGGAAAGAUCCAUCAUAUUUAUUGACAGGACUAGCAUCAAAAUAAAUUUAAAUUCAUAACUCUGAGUCAACAUUUGAGAGAUAGGCACACGGUUGCACAAUUACCACCAACCCCUCUAUUAUAUCCCUUUGAUUCGAUCUUGAACUACCUGGCAAUCUCUCACCCCUUGUUAUAUCCGGACUUUUGAUUUCACAUUCAGAUGUUGUACUUGUAUACACUGGCUAGAAUUAUUCAGAUUUAUGUAUCUAAAUAUUUACUAAUGCGUUUUUUUGCUUGGCUGCUGUUUCUAAAUGUUGUUUUUGUUAUAGACUGCAAACGGGACCUUCUUUUUUCUCAUUAGCCUAUCAGCAUUUAGAAAUACCACCAUGAUUUCUCAUUAAGAAGUUCCAAGAAAUCAUAUCUUUUAAAAUUAAAUUUACCAUAAAAAGCUUCUGUGGUUCUACCUCUGAAAACUGUCAGAAACAGAUGAACGUUCCCUUAAAGAAGAGAAAAGAUUAAAUAUAUACACAUAUAUAAAUAUAUAUUAUACUACUGAAAGCACUUACCUUACUCAUCAGAAAACUAACAUAUCAAUAUAACACUACUCUUUAAACAGCAAUGUUAAAAAAGGAUCAGGCUGUAGACUGAAACACUACUCUUUCACUCAUAAGAAAACUAACAUACCAGUACUGCAAGAGAGACUUUCUUCAUUAUUCCUGAACGACUUCCUUUUUCGGUAGAACUGCAAACCAUCACCAGAUGGAUUGGGUAACAUAGGAGGAUGCAUAGCGUAAAAGUUCCCAAGCGCAGCUGAAAUUACUUGAAAGCAUUUUUUCUCUUCUUCCCAAUCAACCUAUAAUAUACACAGACAUCAAGGUUCGCUCAACAAAAAAUGCAUUUCAACAGAGAAAGAAACACAAAAACUAUUAUCAAGACACCUCUAAACUUCCACACUAUACAUGUUCUCUUGGCCACUCACAUAAACUCUCAAUUCUUGAUACACUUUAGGUCACACAAAGGGAUACAACAUUUUAUUGCAUAAAAGUCAUAGAAUGAUGUCAAAGUCUAAAUCAAUUGCAUAAAAAAAAUGGUCAACAUUUGAUAACCUGGACUCCGGAUCAAGUCAUUCAGACAUCAUUGUAUUCUUAUUUAUUAAUAUUCUGACCCAAUUUAUGAGCCUAUUCAACCAAUGCAACUUUAUUAGUACCAAAAGACGACCGUGCUUUGCCAAUUUGACCACAUGUGCUCCAUAUCAACCCACGUAAUCUUUUGUUUGACUCAAUUUUCACAAUAUGAGAAUGUAUGAAGAGAAAUAGAAUCCUACACCGAGUAUAUUGGCCUUUGUAUCUCAAUAUUAAAAACCUUAAUGCCUCUGGGUCUAUCCCACUCUAUGUGUCUGACUCAAUUUCACAAUAUGAGGAGGUAUGAUUUGAAAACAUAAUCAUGCACCGAGUAUAUUGACCUUUGUAUCUCAAUACCCAAAAAAAAAAACAACCUUAAUGCCUCUGGAUCUAUUACAUCCUGUUUAGAUUGCCCAAGAAUAAUAGAUAUUUUCCAUCAAGAUGUAGAAGGAAUAGGAUUAAGGAGCCACACUCAAGCAAAUGAAUUAAUGUAAUUGAAAAAUGAUAAGAUGAUGCAAAGGAACUUACAUCAUUGGCCAAACAAAGUGCAAAUUCUGGGACACGAUCCAUGUCAGGUGUGUAUUGGUCAAGUACGACGGGAAGCCUACACAAAUUUCCAUCUUUAUCUAUGUGAAUGGAAAAGUACUCCUCUAUCAGAUCAGCCUUUUGUUUAAGUAGAUCUGUAUUCAUCUGCAAAACUACUUUCUUUCAGUAAAAAGUAACAUAGGAAGUUAAAAUAGACAAGUAUUGGAACUAAAAUACUGCACGCAAGAUAUAACAAAAUUUUCUGAUAAAAGAGAUCCAGAAAACAGAUCAAAUCAUAUUUUAAAAAUAUAAAUAUGAUAGACAGAAAGCUGACUGAAUCAAGAAACUGAGUAUCUUACUUCUGCAAUCUUCACAUUUAGUUCAUCAUUCUCAGUGGAUUCUGGAUCUGUGUCCCCCUCUUUCAGUGCCAACACAAUCAACUCUUUCAGCGGGGCAGGGUUACUUAACUGUAUAGCAUUGAAAUGGGCAAAUCGACGUAGAACUUGCUGAUACAUGAGCUCUUUGCUGUAAUUUCAUUAGAAAUUCAUAUAUAAGUGGAAAGGUCUGAGAAAGCGGAUUGAAGAGGAAAAUUUUAGAAAGACAGAAGCAAAGUACAACAGGAAAUGAAUAAGUCCAUAAAAUCAAACCUAAGCACACUUAUAUGAACCAAUGUCUGUCUCAAGGCAACAUCACGGUUAAGAUAAGAAAGCGAAACAGGAAACGUAAUAGUAGAACAAGGUGGGUGAUAGGUCAUAUAUUAUGGGUCGAAAGAAAGACCUAUGGAGUGUUUUGGGUGGAGAGCAGGACAACUUCGGAUAAUGUCAAGGAAGAAGAGGUGGAUCUUUUUAUGGGAAGGUUUAGAACCGGAGCUUCCAUAUGGCAGGUUGUUUCUUUCAGAAUUGCAGCUUCUUCAUUUUCUACUGUUCAUUUAAUUUGGAGAUCAUCUGUGAAUAUCAGAGCUUACAAAUCCAAAAAGAUCAUGUUUACGAAAAAAUCCUUAGAAUAUUUAGACAUGGAAGCACAAAGAGAUUCUGAGCCCAAAGUUAACCCAGCCCUUUUUUGUUCCAAAAGUAAUUUAUUCUCUCGCAAACACGAGAAGCAAUACUGCUGAGAUGCAGAGACUAUAGCAUUAUUAAGAUAGGGUACGCACUAAUAAAUUCAGGUACUUAACGCUACGAAGUAUGGGAACUAAUGAACUUAUUUCUCUUAUUACAAGUUUACAACAUUUAAAGCUGCAUGUACCUUAAGCUCACUACAUUUGCAAGGUAGAGGUGAGUGUCAUGCUGAAGCAACGCAAAGACAUCAUCUGCCAUUCCAAUGUAUGUGCAGUGUCUCACAAUGUCUAGCAUUCCUACAAAAAAAAAAACAUAAGUAACAGAGAUCCACCAUAUAACAGACCAAUAAAUAUUGUAAAGGAAAAACAAACUAAAAGGUAGAAUAAAACAAGAGUACCAGAAUGACAAUUGCUAUCGAUUUCAGCAAUAAGCUCAUGAAUACUAGUCAGAUCAGCAGUUUCCUUUGGGUUCCUUCUUUGUCUAACAGACGAUCUAUCAAGGAAGUACACAGAGGUAAGUAAUUGUGCAGAUGUUAUAUGAAGUUACGAAAUAAAUAGAAUAGCUUCUUUGGAUAGGAGGCCAAAACGUUUCAAAAAAAAGAAUUAAGAAUAUAAAAACAGGAUGGACAAAAGCCAAUGAAAGAGAAUAAGAAACCUAACAACACCCUAAUCAGAACAAACCAUACUAAGCAGAGCACAUCAAAGUCACAAAAGACUACUGAAACUUGAAUAGGCAAGAUAGAACAAACAGAGAUUAACUUUACAUUAAUAAAGAUUGAAUUAUUAAAACAACAGACACACACUCUAAAAAUAAUCAAGUUACAAUCCCUUGUCUUUCAGGAGUAAAACCAAGUGGACAAGCACAAGAAACAGAAUUUACAAUUACAUACUACAGUGGUGCCUGAAAGAUAAUGAGUAAUCUCAUUUGACCACAGGCCCUGUAUAAAUCAGAUGCUUUUUUCGUGAAGGAUAAUUGCAAUUGAUAGCAGUGUUUCAGAUGGUAGUGCACCUUGGUAACCUGGCUUAACCCAACAUUGACAAUGGAAUUUGCACGAGUGUUCUCUCAACAUCCACAGUGCAACACACCAAGUUUCUUGUUAAGCCACGCACACAACCAUACAAAGCAGCAUGGUUUGAUAUAUUAGUUACAUUCCAAUAACUCAGUGUUUCUUCUCUUUCUCUUGCAGUGUUUACCACAAUUCAGUUUGUGUCAUGCAAUUCCUAAUGAGGUAUCCUUCUUGGUAAAACUUGACCUAUUGACCAAAGUCUUGAUCAACAUAUUACUUGCCUUUUCAAUAUCAAUAAAAGCAAGCUGAAGCCAUUCAGUGAAAUGGAAAAAUAUAAACUAAUCAAGCCCGAGAGGAAAGUUGAGGAGAUGGGAGUAAGUUGUCACUUGUCAGUGACAAUAUUAGCCAAAUAUUAAUCAAUUGGAGUUUCAAACACUAAACCCAACUCUUGCAAUGUAAUUGUAACAUGACCGUUCAGAGAGGAAUUCAUAUCAAGGUGGUUAGAUAUGUUAUUCACAAUGGCAUGCCCAUUCAUAGAGGCAUUCAUGUUUAAAAUGUUGAAACUUGUUUUGAAAGAUGGUUUUCACUUGAGGAUUUAGUCAUAAGAGAGUCUAGUUCUGACUGCUCUAUCAGCAUCAAAUAUAAGUUCUAAUUUCUAACGUCGUUCACAUAACAAAUAGAAAGAAGACUGAUAGAUGCAGAUAUCAUAAGAGGUCCGGUACAGUAUUAAACGACUAUUCAAGAUUAAGAAUAGUACCUAACAGCAGUCAAGCUUGUAUUCUUAACAAGAUGGCCAUGAGGCUGUGCUUGCAAGUAAAUAUGCAACCUUCCAGCAGGAUCUGAUGAAUCUGUUCUGACCAUUUUAUUCACUGGAACCUUUUGUGAUUUUGACCCUGUUUAAAAGUCAUCUGAACUUCAGCAUCGGUAACAAUACCAGAAGAAGAGCAUAAUGUACAUACAGUGCAAUGACUAUGCCAAGAUUAAGAGAAGAUAAACUUUCGAAAUGAAUAAAAUUUGACUGACCCGAAGGUGAAGGAUUUCGGUUUGAAUCCUUGCUAGAAAUCAUUUGGCAGGAUGAAGAUGGCUCAACUGUCUGCAUCACGUACGAGACAGAAGUUACCACAAAAGGGCAGAAUUAGAUGGAUAUAUCCAUUUGGCAUAUACAACAUUGGUAGAAUAGAAAGAACAUUGUUGGACGAUAUUGGUUGUUCAACCCUCCUUCCAUUAAAAAAGGGGGAAAAAAAUAUUUCCUGCCCCUUAUUCAACCAUGACACCCUCCAUUAUUUGAACUUUCCAAACGAAGUACAACUCAAGAAUUAAAAAAAAAAAAAAAAAAAAGAGAAGAAAAAAAGAAAUAAAAGACAGAUAUAAUUACAUUCAUUUUUAGUAUACUCAACUAUACCUGCUCCUGAAAUAUCUGAGUCUCAUUGGAGCUUCUCAAUCUUGAUUCAACCACUGACUGUAUCUUCUCAAUGAUAACUUCCUGAUUCAGAAGACUCACCUGGGUAUCAACAGACAUUUUUAUUACAUACUUAAAUAUAUUUGGUGGUUUAAAAAUUUAGGGAAAAGUUUAAACAUCAAUUGUUGCAAUACAAAUUGAGGAUUACGUAAAAAAUGUAAUAAGAAAAAUCAAUAACGACAAAGAAAGAUGAGGACUUUCAAUAUCUCUAGUAGUUGUCAAAUAAGACUAAGGUGUUCGGCAGAAAGAAGAUUCCCUAGAGUCAUUGUGAAUAAGCACUAGCUAACUAAUGAGAUUUAGUUCUUACGCAAUGCCUAGUUGAUACAUUGACAGACAAUAGUACUUGUAUAUAGAAUAUCAUAUCAAAUGAGUUUGUAGUUAUAAGACAGCUUAAAUAAGAAUGCAUGACUGAAUUCGAUGUCCAAUCAUCUUUUUUUCUAAACACAUCAUAAUAUCAAAUAUAGUAAAUAGAUAUCUAUUUAAAAGAGGUCAAUGAUAUGAUGUAAGAUUGAAUUUUACAUUCAACACCUUCUAUAACAAAACAUGCCAGGUAGGUCAAACAAUAGUGUCAUCUCAUUGAAUCAUGUUGCAUUCGUAAACCUUUCUUACAUUUAAAGUUGCUAGUGUUCAAAAUAUGCCAGGUAAGUAGAAAUGGAUGAGAUCAUGAGAGAUCCAUCAGACAAAAACAAUCACGGGAGGGCACAAAAGUACACUUCAUACAUAAGUACUUUCCUGGCUACUCUCCAGGCAUUCAGACAAGGGAAGACACAAAAUAUAGAAGUAACAACAUAUACCUCUCUCUUUGUUGGGUGAACAUUCACAUCAACAUGUUCAGGUGGUAAUACAAUUGACAUGUAUAGGAAGGGUUUUGAUGCUUUCGGCAGUGUAGCGGCAUAAACAAUUUCUAGAGCUCUCUUCAAUGCAGUGCAAUCCACCAAUCUAUCUGUGUUUCAAAAGAGAUUUUGAACAAAGAAGAAUGAGAAAGAGUACAUAAACAAUGAAUGAUCUUUACUAAUCAGUAUAUAAAAGAUAUUCAGCGAAAAGGUCCAAUCCAAACCCUAAACAUUCAAUCCCAUCACUCACAUAAAAAAGUACUUAAGUUCAUUUUCGAUCAACUAUUUUUCUAUAAUCGCCCCCUCCCCUACUUCCAAUCUAUCAAUGAAGUUUUUCAGUCCUCUGUCAUUUACAAUGAUAUCAAACUUCAACUUCAUUGGGGUUGGGUCAGGAUAACCCAUAAACAAAUGAUUAAUAACAGAACACUAGAGAUGGAAGUUUGGGUUAGUUCCAGUUCAGAACAUUUGAAUGUGAAUUGUAUCUUUAUGGUCUGACUGCCAGCUUACCCAAUCUGACCCAUUUGAUGGCAAGUAAUUUAUUUAAACUUACCUUGGCUUUAUAGUAACUUUGUAAUUGAUAGCUUCUGUUCAUAUGACAUAAAGCAAUACUUACCAUUUAUAAAAAGCACCAUAGUUAUCUUCUUCGCAACAUAUUCCGAAUUUGAGAAUAACCCAUCCAUCUGGAAAAUUGAGCUAGACGGAUCUUUGUCCGAAGCUUCUAUUUUCAUCAGACUGCGGGCAACUGACGCCCCAUAAACUGAACGAAUAGCGUCGAUUCUUGAUACUGUGGCAACAGAACUAACAUCUGCUCUACCGGCUCCAUGCUGAUAAAUGUAGAAUGAGUUAGCAUAUCAGAAAGCUGUAAUAAUGAUUUUUACAUGCCAAAGUUAAAGUGAAAAGCAUAAAAGGCGUGUGACAUUCAUAUUAAUUCCUGAAACACAAAAAUGUCAACCUACCUUUCUGCAGGAGAAGCUAACAUUUAUGUGAUGAAUGGCGAACCGGCUUAACAAAUCUACAAUCUUUGAGUAAUCAUCAGCAGAAUUUUGCAGAUUCUUUCUCCGGGCAGACAUGUUAUAGAAUAAGUUCUCAAUCUGAAAUCACAUAACAACUUAAUCAAAAAAUUAACCCAAUUCAAUCACAUUGCCCAAGUGAACAAACAAAACAAGCUAAUUUCCAUCCUAUGUAAUCCACAUCCACCCUGCUUUAGUGGUUUCAAGCUGCUUAUAAAUUAUUCAAACAGCUUCGAUUGCUUAUCUUAAGAGUAAACCAACCAAGCCAAAAUGAGAUCCAUACCAUUAUCUGAGUUCCUUUUACGGCAGCGCACGCCUUCGGCUCAUUCUCCAUGACUCCAUCUUUAUAAGAAACCCUGAAUUAACCCACAAACUACAAUUUCAAGACUACAUUGUAACAAAAACAAAACCAAAACAAAAUUCAAAACCCCAUUUACUUCCAGUUGUCCAUUUCAUUCUAUAAACAAACAAACAAAAAAAAAUACACACAGGACUUUCGUCGAACACUAAUGUGCAUACCUAUAACCAUGCAACUGCCCCUUGGUGAUCGUCGUCACCGUCACAUGAGCCACGUACGUCAUGCUCGCCAGAGCUUCUCCUCUAAAUCCCAUGGACUUUAUGGAUUGCAGGUCCUCAAACGACGACAAUUUCGACGUCGUAUGCCGCUCGCACAGAAUCGGCAAGUCCUCAUACUACAGUUUGAGCGCGAAUUUCACAAUCAAAUCGCGAUAUUCAACAUUCCGGCGGAGAAACUGAAUGCGAGAGAGAGAGAGAGAGAGAGAGAGUAAUGACUUACUCGGAUUCCGUGGCCGUUGUCGGAGACUUGGAUGAGUUUGAGGCCGCCGUCCUUGACGACGACGUUGAUGGAGGAGGAGUGGGCGUCGAGACUGUUCUCGACGAGCUCUUUGACGGCGGAGACGGGGCGUUGGAUGACCUCACCGGCGGCGAUUCGGUUCACUACGGACUCGUCUAGGCGGUGGAUUUUGGGAGGCUCCGUCGCAACUUGCGCUUCUUCUACUUCCAUUUUCGACUCUCCGUUUCACCGUCUCGGUCUAACACCCGCCUUUUUAGUGCUUUAUGAAAUGGUAUGCCAACCCGCUUGUAUUUUAGUGAGCAAGUUCAGUCGUUUGGUCACCGCUUGUAUUUUACCGUCUACGUUGCACCCAAAUGCCAUCUCACUCGCGUUUCGUGUUUCAAAAAAGUUUCGGAAACAAAAUGCUCAGAAACGCGACCAAAACGUGUUUUCACACAAAUAUUAUUUUGCAACGCCACCGAAACGUGUUUCACCUUUAAUGGAAACGUUUUGUGUAAUUGUCCCCGAAACGCAGGGGCAAAUUUAACAUUUCUCUUUAGAUAAAAGGAUUAGGUACGUCUUCAUCUCAGCCUCUUUCCUCCUCUGCGAUUCUUCUUUGUCUUCUUUAGCAAAUCCUAAAACCCUUGGAAAAACGAGAGAGAUCUCAGAGAGAAGACGAGUCAGAGAGAUCUCUCCUCCUCGACGCGUCAACUCCUCACGCCGCUAAUUGCCCACUCGCCCUAUCCUCUGUAAGUAUUGCUCACUCUCAAUACUCCAAAUCCUCAUUCUCUUUCUUCUUCCUUCUUCUUUCUUCAUUACUCCAUCGUUUCGCUUAACGUCAACAACAGAGCGUGAUUGGAUUAACCUAAGUGAUUUGAAUUUUACAUAAAUAGAUGUCGAAUUCGAACUUAUUUCAAUGAAUGUGCUCGUAUAUGAUCGGUUGAUUACUGUUUAAUUUUAAUGUGGUUUUGCUUUGGUUGCUUUAGAUUGUAUCAGAAUUGAGCUUUUCUUCUCCAUAAUGGGGGCGCAUCGAUUUGAUUCUCUAGGACUACACUUGUUUGGUGUUUUUGUAUGUUUUUGUUUGUCUUGGAAUAUUGGUGUAUCUGUUUAAAUGGCUUAGUUGAUGUGUUUUGUUGUUCGUGUCUGAGAUUUGUCUGAGAAUUAUUCUAGGUUUGUAAAUGCAAAAUUGAAAUUCUUAGUAGGAAUGUAGUUUCAUACAACUGUACAAUUCGUUUUCAUGGUCAUUCUUAUGGGUUUUGUUGUCUGCAACAUGUAUUACAUUGCAUAUUAAACUAAGAAACUCAUACUAGAGGUCUAUGUAUUGACAUUAGUUUGAUUACCUUGUUGGUUUCAGGAACACGAUGCCAAGAGGGACACCUCAUGUUAGUGCAAGUGUUAAUGCUGGUACUAGCAAUGAUUCCAAUGAAGCUCCUAAUCUCGAAAGUGAGAUAAUAGAUGAUAGAGCACCAUUGUGGAAAUAUGCUAAGAAGAUUGAAAGGUACGGGACUGUUGGAGGAAGUUGGAAGUGGCAGUGCAACUUCUGCAAGUUGUUUUAUAAUGGGUCUCACACUAGAGUUCGACAACAUCUAUUGAAGGAAAGAAGAGUGGGGGUUACCAUUUGUAAAAAAGUUAACCCCCAUGUAUUUGCUCAGAUGACUAAAUUGGUGAAAGAUUACAAUGAGAGAAUAGCAAAUAGAGGAGCAAGACAAGUUCUUUUACCAUUAUCAACAAGCCGAAGGAGUUCAGCAGCUCGUGGCAGCUAGUCUUGAGUUAUGGUGACUACACAAGAGCACUAACAACAACAGUUGAAGGGAAGAAAAGAAGAGCAGCAUGUGAUCCUGUAAUACCCCGGAAUUUUUAGAUGCUAGUUUCUUUUAUUUUUAUUCGGUUGACUUUUUGGCUGACUUUUAAGAGGCUAAAAGUUGACUUUAUUUUCGUAAGUUAUCUUCGAAAACUUUCUUCAUGAAAGUUGUAGAGUUUAUCGAUACGAGUUCGUAGACAUGCGGCACGCUUGAAACGGAGGUCGUAUGAAAAAGUUACGGUCAGAGAAAGUUAGUUUCCGAUUUUGGAAGGUAUAUAAAUAGAAAGUGGUGGGUUUUAUUUUUGGAAACCUAGCAGCCUCACUUUCUCUCUCCUCUCUCCCGACCUCCUCCCGCACGCAAACUUCUCCGGAUCGGUUCUCCUCCGUCGGGCCACCAUUUGGACCGCCGCUGGUCCCGUUCGACUCCUACGGACAUCCUCUCCAUUUCUGGAGCAGUCCCGCUCGCCGCCUCGCCGUCUAGAUGCCGCCACGAAGCGGCGGAGCUGCUGCGGUCUCACCGGAGUUCUUCUUGUUCCGGCCACCAAUCGGGACGCCGUCGGUCCCGUUCGACUCACACGGAUGCCCCCUUCAAUUCUGGGCUGGUGUGACACGGCGUAGCAAGCCAGAGACGGAGCUCUUAGCCGGAGAAGAGCACGGCUGUGUCACCGAUCGGAACCGCCGUUUGCGGCGGCGACGAGGGGCAACCCUAG
rnacentral:lncRNA from 1 species